GGGUCGCACCCUUCAUCCUGACGGGAUCUUCCUCCAACCACGCGGCGCCAUGUCACCACCCGCACACGCCACCUCCUCACCUACUCCUAUCUCCUCCCGCAGCCACACAGAAAAGUAGAAACCCCGUAACGAAUUGCCACCCACCCGCCCCCACACGCCUGGGCCCACCUGUCAUCGACAACGGCGAGCCCUCCCUAAUCUCCCCUCCGCGACGCCAGCGACCAAAAAGAUCCACGAAUUGGAAAAGAGAAAACAAGGGGACAGGAAAAAAGCUCUCGCCUUUGCUCGGCGGCGAUGUCUCUCCCUCCGGCUCCGGCGGAAGGCGGCGGCGGCGGCGGUUCCGCAGGCGACGACUGGUUCCUCGACUGCGGCAUCCUGGACGACCUACCGGCGGCGGCCUGCGGGGCCUUCCCGUGGGACGCGUCCCCGUCGUCCUCCAACCCCAGGUCAGCCCGGUGACCGAUCGAUUCCUCCCUACCCCCACACCCCCCUGCUAGUUCCGGAUGUAUAUAGGGUUCUUCUCCCGUUUCCUCUUGGUUUCUGGCGAUCGAUUCCGUGAACGCGGCGUUCUGCGCCUGGGCGGUGAUGAUUGCGGAUAAUUGCUUAGUUCUUCUGGCUAGGCAUCUGAUUGCCUGACUAAAGAAGAGUAGGGUGGAUAAAUUAUUUAUUGGGAUUCUAGGGCUGAUUUUUUGGGUAGUUCAUGCAUGUGCCAGGAGGCAUCAGAUCCGUAAAGGCGGUUGCUUUAGACUACAGAUCUUGUAGUGUGUUAUUUCUGAUAUAAACUUGCCGAGGCUGCUUUUGUUGUAGGUCGGGAGUUCCUAAAAAGAAUUAGUAGGUUCCUAAAAGUACAGAUUGGUGACUUUCCACGCUGCAAGAUGAUUCCUUUUGGUAGAUUUGUUCUCGUGUUGCAGUGGCUGUGUUUAUGAUUGUGAAAUGGAUAAAUUCAUGUCUAGUAAUGAUUUAUUUGUUUAAGUAAUUGAUUGGGAUCGGAUUACCCGUCUUAACGAUUUGGGACGGAGGGAAUGUGUGAUAGGAUGUGCUGCUGCUAGGUCAUGGCUGGAAUCGUGAUUCUGGACCGGAUUAGAGUCACACGUAUAAUUUCCCAUCAGUCAUGGAUGUGCUGCUGUGAGAUUAUUGUAGCGUGGAAAUUGGUAGUCUUUACUUUGGGGUGAUUUGCAGUGAUACUGGAUUUUGACCCUUUUGCUAAAGGACAGUUUACUGCAUACGGGCAGGAGCAGAGGCCUUCCAUGUAGCUAAUCCUCUGAUUAAAUUUGUUUGGGGGAAUGAUUUCCGGUUUUGGGUUCAAACAAGGUAGCAACCGGGAAAUUUUUCAUAUGCAGAGCAAGAAUCGCUAAUCAUUUUACCCCUUGUUUUGACAGUGUGGAAGUGGGCAGCUAUGUGAACACCAACGAUGUCUUCAAGGAGCCUGGCAGUAAUAAACGGUUAGGCUGUUAUUUCAUCCCACAACUUAGAUGCAUAUUACCUCAUUGAAUCCAGUCAUCAGUUCUGUAAUUGUCAAUCUGUUGCAAGUUGCAGUUUAAGGUCGGGAUCGUCUGGUAGGCCAACAUCUAAAGCUUCUAGGGAAAAACAGAGAAGGGACAAGCUCAAUGACAGGUAAAUGAUGAACACCGACUCUAGAGUAUGGAAGAUGGAUUGCCAUGUUGUUGACUUUCUGAAUGUUGCUUAUGAGUUUAUGAUUGCUAGGUUUCUUGAAUUGGGCUCUACUUUGGAACCAGGGAAACCCAUAAAAGCUGACAAAGCUGCCAUUCUAAGUGAUGCUACUCGCAUGGUUAUUCAACUUCGCUCUGAAGCACAACAGCUGAAGGACACUAAUGGUAGUCUUGAAGAAAAGAUUAAAGAACUAAAGGUUAUUAACCUACUCCCUGUUAACACUAGGAUAUAAUUCAAUUAUUCUUCCUACACUAUUUAGGAGUCCAUGAGUGGACUACAAUUUGGUUGAUAUUCCCAAUCAAUAUCCAGUAGUAUUUUUAUGUUCAUCACCACAAUGAGACCUUUAUCUAAGGCUGUCAAUGCUGCAUGAUAGAAUAUGAUACUCUACACAUGAACACACUGCUGACAGCUCUUGCGUAGCUCAUCCAAGACAUUUCUGGUUACCAGCUUGAAUUAUCGCCGCAAACUUGUUCUUUUGAAUGUGAAUUGUCCACAGGUGUCAAAUCAGACAUUGGCUGACCACCAACUAUGUAACUGGUUUACAUAUAUGGUGAUGCUGUGUACCACAAUGCUCUAGCAUGUAUUGAUCCCAUAAAGCCUUUCAUAUUCUUAGAUGAUGCAAUUAACUACCAAGCUUUCCAACCAUUUAUAAUUCUAGGGAAUUCACAGCCCACCGUACCACUUUAUUGUAGGACCCAUCAGGGAUUUGAUUAGACUAUUGAUUAAAAUGUACGAUAUAAUAUGGUUUCUCAUAUUGUGCUACACUGGUGGUGGAAAAGUUUGCUUGGGGGCUGCAGAACUUGCUCCAUUUCUAAUGUUUUUUAAUCCUUUUUUUCUGCAAUGAUCAUGAACCAGUCACUCUUUCUCUAAAUUUCAGGCAGAGAAGGAUGAGCUUCGUGAUGAGAAGCAGAAGCUGAAAUUAGAGAAGGAGAGUUUAGAGCACCAGAUGAAACUUAUGACCUCAGCUCCAGCCUACAUGCCUCAUCCGACCCUGAUGCCAGCGCCCUUCCCGCAGGCGCCGUUAGCACCAUUCCAUCCCCAGGGGCAAGCUGCAGGACAGAAGCUGAUGAUGCCCUUUGUUAGCUACCCGGGAUACCCGAUGUGGCAGUUCAUGCCACCUUCUGAAGUCGACACCUCCAAGGACAGCGAAGCGUGCCCUCCUGUCGCAUAAUCGCUUCGAGCGACUGGUCGUGCUAUGUGAAUUAAUCUCAACUGAAGCCCCCUAGCUGUCGAUCCAUUGAUUGGGUAUAACUAUUGUUCUUGUAUGUGGUAGUUCGUCGGUGACUGAGUAAGCUGACAUUUGUGCCGGCGUGCCGCCCUAUAGAGGCUACUACUACCCCCUUCAAUGGCUGUACAAUUUUUUGCGGAGAAGAGAAGAAUGUUCGUUCUCGUUCUCCAUAGCAACAAUGUCAAAUUAAUUAUGUGUCACAUAUAUAUAUUUGACAGUCGUAAAUUCAGUCAUUUUGUGAUACAAGUUAAUUAUGUGGCAUGAAUCUUUGGAAUAGACAUUAUAUGUUCAACGGUGCUGUGGUUAUUGCUGAUCUGUUGCAGCAUGAAUGAUCGAAACAAUCAGCUAGAUCUAGGGAUGAAAAUGGAUUGGAUUCGGAUAGAUACGCACGGAUAUGAAUACAUAUAGUUAUUCUUUUCUUGACUGGGAUACAAAUAGUGCUAAAUAUGUUGGAUAUUGAUAUAUAUCUAAUAUCUUAUUCGUAUAUAAGAUGUGCAACUUUGAAUACGUGGAUACAGAUACGGUAUGGGAAAAUACUUGGAUUCAGCUACGUAUUAUCCAUUUAGGUUGUGUUUGGUUGCUUGUAUCAUUUGAUUUAUGUAUAAAAUUGUUCAAAAUAUUGUAUCAUUUAGUUUAGUUCAUGUAUAAAGUUGUUCAAAAUAUUGUAUCAUUUGGUUCAUGUAUGAAAUGGUUCAAAAUAAUAAUGAUCCUUUAAUUUGGUUGGGUGAAUUAUAUCAACCCAUCCAGGAUGAAGCCAUCCCAUCUAAUACAUUAUUCUACUAAUUAGAGUGAAUCAUAUAGUAUAAGCAAAUUGAUUGAACCCUACCAUCCAAAACCAUCCAUACAUGCAUCAAGUGAUUCAUGCAACCAAAAUAUACCCUUAGUCUCUGUUUUCACCCCUGCUAGUCUGCUAGGCAAUGGUGAGGCCAGCAAGCAGCAGCGACGCCAUGGUGGUAAGCAUAGAGCUGAGGCUGGCUGAAGACACCGGCGCCGCGCCGGAGCCGUAGGAGACAACACCAGGUGUCAUGAUGACCGUCGGCGAGCCCGAGCCGCCUGAGCAGAUCGUGAUGCCGCCCGGCGCGCCUGGCGGGGCCGGCGGCGGCAGCGUCGUGGUGCACCCGGGGUCGACCUCCAGCUUCAUCCCGGCGGCGCAGUGCCCCGGCACGCCGCAGAUGAAGUAGCGGCUGACGCCGCCGAGCUGGACGACGUCGCUGCCGGUCCGUAGGACGUCCGACCGCGGGCUCGCCGCCGAGCAGGAGCGGUAGUCGUCGCUGCUCACCUCCACGACGUUGUGCGCCGACGCGUCGUACUUGAACACGAGCUCGUCACCGGAGCGGAAGUCGAUGGAGGACGCCCAGGCGGUGAGGUUGGUCUGGAGGUCCCAGGAGCCCCCGGGCCCGCCGACGGUGUAGGUGGCGCCGGACGCCGCCGUCGCCAACACCGCCACCGCCACCGCCACGGCGAGCAGAGAUGCUUGUAGGAUCGCCACCAUUUUCUAGGCUCUGCUAACGGAUCUUGGAAUCAAUGCUCAAUGAUGAGAUAAUGGUGAUGAAUUGAUGAUCAGCUAGUUGGGAGCUGAGAUGGUGUAUUUGGUGGUCGAGUGAUUGUGCAUGGAGGUGAAUAUAAAGGGAGGAAGAAGAAGCUGGUCUACUAACUUAGCUUAGUUUUUGCAUGGCUUAGCUUAAAGAAAUGAAACACUGAACUUGGUCUCCCGUGAUGACAUACUGAUUCACUGGACUCACCUACUAUAUAUGGUAAUUCAGGGCUGGUCAUGAGAUUUGAGAAUUUAGAGGUCCGAUCCGGGAUGAGACUGAAAAUGGGACCCUAUUGCAGUAGCAGUAAUGUUACCAAGAAUAGCAUAAAAAUUAUUUAUUUCAUGUAAUUUACACAUAACAUUAUUAUCUAAAAUUUCUACAAACAUUUAUAGAUGCCAAGUGAUUAAUGAUGUUACCAAUAUCAAUCUCAUUCAAAUUUCUUAAAGCUUGAGAAUAAGAAACAAGUUGCAAUUUGGAACUUGAAAGUUAGUGCAAAACUAUAAAGGUAUUUGGAUCAUUUCAAGGAAAAAUUAUCCAUAAAACUCUCAAAUGUCAAUAUCAUCCAUCUCUAACCAAUGUCCAAUCAAUCAGUUAUCCAUGGCCUAGCGGGAUGAACCGUUAAUAAAUGCGUCUAUCAACCAUUCAUGUUGAUCCGGUCAGCGUUAGGGACUUUGCCACUUUGGUCACUGGAGCAAACUGACGCCCAGGCUAUGGAUUAAAUGUUAAGUCAAGAGCUUGAGACGACUCAAAUGGCACGUGGUUUCCGACUAUGGAUUAAAUUUUAAAUUCUGACGCCAUCAACUUCCCUCCGUUUUGCAUCAAAACAAAGAAACUUACCUGCAGCUGCUGACAGAAAGCAUCACUGAAUCAAAUAGAAACGCGACGUUUUCAUACACUCAAGUAUGUACUUAAUCAAAUUUACUUGAAGCACGUCGGCGUGUAUGAAAGAAGCAGAGGACUGGACUUGGUCUUGUGACGAAGGUCAUUGAUUUUUGGGAGAAGGCCGGGCUCGACUGUUGGAGCAAGCAAGUAAAUCUCUGAAUAUAAAAAAAUACUCCGUGGAAAAAAUACCAUUAAAUUAUUUCAAAAGACCAUUGAUGGAGGACUGGACUUGGUCUUGUGAUGAAUGGUAUGGAACUCGCGUAUGAUCCACACUGGCCUCAAUUAGCAAGGGUCAGGUCGACCAGAGACCAUUUGAAUUUUCAUUAGCAACUACAGUAUACAAUUAACUUCCUUCCAAACUUCAUGUCAAGGGCUUGGAGCUCAAACCUUUCCUACUUGCAUCAGUAAUGCCGCCAAGUGUUGAACUGAAUUUGUUCUUCCACAGGCUCUCUCCAUAUGCUCUUUAGUCAGUGAUGCCGCCAUUUGAGCUGUUCUCUCCCUGUCCCUGUACAAGCAGGGAUUGCUCACGUAUCCAAGUACUGAAGAAAUCGAGGAACACCCAUCUGAUGGACUGAUCCAAGUACUGAAGAAAUCGAGGAAGGCCAGAACAAAGAAUUCUUGCACUGAUCUCGGUUCAGAAACGAACUGCUCCUGAGCUGCUGUCAAGUAGAAGAUAAUUUUAAAAUUGUUUGUACUUCUCUGUCCCUUGAAACAAAAGUGUGCCUGAUAAGGGAGAAAGAAUUGAGGGAAACAACUUGAUUCACUAUAAAACUUUGAAUUGUUCGUGUUUCUAAAAACAUAAAUAGUUUGAACUGUUCGUAACUAGAAUUUGUUCAAGGUUUUCGUAGACCCUUUUAAGAAGUCUAUCACCAGCUUCCUUGUUACAUCAAAUAGUUCACUUCAGGUUCUUAAAAUUAAUAUAUAAAUAUAACAUUUAUGAAAGACCAGGUACAUCUGCAAUGUAGCUCGACUAAACUAUAGGUACAGUAACAACCAUGACCAUUAACUUAUUUCUCGUAGAACUUGAAUAAUCCUUGCAAAAGAACAUUUAAUAGAAGACAAAGCUUAUACGAUACAAUUAAACUCUAUUUCUAGAACUAAACACUACUAACAAUGCUAACAUAUGGCAACUCUACGGAUCCAAGAUAAAUUUUGCCGUCCCCUCGUUCCACUGCCUCUGUUGGUCGAACAUCCUUGGGACCCCUCAUCUCUUGUAACUUCUCACCUUCAGCGCCGAUCCUAAUAGCGACCAAGUGGCUGUCCUUUCCAAACGGGAGCUCAUACUUCUCACGGUGCAACGCCACCCAAUACCCUCCCUUUCCAUCAGGCCUCACAUUGUCCGGGUAUCCCGGCAGGUCAGCGAACAACUCGGAUGUCCCUGCCUCAGGCCCCCGGAUCCAAUACCUCAUCAGCUUGCAUGGUCCAGUAAGGGCGACGAUGAGGUGGCUCCUGUCGGCACUAAUGGCGAUACCAUUGGGGUAUGUCACGCCGGACUGGAGCACGGUGACCUUGUUAGUCCGUCGAUUGUAUCUCAUGAUCCGUCCCGUCGAGUCUCCCGACGCGGUGACCAUCUGAUGCUGCGCCCGAGAGUAUGUCGUGCUACUAUCGGUAAAGUAGACAUCCCCGGUGACCUGGUCGACGUCUACCCCGUUGGUGAAGCGUAACGGCACGCCGCCGGCCUCGGUGGCAAGCACGGUCGCCUCCCCACCGUUCGGCCCGACGCGCAUCAGCCCCAUGUAUGCGUCCGCGAUGUACAGAUCGCCAGAGUUUUUGUGGAACCGAAGGCCAAGCGGCCGGCCGCACGAGCUCUCGGUGGCGACCGAUGGGAGCUCAGACGGUGCGUCGCAGUUGUUCUUGAUGUAGCUAGGGCUGUACGCGAAAGUGGUAAACCCGACGCUCUUGCCGGCGUACUUGAGGAUGCGGCCGUCAGAGAUGCUGACAUAGGGCCCGGCGCCACGGCGGUCGAAGGCGACGCUCUCGGGGCCGAUCAGCCCGUCGGGCAGGUCGAGGCGCUGGGUCUUGGUGGCGUCGAUGGCCUUGCCCAUGGCGGCCGACGGCAGGAGCAGCAGGACGGCGAGCAGGAUCGUCGCGAUCUGAGGCAGCUUCGACGUCCUCCGUGCCAUGGUUGCUGUUGCUUCGAGUAGGCGGUGGUUCUGGUUUGCUGUUGUCGAUCAGCUGAGCUCUGAUCGUGGUGUUUGGGUUGAUGGAGAGGGCGUACCCUGGCCUCUCGUUUUAUUUGGGGGUUCUCUUCAGGUGUCAGCUCCGAAUCGGUUUCAGAACUCCAGCACAAAAUCGGACUCGACAGGAUUUUCCCUCGGCAAAGGAACAGAAACGGACACGGAGUUUCACCCAAGGAGAACUAGUACUGUGUGUUACCGUACAAUUUUCAGAAGCAAGAGAAUUCAUGAAUUUCAUAUAUGCAGAGGUGCAGUCGUCAAUUCUAGGCUUCUAGUUGAAGAACCGAGAAUGUUGACACAGGAGAGUGUGCUAAAAUCACAGAGAACGUUGACACAGACAUUUAGGAACAGAGGCGUAAACAUAUGCAAAUACAAGUAAAUGCAUGCGUUUUUACAAGGAAUCCUGAAGAAAAUUUUUCUCUAUUUUUUUACCUUGCUCUUUGUCACAUCCUGAAAUUUUUAGGUUUCAUGAUGUGAUUAAAAGGAAUAAUUAAACAAAGAUUUUCUCAUAAUUUUAAAAAGAUUUCCAACUAUUUUUCUUGAUAGGAAAUCUAGUAUGGGAAAAACAAUUGAUCGUUUUUGAAUUAAAUAAAAUGUUUCUGUGUGUAUUGCAUUCAUGCCGAUGCAUCUUGAAAAAGGUUUUAAAAUGCGCUUAGGUUGCGAAUAGAUUCUUCUUAGAAUUUUUCCAGAUUUUUCUAGAAUUUAUUCUCAUUUUCCUAGAACUCAAUCAAAAUUUUGGAGGGUUCUACAAGUCUUUCCAGGAGCUCCAAGUAUUUUAUUUAGGUUCCUCAUUUCUCAAAUAACCUCCAGGUAUUUUUCUAAUUUUUUUUUGAAGUUUUUGAGUAUUUUUCGUGAGUUAAUUACUAUUUUAGGAUUUUAUGAAAUUAUUUUCGAAUCUGAAAUUAAUUCCUGAAAUUAGAAAAAGGAUGAAAAUAAAUCUAGACUCCAACCCGACCUAUAUAUGCUUUUCGGUGAUCUCCUUGAUAUCCUCGUUCCAACGCCGCAAACCCCACCUCGUUUCGACAACUCCCACAGUUCGACGCCGAACAUACGGAUGUGUUAAACUCUAGCGAACUUUCUGACGAGAACUCCGGCGAACUUUCCGCGAGCAAAUCCGGUGAAACCAUCAAUCCUCGGCAAAAGGCGAACGCACCAACACAUUCGUCUCAUCGUCCUUGUUCCGUUUUUGCCUUUCAUGUGCGAGUUUGGGGGUUCAUCUCCGGCGAUCUCCGUUUUCCCUAUGUUCCUGUGCGGCCAUGGCCAUGGUUGAGCUCCUGCUCGCCCUCGCCCUACGCGCCACCGCCCGACCGCGCUGCUGCCAACCGCUGCUACGCGCCGCCGCCGAGCGCCCCCUUUUGUCAGCCCAGGCGCCGCCGGCGAGUGGAUAGUGUCGGCCGAAGGAAGAAGAAAGAUGCUUUUGCGUUUUAACCCCUGAAGAAAACCGGAAUCCUGAGAUCCAGUCCAAUCUAUUUAAGCCCUCGGUUUUCAUAGAUAGGAUCCUGGAAGUUUAGUUUUCUCGCAGUUAAACCCUUUAUCUUGUGUAGGCUAUAUCUUUCAAGUUUUAGCUCCGUUUCUAUCCAUUCAAGUUGCGAUAGAUUUAUAACAACAUAAAUGACAUGUUAGUGGUGAUAUUUUCCAUCAUGCAGGUCUUUAAAAAUAAAUUUAAUAUUAAUUUGAUUAUACCUAUUUGAGUGCCUUUUCUUAAUGAGAAUUUAAGUAGGGUUUACAUUGGUUUUUCAUAAUCACUAAUGCUAGCUAUUUAAUUGAGUUUUCUGAAUCAAAUUAAUGUAGACUUGUAGCUCGGCUUUUCUUAAUCAAACUUAAUUUGAUUAAUGUUCAGCAUUGAAUCAACUUUUCUAAAUAAAAGUUGAUUAGAUUUUUACACCGACUUUUAUAAAUAAAUAUUAACUUGAAUAAUGCCAACGGAAAUAUGUUUUCCAUAACAAUUUGACCGACUUGAAUCAUAAAAUAUACGUUUAGAUGUUUCACAUAGUUUAGCUUUCCUAAAGUUAAGUGAGUAAUUGGUGUAAUUUAUACAGGAACAUUUAUAAAUAAAACUUGACUAGGUUUUUACCUCGGUCUUUGCUAAUAAAGUAUAAUUUACAUUAAUUCCAACUGAGGGUUUUAACUUUCUGAAAUAUCUUUUACAUAUGUUUUUCUAAUUAAAAGACCUAGCAUAUAGUCUUUCGUGCUAUCAUAAAUGAAAAUUGUUCGAUAGCCGUUCUUUAUCAGCUUUAGCUCUGUAUCUCUUCGGAAGAUCUAGUCUUCUGUAAAGCGGUAGAUCUUUCUAGUUCCAGUUCCAGCUUAGAUCCAGUUUCUUUUAUAAAUCUAACCAAGCCUUUCCUUUUCAAAGCACGAUUUUUGCGCUUAGUGAGCUCAAUAGUUUAUCUUAGAGUUUCUGUUCUGCCUAUUAGUCUGAUCAUGCUUGUCUCUGUUUCUCUUACAAUCCUAUGUCCAGUUCAUAGCUGUCCUAUACCCUAGUUAUCUCUUUGUGAGUCAGCUAUGUUCUUUAUGGCCAAACCUUUCGCAGCCAUCUUGUUAGUUGUUUAUUUGCUGACUAGUUCAGUUUAGCUUUGACUAGUUUGUUAUCCUUGCAACCUAGUUGCUCUCAUUGUAGACUAGUCUUUCCUAAACCAUAAUUUAAGCUUUUCUUCUACUCUCUAGAAUAGUUUAUUUUUGUUGUUCUAGUUCGUUUCACCUUAACUUAUGCGUGAGCUUGACUAAUUCUUAUUCAAUUACCUUUCUAAAUAAAAAUUGAUUAGGUUCUAUCCCGGUUUUCAUAAACUAAAUUUAAAUGGUUAAUUCUUAUUUAUAACCAGCUUUUCUAAAUAAAAGAUAUCUAAUGUUAUAGAUGGGUUUUCAUAAAUAAAGUUGAUAUGCUUAAUAAUAUUAUAAAUGUCUUUUCCACAUUAACAUGUUUAGUUGAACCCGAAAUACAAAGUUAUUCGAUUAGAUGUCUUAUACAUGCUCUGAGUUUCUAAGUUAAUUGUUAAAUUGGCAUAACUUGUACUUGAAUAUUUACAAAUAAAAUAUGAUUAAGUUUAUCAUAUUUUUAAUGAUUAGAUAUAUAAGUUGCUUAAUUCCAAAUAGGGUAUUUCUCUGAAAUAACCUAUAUGCAUGUUUUAUUUAAUUAAAAAGGAUCAAGUGUAUAGUCUUUUUAUUCCCUCUUAUAAUUCAAACCUAUCAAUAGAUUUGUCUUUUCAAUCAUAGUUGUCUUUAGUGUUUCUUGCUCUUUCGUCCUUUAGUAAGCUCUUUUCCUUAUAUUUUGGUGUAUUGUUCUUAGUUGUACUUGUUUGUACGUUUGUGCCGAUGAUUGCUUCGAGUAAAAGGAUCGUUGUUCGCAAGAUUUGAAGAUUAAGAGUUUCAAGAGACCAAGAGCUGAACAGCAGUAAGAGUAACUUUUCGUUGGAGAAAGGCAAGUGUCCCUAACCACCUUUCUAUCUAUACUUAUUUAUAAUACCUUGAUAAUGUUAAUUGGAACGUGGAGAACCACCCAGGAAAAUAGUGCAACCACAAGAACUAUAUGGCUCUGUUCUUGGCUAAUUAAUUAGAGACUCUAGUUUAGGGUAAUCUUACCGAAAGGGCCAGAGGGGGGACUGAGUCAUUGUAUAACUCGGUCCUCUUGGGAAGUGGGCUUUGCUAAGACACUAUGCCCAUUAGGGAGGUUUAUAUACACCAGACACCGAAACCUUUGUAAAGACCUUGUAGUGUCCCUAUGCAGUCACACCUCGGUAGUGUGAUGAGUGCCUGAUUAGCACAGUAUAGUUGGGUCCAAAGUUCUUUUGAACUUUUACAUGACUUGUGGGUAAAGAUGUACAACUUCUGCAGAGUGUAAAACUGAUAUAUCAGCCGUGCUCAAGGUCAGGAGUGGCCUGGACCUCAUAUGAUUAAUAAACUUGAAGAUGGACUUAAAUCGUUAUUCUAGUUAUUUUUUGUGACCUUGCUGAGUACCAGCCGUAAGUGUACUCACCCUUGCUUACUUCUGCUCAGAAGAGGAAGGUGUGUGAAGCUUUUCUGAAGAUGAUGCUGAGUUCUACGCGUACGCAACCCCUAGUCGAUUGCCUGUGAAGUUUGGAGCCUUCGUUGGAUUAAGCUGUAUAUCUUUGAUAGACUUGUAAGUUUUUAUUUAUAUUCCUUUACAUGAUACUGUUACUGUUAUUCACUAAUGAUGUUACUAUAUGUAUGACACUAGAUCCUGGCAUACAUAUAGGUAGCACUUGGUUUUGUUUUAAAACCGAGUGUGACACUCUUGAGAAACCUAGUCUAACUAGUUUCAUUCCUCAGUUUCCCCGUUGUGUGCUGAUCUCAUAGAAAUAGACUUUUUUGAGGGCUCAUAGAAAUAGACUUAUGAUACACCUAGGUGCAUAUAGAUAAAAUUUAUAAGUUUUUGAGCUCGUUAUCUCUGGUUUUGCUAUUUAUCCUCGAAGUCUCCACAGCAUAUUUGAAAGAAAAUGGAAAGGCCAAUUUUAAACCCACCAGGUCCAUUAUUAAAUUAGCCAGACCGGUUUUUGUGGUGUUCUUGGUGUUGCUUCAAACUUGUUUCAAUUGUUUGGGUCCGCUCUGAUAUUUUGAGUUCAAUGAUUGUUAGAAGAGAGAUGUGUUAGAUUAAAAAUGGGAUAUUGGCCAAGUCACUCUUUCGUCAAAGAAAUUUUUUGUCGCCUCACAUUCACCUCCACUCUGGUCACCAUUUUAGUCCUUCACACUUCCAUGCGUAAAAAUCAAUUCCAACCAUUUUGAACUUUUAUUAGGUGUAAAAAAAACCCAACCGAUACUUCAUUUAUUUCAACGACAAUGAGAAUUGCUUAGGGGUUGUUGCAUGAAGAAUGAAACAAUCAGCUAGACCAUGAUGAGGCCAACAAGCAAGACCGACACGAUGGUGACAUGCACAAAGCUGAGGUUAGCUGAAGACCCUGGCGCAGCCCUGACGGUGAAGGGGUUAACGUGCAGAUCAUGACGCCUGACGGCGUGCCGGGCGGGGCCGGCGCCGGUGACAUCUUGGUGCAAUUGUAUAAUUAGCUUCAUUUCAUCCAAAAACUUCAUGUCAAGAGUUGCUGUCAUGCUCAAUUUUAAAUGCAUAAACAGAUGAUAAAUUACAUGUGCAUUAGGAUCAAGUUCCACACAUGUAACACCUUCAGUAAAUACCAUAAAUAGAGCCAAAGCGUAAAGAGAGUAUUAAAUUGAUUACAUGACAGAAAGUCUUUAAAUUGAAUAGCAAAAUGAGUCUCAAUUCUAGCAGCGAAACUCCAACGAUGAUGAUGACUCCACAUGCAGUUUACUGGUGGCACAUGUAUGCAUACAAAUCCACGAAGUCUUCAGGAACCUCCUCAAAGUAGUCUUGGUUUGAGCAGCGGUUUUAGCAAGGGUGAGUACACUUAUGGUUGGUACUCAGCAAGCGUGAGGAAUGUGUAUGUAGCGAACAUGGCCUUGAUGAGCUCAAGCAAGAAGUGCAAUGGCUGGCUCAUGGGCAAAUUGGCAAAGUUGAAGAGCAAGGACAAGGCGGACAAUGUACAAGCUUCUCAAGACAAGAAGAGCAACGUCCAACCUUCUCAAGAUAACCGUGAUCACAUGGUGAAGAACCUUGAGAAGGGAGCAACCGUGACUUGCUUCAAGUGUCAUGAAGAAGGCCACAAGUCCUACCAAUGCUCUCAAGUGAAGAAGAUGAGAAAAGAUGAGAACAAAAAUAUGAACUUCACCAUCAAGAGCUCCCUCAUCUACACCAAGCCCAACCACGAGAACAAGGCCAAGAGCAACACCUACGUCAUUAAGAGGAAGACCAAUGGCAAGGUGAUUGCACAUAAGGUUGGGAAGAUGAAGAGGGAGUGGGGUUGGAACCGACCCAUUUGGGUGCCCAAGGAAGUGAUCACCAACAUGAAAGGGCCUCAAAAGGUUUGGGUUCCAAAAGACACGUGAAGUCCAUGAUCGGCUAAGGGGGAUUUGGAGGCUUAGCUCACAAGAAGAUGAUGGUUCAAGUCUAAGAAGCCAUGCUCACGACAUUGGACAUAUAUGCCCAAGUCCCCUGGAGAUAUGCAUUGCUUAAUCUUCCAAGUGGUCUUCUUCUCAAACCCCUCUUCUUAUGAGCUACCUCCAUGCAUGAUAUGUUCUAAGCUUCCUAGUAUUUCAUGUCGUUUAGUUGUGCACUUUUUUUCACACCAUCAUGUUGUGCACACACAUAGGGGGAGCUUCGCUAAUGUCAUGCUAGUUUCAUGAAUUAUGUUUCCAUCCUAGUCAUUUUUUAAGUGGUAUCUUCAUUGGUACCAUCACAUGUGGAUCAUGGUUCAUGAAGCUAUCUCCCUAGGCUACUAAUGAUUUCCUUUGAUCUAUGUUUGCAAGGUCUUGUAGGCUUAUAAAUGGAAGAGGUUGCCUUUUUGGCGAUUUGAUUCCAAAGGGGGAGAAAUGUGGAAUCAAAGCAAGAGCCAAUGGAAGAACCUAUGCGUAAACAUACAUACGGGGAGAAAUACAAGAAAAAGGGAGAAUUACAUCAAGGGGGAGUCAUAUGAAGAUGUUCAAAGGCGGAGGUUGGGUGAUGGUAAGCAUCCAAGCAAGUGUAAGUGGUUCAAUUGGUCAAUUUUUGCAAAAUUAUGCUUGCUUUUAGUGUGUUGUCAUAAAUCACCAAAAAAUAGGGAGAUUGUAGCAAACAUAGUCUUGAUAAGACAUUUGUUCAUGAUUUUGGUGAUUCAAUGACAAUAUGGUCAUUAGGACUAACAAAGUGUUGAGAACAUGUUGUGAAGGUAUUCUAGGUCCCAAGGAAGCAACCACAAUCAAAGUGAAGAAAACGAAGGAAAUAGGCACCAUCGGAUGUUCUGAUGGUCCCCAAGAAGGUGUUAGAGUAAUUGCUACGCUGCAAAGAAGACCAGGCAGAGUCAACCAUCGGAUGUUCCGAUGGUCACUUUUAGUGUCGGACGAAUUCUGAGGGACAGGCUUGGAAGGAGGAAAUCCAAUAGCAUCGGAUGAUCAGAUGGCAGGCCAAGGGAAGCGUCGGAUGAAGUAAAUUUACUUCACAAACUUCCAGAUAGGUUUUGGGAAAAAAACCGUUCAGCAGUGGAUGAAACAACGGUAUCAUCAGAUGAAGCGUCGGAUGAAUUUUGGAUGUGUUAGUAAAGAACUUGGGCACUGGGAGGUCAACGGCUAGUUGAACCGGAUGUUCCGAUGCAGGCCAAAAAUAGACCAUUGGAACAUCGGAUGGUAUCCUUUUUUCACUAGCCAUUGGAGCAGCAACUCUUUAAGCCCUUGGAUCUAUUUAUACCCCCACCACUCGCACAUUUGGAGUUGCUGAAGUGUCCAGGGAUGCAUUGAAGACCAAGACUCAUCAAGAACACUUCCAUGCCACCAAAAGUGCUUAAGUGAUCCAUCAAAGGCUCAGCACAAGCUUAGAAGAGUGAUUAGUGCUAGGAUAGGUCUAGACAGGAGUGAGUGCAAGGUGUGCUGACCUUGUGAUCAGGUUCUAGAGUGAACCACCGCUGUACAAGAGGUGUUCUGGCACCUUGGAGCCUUGGUGGCUCGCCGGCAAGUAUUCGACCCUCCGGCUUGGUGUGGAGCGGCGUUGACGACCUUGUGCGAGACACGUGGAGACCCCUAUCUUUCAUGGAGAAGCUCCUUAGUGAAGGCGACAUCAAUGUGACUGAGGGACUUGGCGUGAUCCUUUGUGGCCAAGCCUUUGUGGCAAGUCAAGUAGCACCUUGGGAGAGACUUGGUGACCGGGAGGAAAUAUUCUUGUGUGAGUGCUUUUACAACAUGGACUAGUUGUGUCUUAGUGCCUACCAAUACCACGGGAUAAAUCCUUGUGUCAAGAGUUUGCUUCCCCUCAUCCCCUUCUUACGUUUCCGCAUUUCAUAAUUGCAACUUGUGUGCCUUUAGUUUCCUAGAGUAGUAUCUGGAUAGGAUUGGCUAUAGGUUGCAAAAUUUGUUUUAGGAUGAGGGUUUCACACUAGAUCAAUUAUAGAUUGCACAUUUAGAUAGCAUGAUCUAGUUCAUGUUUUGUUAAAUCUAGUGGAAGCUAUAGGUUUAGUUUUUAAGUUGCCUAAUUCACACCCUCCCUCUCUUAGGCUAUGAGCACCGAUUCCUUUCAGUAUAGUGUAAGGCUAUGCAUGGGAUAGGCUAAGGUUUAACAACAUGUCAGCAUUUUAAUUGGUUGGUCAAGUUUUAUUAGCAAUUACUAAGUAUACCCACAUUAAGCAUGAACAUAAAUAAAUAAAACAGCAACAAAUAACAUCAAUUUAAUUCAACUUCUGUUAAAAUUAAUCAUUUGAUGGUCCAGACCGCUCUAACCAUAAGCACGGCUGAUCGAUCAGUUUUAGACACUCUGCAGAGGUUGUACAUCUUUACCCACAAGUCGUGUUUCCCCAUAUCGCCCGAGGUAACUAGCCUCUUAAACACUUCCAAGGUGAGUGGCUAUGGAUUCACUACGAGAACUUUACAAAGAUUCCCUAGUAGAUAACAGCUCGCUAAGGAUUCAGGUCGAAGCAAAGCAUAAACCUCUCUCAAACUGCGAAGCUACCAUAGAGCAGAUCUGUUCAAGGGCCGGUUAUACUACAUCAACGCCUCCCUUAUUGCCCUUUUGGUAAGAUUAUCACCCACUAGAGUUUCGAAUUAAUUAGCCAAGCCAAAGCCAUAUAGCCUUGUGGUUGCACUGUUUUCCUGGGUGGUCGCUCCAUGUUCCAAUUACAUGAUGCUCUUGUAUUAAGUGAAAGGUAUAGCAUAAGUAAAACAAGUUUAAUCAUUGGUCCAUUAAAACCACCAUAUCCAAGUUGAGCAACUAAGCAAGUACUACCCAACAUAAAGUAAAACCCAGGUGAACAAGGCAUAGGGAUUAAAACUAGCCACUCCUUAGAUAGGACCCAUCAUGUUUAAUCAUUAAAUUGCAUAGCGUGUGUACAUAAAAGUAAAUGUUGCAUAGGUUCAAAUUGUGAUCAAGGACAACACUUGUCUUCCUGAACGUGCUCUUGCUGCUCAAAGCAUUCGGAAGCUUGAUCUUCGAAUCCCUCGAACUGUGAUCUUUCUACUCGCAUCAAACAAGUACGCACAAGCACAUAAAAGAAUAAAAUAAGAAAAUAAUACACCAAAAAGUAGCAAUAGAGCAAAACAAUAUCAUAAAACUAUUCUAUGCAUUAAGACGAACACAUGAGUGAAAGAAUUACUCAACACGGAUUUAAAAUGCUAAAGAUAAAAUUCUAAUAAAUUUAUUAAAUUGCAAAAGUUGAAAAUUAGGGUGUUACAGUUGCCCUAGGCCCAUUGCCUUUGCUACAUGUAUGAUUGUAUCAGUAAUACAGGCAUCUUCAGCAACUAGCCAAUUCCCAGCUGGUUGCUGCAAAACCAAUCUAGUGACAAAGCUGUCCCUCGUGAAAGCACUAAUUGUGCAAAAAUAAAUUGUUCCUGAGCUGCUGUGAAGUAGAAAAAGGAUUCUAGAACUGUUUGUACGGCUCUAUCUCUCGAGAAAAAAGUGUGCCUGAAGGAGAAAAUAUUUGAGGGAAGCAACUUGACUCACUAUAUAUGAAAACUUUGAACUGUUCGUGUUUCCAAAAUAAAAGCUUUGAACUGUUCGUUUUCACGACCUUUUAUGAACACUAUCGGCAGGUUCGUUUAUACGGCAAAUAGUUCACCGCAGGCUCUUCAACUUACUAUAUGAUUAUAAAAUAUAUGAAAGAUCAAACACAUCUCAAAUAUAUCCUCACUAAACUCUAGGCACAGGGAAAAGGGGUUGAGGCUCCUCCAAGUGCCAACUGCAAGCAGGUUGCUCAAACGUAGAAGCAGUAAAUCUCUGAAAUCAAGACAAAUUAUUACAUGGAUAUUUAGUAACAACUAUGACCAAUAAUUUAUUUUUGAAGAACUUUAACCCUUACAAUAAUAGAAGACAAAGCUUAUCUAAUAUAACUAAAAUUUAUUCUAAACCUAGUUACUCUUAACAAUGCUUACGCAUGACCACUUCACGGAUCCUAGACAUUAAUAAGAUAAAGCUUAUGUGAUAUACCUAAAAUCUAUCCUAGACCUAGCUACUCUUGACGAUGCUCACAUAGGACAACUCUACGGACCCAAGAUAUAUUUUGCCGUCCUCUCGUUCGACCACCUCUGUUGGCCUGACAUCCUUCGGACCCGUCAUCUCUUGCAGCUUCUCGCCUUGAGAGCCGAUCCUAAUAGCGACCAAGUGACUGUCCUUUCCAAACGGGAGCUCAUACUUCUCACGGUGCAGCGCCACCCAAUACCCUCCCUUUCCAUCGGGUCUCACAUUAUCCGGGUAUCCCUGCAGGUCGGUAAAUAGCUCAGAUGUACCGGCCUUAGGCCCUCGGAUCCAGUACCUCAUUAGCUUGCAUGGUCCCGUGAGAGCGACGAUGAGGUGACUCCUGUCGGCACUGAUGGCGAUGCCAUUAGGAUAGGUCACGCCGGACUGAAGCACGGUGACCUUGUUAGUCCGUCGGUUGUAUCUCAUGAUCCGUCCCGUGGAGUCUCCUGACGAGGUCACCAUCUGAUGCUGUGCCCGCGUGUACGUCGUGCUACUAUCGGUGAAGUAGACGUCGCCGGUGACCUGAUCAACAUCCACCCCGUUGGUGAAGCGCAGCGGCGCACCGCCGGCCUCAGUGGCAAGCACGGUCGCCUCCCCACCGUUCGGCCCGACGCGCAUCAGCCCCAUGUAUGCGUCCGCGAUGUAUAGGUUGCCGGAGUUGUUGUGGAACCGAAGGCCCAGCGGCCGGCCGCAGGAGCUCUCCCUGGCGACGGCCGGGAGCUCAGACGUCACGCCGCAGUCGUUCUUGGUGUAGCUCGGGCUGUAGGCGAACGUCGUCCACCCGGCGCCCUCGCCGGCAUACUUGAGCACGCGGCCGUCGGAGAUGCUGACGUAGGGCCCGGCGCCGUGGCGGUCGAACGCGACGCUCUCGGGGCCGAUGAGCCCGUCGGGCAGUUCCAGGCGCUGGGUGUUGGUGGCGUCGAUGGCCUUGGCUACGGCGGCCGAGGGCAGGACCAGUAGGACGGCGAACAGGAUCGUCGCGAGCUGAGGCAGCUUCGACGCCCUCCGCCCCAUGGUCGUCGCGGUGGUUCUGUCUUGCUGUUGUUGGCUGUUGACGCUGCUUCUGUUGUUUGGCUUUGAUGGAAAGGGCGUACCCUCUGUCUGGCGUUUUAUUUGGCGGCUCCUUCAGGCUUCAGGUGAUAAAUCCGACUCGGCUUCAGCGCUCAGCACAGAGAAGGACUGUAUCGGAGUCUCCCUCGGCAAGGGAAUAGAAACGGACUCCGAAUCCGAACCAGUUCCCGUAUAAAAGACGUACUAUGUUACGUGCAAUUUUCAUAAGCAGUAGAAUUCAUGAAUUUCGAAUAUGCUACAUACCGAAGCUUAAAAGAGAAAAUUGCUGGGCGUGCACACACGAAGAAAAAGCGGCCGACUUACAAUAUUUUUUUCCGGCAGCCAUGCAGCAGCCCCAACCCCGUAUAGUGGACCUCAAUUGGGAUCUUCUUCGCCUCAACCAGUAUGAUCUGUCAUUUCUAGACUCACCGUUCUCCGAAGAGGAAAUCAAUCAAUCAAUCCUUAGCAUGCCAGGGGAUAAAGCACCUGGUUCGGACGGGUUUACGGGGUUAUUCCUAAAAUCAUGCUGGAGCACCAUAAAACAGGAUGUAAUGGCAGCAGUAAACGCAUUCUACGGUCUCCGAUGCAACAGCCUCCAACUAAUUAACACAGCUACCAUCAUACUCAUCCUGAAGAAAGAGGGGGCGAACACCGUGCAUGACUUCAGGUCUAUAAGCCUCAUUCACUCAUUCAUCAAGAUCAUCACGAAGGCUAUGGCACUGAGAUUGCAACCCCACAUGAAUGCAAUUGUCUCCAAAUGCCAAAGCGCAUUUAUUAAGACGCGGAGUAUCCAUGACAACUUUAUGACAGUGCGAAGUACGGCAAGAAGAUAUCGUAGAAACAAAGUGCCGGCUAUUUUCCUCAAAUUGGACAUCGCUAAAGCCUUCGACUCCAUACGAUGGGACUACCUUCUCCUACUUCAGCGUCACUUGGGAUUCCCCGCGCGCUGGUGCGAUUGGACUGCGGCCAUUCUGUCUACUUCUUCCUCACGCGUCCUCCUAAAUGGAGUCCCGAACCCACCAAUAAAACAUGGCCGUGGGUUGAGGCAAGGUGACCCAUUAUCACCGCUGCUAUUCGUUAUAGCGAUCGAUCCCCUACAAAGAAUCCUACAAUUAGCGACAGAUAUGAACAUCCUUACUAGACUACGUGGAAGGGCGCCCACAUGCCGUAUUUCGAUGUACGUGGAUGAUGCAGCAUUAUUCAUAGCACCAAGAAAAGAGGAAAUUGAUGCACUAACUAACAUCUUGGAAAAUUUCGGGGAAGCAGCAGGUCUCAAAACAGACUUCCGCAAAUCGACUAUCGUCCCUAUCUGUUGCGAAGGCAUGCAAUUGGACGUGGUACUGGAAAAUCUACCGGCGAGGAGGGGAGCCUUUCCAAUCAGAUACCUUGGGCUACCACUAUCCACACUAAGACUGAAAGCUGUAGAUUUCCAACCCUUGUUAGACAAGGUCGUGGCCAAGUUAAAUAGUUGGAGUGGUAGAAACAUGACGACAGCUGGCAGACUCACUUUGGUCAAAUCGAUACUAACUGCUCAGCCGGUUUACUUACUGUCGGCCCUCAAAGUGCCCAAAGAGAUAUUGAAGAUUAUCGAUGCUAAGCGAAGGAAAUUCCUAUGGGCGGGGAUGGAGCCGCUCACAGGUGGGAAAUGCAAAGUGAAUUGGACACGAUCUGCAAGGCCUAGGAGGGGAGGAGGACUAGGUGUGUUACACCUCGAAAAAUUCUCCUGGGCCUUGCGGUUACGGUGGCUCUGGCAGGACUAGAUGAAAGAUGGACCUUCCUGGGAGAGCCAGGACAUCCCUUGCUCCCAAACAGACCGCAAACUCUUUGCGGCAGCAACCAAGAUCACAGUGGGAGAUGGCAACAAGACUUCCUUCUGGGACAGUGGCUGGGUAAGUAGACAAAGGCCAAGGGACAUUGCGCCAAAUCUAUAUCAUAUCUCCAGAAGGAAAAACAGGACACUAUAUGAUGCAGUCACAAAUCGCACGUGGAUAAGAGAUUUAAACCUUCUUCAUCAAGGAUUUACCGCCACAUAUUUCAUUGAGUACUACCGACUAUGGGUUGAGACCAACCGCCUGCACCUUACGCCAGGCAUCCCGGACACCAUCACAUGGAAAUUCACGCCGAAUGGGAAAUAUAGCACACAAUCGGCAUACAGAGUACAAUUCAUAGGAUCCAUGACAACUAAUCUCAAGAACCUAAUCUGGAAAAUAUGGGUGCCACCAAAGUGCAAAUUCUUCAGCUGAUUGGCCGUGCAAGAUAGAAUUUGGACAGCGGACAGACUCCAGCGUCGGGGAUGGACCAGUAACCCAACCUGCCCCUUUUGCAGCACAGUGUAGGAGACAGGGUAUCACCUUUUCACCGACUGCAGUUUCACACGGCUAAUUUGGAUGGAAAUUAACACAUGGACGCAAUGCCCUAAUGUUGAUCCAAGCCGCUGGGAUAGGCACGACUCCAUACAUAAUUGGUGGACAGCUACGCUGGCUAGCCCGAUGGCUGAGGGAAACGGGGGAAAGGGUUGUGGACCCUCAUUAUCCUCGUUCUUUGGGAGAUCUGGCUAGAGAGAAAUCGGAGGGUCUUCCAACACAAAGACAAGACGGUUACCCAGAUAACCGACGGCAUCAAGAACCAAGCUGCGAUGUGGGUCGUUGCGGGAGCUAAACACUUGGGGGACUUUCUCUCAGGUUGAGUGUUCCGUUUUGUACUAGUUGUCAUAGUGGAGUUCUACCUCCCUGUUUCGGGGAUGCGAGUGUACAGCUUGUAUAGUAUGUUUGUAUACGGCCCAUCAGGCUUUUCCUCUCUUUUAAUAUAGCAGCAGCUCUCCUGCUGGCUCGUUUCAAAAAAAAAAUAUGCUGACAUGGAGUCUCCUAGGUUUCUAGCCGAGCGAAGAGACGAAUUUGAUCACGUAUAAUGUUAGUCCAAAAAUACUUUCAAUAACCAGCUGGUGCCGCGGGCACAGAGACAACCAGUAUCAUUGCCACCUUUUUUGUGCGCCAAUUGCAUAGUGGACCUCCAACUAGUAUGAAAUUUCUAUUUUUCAACCUUCAUUUCAGAACGGGCAGCUAAAAUGUCAAAACCAUUUCGCGCAAAUGCCACAUGGAAUAAAAAUUGGAAGGGAUCUGCUGAGUUGUUGGAGGUGUUUUUAUAAUACCCAUCACAUGAUUGGGCAUAAGCACCAGGUAACACUAUAGAAAAAGGAAUUACAGCAUAUAACAAAAUGCAUUGACCAAAGUCAAACUCUAGAAGUGUUGCAUCCUAGGCCCGAGGCAACCUUUUACUAAUGACACUCGAGGAAAAGUUAUGCACCCCUCUCUCAACAGAACUGACCUUUCAUCCACCCCUUUUAUCCUGGCUAACAUUAGGCCCGUGACUAAAGUGGGAGCUUUAGUCCCAGAUGUAAAUACCAACCGGGACUAAAGCCCCCCUUUAGUCCUGGUUGUAACGGUCGAAAAAAUCGCACCGACGCCGUCCCCGUUUUAUCCCGGUUGGAAGCUCCAACCGGGACAAAAUAUCCCCCCUUUUGUCAUUGUUGGAGUUACAAACCGGGACAAAAGAGUUAGUCCCAGUUGGUAAUUCCAACAGGGACAAAAGGGUGUGUCUUUUUAGGCGACUUUUGGUUGGUUUUGGCUUGCCACCAUGGACCAUGCUCAGGAGAUAGAUCUUUUGCCUUGACGGGCUAUUGUGUGUGUGCACCUGAUAAAGGAGUUUCUUUGAUGAAAUCCGAGUAGAAAUCGAGAUUGUGGUCUUCAAUUAUCUCUGAUCCAGAUUUUGACUUGAAUAAGGUUGCUUGAUAAACCAAAGCCAUGUCUCGGAGUCCAAAUGGAAAUUGACUCGAAGUUUGAUUCGGUUUGAGCGAUGGCCUAUUUGCAUGCUUGUGGGAGCCAGUUCGAGUUAUUGUAGAGUUUGAGUUGUACUCGAGCUCACUGUUUGUCAGAUUAAAAAUUUUGUUGAAUUUCUCGACGAAAUCCUCCGUAGCUUGUCGACGAAGGGUGACGUCGAGUUGCUUCUUCUCCGGGGCCUCUGUGAUGUAGCGAUGGAAACUUCCAGCACCAUUGGAAUUGCAGACCCAGGAGCUGAAGAUGAAAGUUGCGCCAGCUUCGAACGCAAUCAUAGGCUUGAUGAUGACUUGAUCCAUCGAACUCGUGUGGAGGAUUUUGGCGACUUCCCCUACCUGGCACGCCAGCUAUCAGUGUUUUAACCCGACAACCUGCCUAGGGAGUACCCAAGGUAGAGUUUUUGGUUAGUGGGUGUAACCAAAAUCAAGAGCUCGAUGGUGUACGUAGGCAUGCGAUUUUGACAGGUUCGGGCCACUAGAUUGCGUAAUACCCUACGUCCUGUAUGUUGUUUGCUUGUAUUCGAUUGAACCUAUCUUGAGGGGUCCCCUACCCUCCCUUAUAUACCGGGGGAGUAGGGUUACAGAUUAGUUGUCAUACAGGAGUACUAGUCGGAUUCGACAAGAGGGUUCUACUCUAACUCGGAGGAGUAGUUUCCAUGUCUUCGACUAGUCCCCUGGAGUCCAUGUAGACUACGCCACCCUGUACCAUAGUCUCCAUGUCUUGAUACGAUUCGGUGCACGUCUUCUGGUGUGAGUCCGUACAAGUCUUCUGGUGGGCCCAUAGGUGUAUGGCCGACACAUGGCAGUACUCAAGUACAUUCGAAGACCCAAUCCGAUGAAGUACUCAAAAGGAGCACCACAAACUAGUCAGAGACAUCUACAAAAGUACUCAGGACUGCUACAUUUGACUAAAAAGUACUCAGGGGCUUGUCGGCCAUACAUCUAUAGGCUCACCGAGAGACUUGGACAGUCCUAGAUAUGGGCUGUGUACCGAGACGUGUCAGACAUGGAGACUACAGUGCAGGACGGCGUGGUAUAUGUGGAGGACAAGAACUAGUUGAGGAUUAGGAAACUACUCAUAGCAAUUAGAGUAGGACUCUCUAGUCAAAUCCAAUUAGCAGGGCUGAGCCCAAGCAGAUGCGACCUGUGCAAUCGCACAGGGCCUCCAAAUUCUAGGGGCCCACCAGAGCAGGGCACAGGAGACCGCAGACCUAUAGUCCGUUAGGCCACGGCACGGGCGCACGGCAAGUCUGUCCAUCCGCUGAUCCGCCGAUCCACAUUCCAGUUCCACGGGUGAUGGGUCACGGGACUCCAGGCAUCAUGGGACUCCAGGACAGGGCAGGCGGUGUGAAAUCAAUUGGCUGGGACAAUGGGACUCCAGGCAAGCAUCAGGCAACCAGGCAUCAGGGUCAGGCCAGGGCGUCGGCUCCAAGCGUCACCGCCAAGUUGGUCACCGCUGGGCGUUGACUCACCACGAUCCACGUCAGGCUCUCAGGCGCAGAUUGUUUUUCACCGGCUAAUUGCUUUUCGCUCGCCAGCCGAUUGCUUUGUGAAUUGUGAUUGAUCGAGUCUCCAGGUGUACUAAUAAUUUGGUCCAGUUAAUUUUCAAUAUUUUAAUCAAUGUUGAUGGGUGAUGACUAAUGACUAAUAUAAUAUUGAUCCAUCUAGGUGUUCAAUUAUCUUUAUUCUGGUUCUGGAUUAUCUAGUGUUCCAAGGUUCUAGUCAUGUCUUCUACAAACCGGUCUAGAAAGUAUGAAUCUGGUUACCAAAAGCGUAAGAAAAAACAAAGAAUAGAGGAUUUAACUCAAUCUGAAAAGGGGGCUAUGGAUAAAUUUGUUAGAAAAGAGUCACAAGUGUCCACCGAUAAUCGAUAAUCAGUCACUUGGUCAGGGACAGGGAACUGCACUUGAUAAUAAUGAUGACAAUGAUUCUAGAGAUGGUCAAAUAGAGUCAGAAAAUAUUGUUGGGGUCGAGAAAGUUCUUAUCGAUAACACAACAUUGAAAUGGAUAACAAUGCUAAUAACAUUGAAAUGGAUAUUUGAUCCUAGAUAUUGGGAUUCCAUUGAUGAUAAACAAAUUGAUAUUUUAGCACAAAAGGACCCUAGAAGAGAUUUAUCAAUUCAGAAAGAUCCUAAGGAUAGAUAUUCUAGAAGGUUUUCUACACUAUUCUAUACAAGAAUUUUAUCAAAUGGAGAGCACUGUGAUAGGGAUUGGCUUGUCUACUCUAAGGAAUUUGAUAGGAUCUUUUGCUUUGGUUGUAAAUUAUUUACAAAAGGCCAUCGAAAAGGUCAGUUGGCAAAUGAGGGGUUUAAUGAUUGGAGACAUCUUGCUAAUAGACUUAAAGAGCAUGAGACAAGUGCAGAUCAUGUAUCGAGUAUGACAACUUGGUAUGAGUUGCGUAGUAGAUUGCAAAAGGAUCAAACUAUUGAUAAAGCCGCUCAACGACAACUCAAGAAAGAAAAGGACCAUUGGAGAAAAGUUUUGUUUGUAAUUGUUAGCAUUGUUAAAUUUCUUGCCAAGCAUAAUCUAGCUUUUCGUGGGACUAAUAGCAGACUAUAUGAAGAUAGCAAUGGGAAUUUCUUGGGAUUGGUAGAGAUGUUGGUUGAAUUUGACCCAAUUAUUCAAGAAAAUGUUCGUUGUAUUACAAGUGAGGAAACUCAAUCUCAUUAUCUUGAUUUUAAGAUUCAAAAUGAGUUGAUACACUUGCUUGCUUCUGCUAUUAAGUCUGAAAUUAUUAAGAAAAUAAAGAGUGUAAAGUACUUCUAUGUCAUACUUGAUUGUACUCCUAAUGCAAGCCAACAAGAACAAAUGUCCUUAAUUAUAAAAUAUGUUGACUCAUCUUCAAGUGAUGUUCGCAUAGAAGAAUCCUUUCUAGGAUUUUUGGAUGUCAAUGAUACAAUUGGGCAAGGAAUUUUUGAUGUGCUAGAGAAUGAACUAAAGCUCCUUGGUCUUGAUAUAGAUGAUGUGAGAGGACAAGGUUAUGACAAUGGGUCAAAUAUGAAAGGAAAACAUAAAGGGGUAAAAAAAGAAACUUUUGGAUGUAAAUUCUCGUGCUUUCUAUUCUACUUGUGGUUGCCAUAGCCUUAAUUUAACACUUUGUGAUAUGGCUAAGACUUGUGGUAAAGCUAAGGACUUCCUUGGAAUCAUCCAGCGCAUCUAUACAUCUUUUGCUAAUUCUACUAAGAAAUGGCAGAUUCUGAAAGAUAACAUAUCAGGAUUGACUCUCAAGUUAGUAUCAGCUACACGUUGGGAGAGUCGUGUUGAAAAUGUUAAAGCUAUUAGAUUUCAGUGCACAGACAUUCGAGAGGCUCUACUUCAGGUACCCAAUAUUGUUGUAUUGAUAUUUGAUAAUGAUGUACUUAUUUUGGCUAUCUCCAACUAUAACACAUAUUUUCUUGCUUUCAAUUUCAGGUAUCUGAUGUUGAUAAUGAUCCAAAAACAAACAGUGAGGCUAAGGGCUUGGAAACAAUGAACUUGGAGAGUAUGAAUUUAUAGUGGCAAUAUUAAUUUGGUAUGAGGUAUUAUAUGCCGUUAAUUUAGUAAGCAAACACUUGCAAGCAAAGGAUAUGCUUAUUGAUGUUGCUAUUGAGAAGGUGGAAGGGCUGAUUUCUUUCUUCAAGGGUUAUAGGGAAACUCGUUUCUUAGAAGCAUUAGAGAUUGCCAAAGGAAUUGCACUUGAGAUGGAUAUUGGUACAACGUUUCAUAAAAGAAGAGAAAUUAAAAGAAAGAGACAUUUUGAUGAUAACCUAGAUGACACAAAUGCUGCUACACAGUCUGCAGAGGACCUAUUUAGAAUUAACUAUUUUGUACCUAUUGUUGAUCAAGCAAUUUCCUCACUUACAACAAGAUUUGAACAAUACCAGAGUUACCAAAAAAAAUUUGGUUUCUUAUUUACCUCUGAAACGUUAUAGUCAUUGGAUGACAUGAGUUUGAAAUCUUCUUGUGUUAAUCUUGGGGCUGUCCUUACAAAAGAUGGAAAAUCUGAUGUUGAUGCCAAUGAUUUGUAUGUGGAGUUGAAGUUUCUUCAAGGUUUCAUCCCUAAAGAAAGUAUGGGUCCUAUUGAAAUUCGAAAGUUCCUAAAGCAGUAUGAUUGUUUUUCCAAUGCAAGUAUUGCAUAUAGAGUUCUAUUGACCAUUCCUGUGACCGCUGCAUCGGCAGAGCGAAGCUUUUCUAAAUUGAAACUAUUGAAGUCAUAUUUGUGUUCGACAAUGACACAACAAAGACUUAAUGAUUUGGCCACAAUAGCACUUGAGAGUGAAGUGCUAGAGAAGAUUGCUUAUGAGCGUAUCAUUGAAGAUUUCAUUUCAAGGAACACUAAAAGAAUGAAGCACUUCGAGUAAAGAUUAUGAAAGCAAGAGUCGAAUAGGUACGGUUUUUGAUAAAUCUUAUUGUGAUAUAUAUCAUAUAUCUUAUUUGUAGUCCUAUUUUUUAGGGAGGUAGGCCUCAUUUUAGAGUUUGGCACAGGGUCUCGAUUUUUAACGGCUCGGACCUGCCGAUUAGUAUUCUUGUAAAAAACCGACUUGUGACCCUGCCCCCGGCAAUAUAAGGCGAGGCAGGGAUCCCCUCCAAACAAGUCUAACCAAUACAAUCCAACCAACACACAGGACGUAGGGUAUUAUGCGACAUAAGCAGCCCGAACCUAUCUAAAUCGUGUGUUCAAGUUCACCUUCAAGUUCCUGAUCUUGGCGAGCUCCACACAUAAAACACUACCUCGGGUACCUCCUCGAUAGGUUGUCGGGUCUAAACACCGACAAUAUGUACAAGGUACCUAUUUUAGUGUUGUCAGGCUUGACAUGGUUGUUCUUCCUCUAUGGUGUAAACAUCAACAUAAUUGACAGUCACGACAUCAGGUUCCAAGAAUGCCUUUAGUCGCUGUCCAUUCACAAAAUUUUGAUCUCCUUUGACAUCCAUAAUCAUUACCGCUCCGAUAGGUGAUACAGAAUGAACCACGCAUGGUCUGUCCCACUAGCUCAUCAAUUUUCCUUUACCAAAGAGUUUGAUUCUAGAGUUUGAACAGUAGCACUUUGUCUCCUUCUUUGAAUUCUUUCUUGUAAAGCCAUUUAUCAAACUACCUCUUUAUUCUUUCCUUAUAAAUGCUUGCACUGUGGUAAGUUUUAAGUCUCGUCUCUUCUAAUUCACUUAUUUGAAUUCUUCUUUUUUACUCUUGCAGCACCAACAUCAAGGUCUAUUUCCUUUAUAGCCCAAUAAUCUUUAUGUUCGAGUUCAACGGGAAGGUGGCAUGUUUUUCCAUAGACAAAUUGAUAUGGGGUCAUACCUAUAGGUGUUUUGUGAGCUGUCCUGUAUGCCCAUAAUGCUCCAUCUAACCUCUUUGACCAAUCCUUUCCUCUGAUCACCGUCUUCUUCAGGAUAUCCUUCAGUUGUUUAUUAGAAGUUUCUGGUUAUCCAUUUGUUUGAGGAUGAUAGGUUUAUUAGAAGUUUCUAGUUAUCCAUUUGUUUGAGGAUGAUAGGCUGUAGAUACUCUAUGUUCAAUCACCAAUUUUGAUAGACAUUUGCAAAAAUCUUUUCGUGUGAAAUGUGAUCAUCCAUCCCUGAUCAAAAUUCUUGGCACUCCAUACCUAGGAAAUAUUAUAGUCUUAAUCAUGUGAAUUGAUUCUUUUGUUGAUGCCUUCCGAAAUGGAAUAGCUUCUACCCAUUUAGACACAUAAUCAAGCAUGACCAAGAUGUGCUCAUACCUAUGCGAGUUUAAGAAUGGUCCCAUGAAAUCUAUACCCCAACGUCAAAUAAAUCCACCUACAAGUUGUAGUUCAAUAGCAUAGAAUUUCUAGCUGAAAUAUUUCUUGUUCUUUGGCAUUCCAGGCAAGUAGCAAUGAAUCUCUUUGCAUCUUCAUGCAUCUUUGGCCAAUAAAAUCUGCUUGCCCAGACUUUUUCAUGAGUUUUAAAGUAUCCAUAACGUCCUCCAUAUUCUGAUGAAUGAUAUUUUCAAAGUACCACCUCCCUCUUCUCUUGGAAUGCAUCUUCUUAAUACUCCAUCUACUCCAUAUCUAUAUAGGUAAGGUGCAGACCAAUAGUAUUUCUUGCUUUCAGCAACCACUUUUCUCCUUUCAUUCCUUUGUAAGUGAUUCAAGGGAGCUCUUUUUGUUGCUCUAAUAAUAUCAUUCAAUCCAUGUAUCCUUGUCGAGGAUUCUAUAUAGAUGAUCAUCCCUCAUUCGAUCUUCAAUAGGCUCGUUUCCAUCAUCUUGUUGAUACUAUUCUCGACAAAUGGUCAGCCACCACAUUUUUUGAUCCCUUUUUAUCUCUGACCUCCACAUCAAAUUCUUGUAGCAGCAAUAUCCAGCGAAUCAGACGUGGUUUAGCAUCUUUCUUGCACAAAAGAUAUUUAAUCAUAGCGUGCUCGGUGUACACAAUCACCUUGGAGUUCACAAUAUAAGAUCUGAAUUUUUCAAAAGCGAACACUACCGCAAGAAAUUCUUUCUCCGUAGUUGUUUAAUUUAUUUGAGCCUCAUUUAAAGUCUUACUAGCAUAGUAAAUUACAUGUACCUUCCCUUCUUUUCUUUGUCCAAGGACUGCCCCAACAACAUAAUCACUUGCAUCGCAUAUUAUUUCGAAAGUAGAUUCCAAUCUGGAGGCUGAAUGAUGGGCGCACUGAUGAGUGAUUGUUUUAAAGUUUUGAAAGCUUGGAGGCGGUUUUUAUCAAACUCGAAAUUGACAUCCUUUUGCAGGAGUAGUGUCAAUGGUUUGGUGAUCUUCAAAAAAUCCUUAAUGAAUCUCCUGUAAAAUCCAGCAUGUCCAAGAAAGCUUCUCAAUGACUUGAUAUCUGUGGGCGGACGCAACUUUUCCAUAGUUUUAAUUUUUACUUUAUCAACCUCUAUCCCUCUUUCUAAGAUUACAUGCCAAAGUACUAUUCCUUGUUUUACCAUAAAGUGGCACUUCUCCUAGUUUAGGACUAGAUGAACUUAUCCACAUUGCUUAAGAACUUUAUCAAGAUUUUCCAGACAGUUGUCGAAACUUGUACCAUGAAUUGAAAAAUCAUCCAUAAAUACCUCCAUGAUAUCUUCAAUGAAAUCCGAAAAUAUAGCCAUCAUGUCGUGUUGAAAAGAUGCAGGUGCAUUGCACAAUCCACAAAGCAUCCUUCUAUAAGUGAAAUUUCCAUAUGGACAAGUGAACGUGGUCUUAUGCUAAUCAUCUGGGUGUAUAGGAAUCUGAAAGAACCCAGAAUAUAUAUAAUCAUAGCAAAAGUGAGAAUGCUUUGCUAAUCUUUCGAGCAUUUCAUAAAUGAAAGGCAAAGGGAAGUGAUCCUUCCUGGUUGCCUUUAUUCAGCUUCUGGUAGUCGAUACACAUCCUCCACCUUGUCACCAUUCUUUGAGGGAUCAGUUCAUUCUUCUCGUUUGUCAUGACAACAAGUCCUCCUUUCUUAGUUACACAAUGCACUGGGCUCAACCAUUCACUGUGUGGUACUGGAUAAAUAAUCCCAACAUUAAGCAAUUUGAUUACCUCCUUCUUUACCACAUCGCGCAUAGCAUGGCUUAGUCUUCCUUGUCCCUCCACAACUAGCUUAUCUUGACCUUCUAACUGUAUCUGGUAAGUGCACAAGGCUAGACUGAUUCCUUUUAAGUCUUUAAUUGUGUACCCAAUCACUUUUUGAUGUCUUUUCAAUAAAUUCAACAACUUAGUUUCUUCUUUGCUUAACUCAUCGCUAACAAUGACUGGAUACAUUUUUUUAUUCCCUAAAUAUUCAUAUUUUAAUCCCUUGGGUAACAGCUUCUGCUCAACAUCUGGUGCUUCUGGUUCUUAUUGCACCAAUUCUCCAAUUAAUAUCUUUGAAUUUUCCUUCCUCCAGAGUUUCAUAUUGAGGUGACAAUGCUUCAGUUGCUUCUCCCAAUUCGUUAUCCUCAUUAUUUUCCAUUGCUCUUAGUAAAGGAUCCCUGGAACUUUCAGCAAAGUAUACACUUUCUACCUUCUUGUUAUUAGGAGAUGGAUGCAAAUUUUUUCGAGAUGCAGGCAAAAAAUCAUAAGUAUAUUUGGCACCAUCAAGAUUAAUUGUUACUUUUCCUUCUCCCGCAUCAAGCACAGCAUUUACCAACUUAAGAAAAGGUCUACCAAGGAUUAUACCAUCAUGUUUAUCAUGGCAAGCAUCAAUAACAAAGAAAUCAAUUGGUAUAGAUUUAUUUGAGAUAUUAACUUUUAGAUUUCUAAGCACACCCAAAGGUUCGGUUGUUCUACCAUCUCCCAUGAUCAAUUUAAUUGGUGUUGGAGCAAGUUGCAAAGUCUUACUAAAAACUUUAUCAUAAAGUUUCGAAGACAUGACACUUACAUGUGCUCAAAUAUCACAAAGUGCUUUGUUGAUAAUCUUCCCAUUGAUCAUGCAGUUGAUAUGCGCUGUAGGCAAAUGUGCUCCCUCAUGUUGAUUGAUCACAAUUGCGUAUAUUUGCGCUAGACUGGUGAAAGGUGAUGCUUCAGGUUUUACUCCCAUGACUCCUUUUACUUCAGCAACAAAUUUUGGGUCUACUUCUUCGCUGAAAACUAGUUGUUUCCUUGUCAAGCACAUACCCAGUGUGUUUCUCUGGUGGAAAAUCCGUGUCUAUGGCACUGGUUGACCCCUUUUGAUUUGGAUAUGGCCUAUAUUUAUCAAAUAUCUCGUUGAAAUCGAUAGGAACCCAAUCCAUUUGUUCAAACUUCCGCAGGGGUUUUGCAUUUGCCAAGCUUUGAGCUUCUGAUGUUUCUAGUUUAUCGUCUUUGAUGCACUGGGUAGGUUCCUCCUUUAUGUGUGUUGGUUCUUCUUCUUUUUGCACCAUAGGUUCUUCCUUCUCUUCCUUCUGGACUUCUUUUCUGAAAAUUCCAGCAAGUAUAUGUCCGUGAUUUCCUUACUUUUGUGCCCCAGAUUGAUAGUUAUCCCAUUCUCUGUUUACGGCUGCUCCUCUAAUGAUUUUCUGUAGAAGUUGUAUAGCCUCCCUGAGUAUCUUUUCCAUAAGGUCUCCUCCUGCACACAUUUGAACAAAUUCCCGGUAUUUUUGGGUUAGUAAAAAAUAAAAUGUAUGCAACAACACAUCACCUGAGAAUCCAAGCUUAGGUCCUUAUUCGAGUAGUCUGUUAAAUCUGUCCCAAGCUUGAUCUAUUCCUUCAUCUUCUCCUUGCACGAACAUGAUCAUUUCCUUCCGAAGGUUCUAAAGUUUGCUAAUAGAGAAAAAUCUCCCACAAAAUUUUGUCAUUAGUGUCUCCCAAUUCCGCUUCGCGUCGAAAGAAGCUUCUACAUACCAUCAUCUUGCUUCAUUUGCAAGUGAAAACGGGAAUAGAUUCCACCUGAACCAAGCUGGCAGAAUUCCUUCUUGUUGUAGCGUAUUGCAUAGCAUCGUGAAUCGCUCAAUGUGUCUAUAUGGAUUAUCAGUCUCCACUCCUUGGAAAGGAUUGCUUCCAGCCAUGUCAAUUAUUCCUUUAUCCAAGAUGUACUCCUUGACUGCAAGCACUGAGUUAAAUUUCUGCAUGUCGAAUUGAUCAGUUAAUGGAAUUCAAUAGUCCCUCAGUGACUUUUCUCCUUCCUCCUUGUAGUGAUCAAUCAGAGCCAUCUAGACACCAAAAAUAAAAGGUUUUCUUUUCUAGAGAAAAAGUUAGAUGUUAGAGGAUACAAAAAUUAAUACAAAGUUAAACGUAGCAAAACUGACUUGUUCCCCGGCAACGGCGCUAGGAAAGCUUGUUGACGGCAGUUAGCAUGUCAAUUUAUGAACCGCAAACAUACGGAUCAGUUGUACUCUUUCCGAAGACUAUCCCCCAAGGUCUACCAAUCCGUGGAACAAGUGGAUUUGCACGCUUAACUAAGCACUAAUCUAUGUAACCAAAGGUUCUUUGUAUAUGAUAAAAUUGAUCUAACAAAAGAACUAGUGACUUAGAUUAAACCAGAUAGAGAGCAUGGAUGUAGACAAGAUAGAUAAAAUGCUUGUCCUAGGGAUCUAGGAUCACUUGUAGAUGUAAUCACCAUGCAUCAAAGAAUUAGAUCUAAGUGUUAUCGUGAGUGGAUGUGAACCAUGCCCAACACCUUCCCUCUCGCACGUUGUCACUACACGAGGGUACUCAAAUAUUGAACGAUAAGAACACGGCUUGAUGAUCAUUCUAGGUAAGAAAAUAAGCAACCCAAAGUAGCGCUGUCUAGCCAUUACAUGAAGGAGCAUCAUCACGAUGUGAUAAAUAACAAACAGAUCUUAAACAAGAGGUUCAACGAUUACAAAUCAAGGUCUCCAUACAACCUCAAGGACAAACAGAGACUUUACCCCAUGAUCUUACACAUGUUGACAGAAUUCUGAGUAAAGAUCGCCCUGUAGAUCAACUGGACCGAAGGGGACGAUGAACGGGGACCGAUCGGCUUGGGAGGUUCCUUCCUCCUCUAGUACUCCGCUUCGCGUGGUUUCUCGUAGAUCCAAUCUUUUCUUUAUUUUUCCUCCUUAUGGCGACGGUGGAUGGUGCUUGAGUGGUGUUUUCUUCUCUCUACCAACCCCUCCUCCUUAAAGUCCAUGAGGGGGUAUUUAUAGUCUCCCAUAAGCGGCAGUUCUGGGCCAAUGUCAAUGAAAAAAACCCUAGAGGUCAUCGUAAACUUCACGCUGAAGAAAUGGGAGGUCGACCGGGUCCUCAAAUGGGCCAGGCCGAUCAGCCCCGAGCUCCCAGGCCAAUCGGCCUGGACCCUUCCUAGCCCUUCUGGUCCUCUCCUUCCUCGUGCUGACUUUCUUUGAUGAUCCAUGUCCAAAUAUCCAUUAAACUCUUUAUGCAAACCCCCUCGAUUACGUCGUAUUUCAUGUCAUAAUGCAAUAUACUUUAAAAUACAACACAUAUACAAUAAUGGAUUAUUUCAGGUGCCAAAUGGCUGGUUAGUAUAAAAUUAAGCAUGAAAAUACUAGUUAAAUGACACUAAAAGUGUGUCGAUAAUAAACGUCAACACCUAGCUUGCUGGAAAUGGGGACUUGACUAAUAAGAGGUUAGUUGCAUUCGUGAAACAUUGCUAAGGGCCUAACCAAACAACUAAAAAUUGACUGCUCUCCGGAGGCCCAUAUGGAUCGGACUAUAUCCUAGUGGAAUAACGACCAGCUACUUUACAUUCGCUACCAUGCAUGGGCCCUUUUAAGGCCGCAGAACGUGCUUUGGUCCUGACGCCGUUUUUCAACGUGGAGACGUUAGACGGAGGAAUAAUCGGCGCUUUACAGGAACACGCCUCAGAAACGACUCACGAUCAUCUAAAGGUACAGAAUAUCCUUGCUGAUAUCAGAUUGCAUGAGACACAUGGAUUAAUUAUGUCCUCUCGACAGAGACUGAGGGCCUCACCAAUCAUCAUCUAAAUGAUAGUUUAAAUCAGAGGGUUUGUUUAGGCCUGUUAAAGCUGCCAGGGUUGCUCGGAUAUCUAUGCGGUGCUAAUGACCAGUUGCCCACCACAAGCAACUAUUUAUACAGCCACCUAACAAAGGGUUCUGCCGCACUAAUAUCAACAUCGAAACAAAGGUUUAUAAGUUUAUUAGUUUAGCGGUCACACAAUUUUUUAAUCUUUUUUUUUAUUCUGCCACCACACACGUGCCUCGUUAUCUACGAGUACAUUGCGAGCGACUACAAGAUCUUGUACCCGAAAAAAUUCUUCUUUCUCCUGAAAAAAUUUCCUCUAAAAACAUAUCAAUCCACGGUAGAUCGCUAAUAAAUUGCCCCUAAUAUUUCAAAACAGGCCACGUCAUCGUAUUGGGCCCAUCAGGAGGGACGCGCGGGCAUGCGGGAAAUUAGGAUUGGAGGACGAACACCAACGCUAAAAUAUACGUGGUGGCAAGCUGUUUUUUAGCAUCGUUAAAAAGUUGGGGAAGGUUUGGAUGGACUGUUGGAGUUCUUUUUUUCUCUUUUUCUCCCUAAAAAGGAUAUUGGGGGUAAAAUUAGUAGUCUUUUGGAGUUGCUCUUACCAUAAAAAAUAGUACCACUUAAAAUCUUAUAAUAAGUUUAGAAAAAUACUAGUACCAUACAAAAUUGUGGACUUAAUUAGUGCUAAUUGCAGGGUGCAGGCAUGCCGUCUUCCGUUUGCAUGACUCCUUGAACCGAUUUUUUGGAUUGUUUGGAUCACUUUGUGGAAACACGUUUCCAUGAACCUGUUUUCACAUAAAGAACUCUAAAUCUUUGUUUGGAUAACCUAACAGAAUCCGGUACUUGGAAAAUGAGUUUCCCAAAAAUCAGAAAAAGAUGUUUUAAUGAAAACACACUGCUACAGAAGUCCCUAUCACCGCUGGCCCAAAAAUGACAUCCGUCAAUUUUGGACAUUGCUGGCAAACGAUCGGUGGUGAUGGGCAUAGCUCCGUUGCUCCGAGGUAAUCUCGGGGGUGUUUGGUUUGCAUAAGCAGCUAAAAUAACCAACUUUUAGUAAAAAAACCAAACACCCUUGUUUAUUGGAGCUAAAGUUGGAUUUCUUAUCAUAAGUCCAUAAGCAACACUUGGGUUGUAUUAGAGCUAAAAGGUGAUCUUUAUACCCCUGCUCUCAUUUAUGUCUGGUUGUCUCCCCCUCUCUCUCCCCCUCAUUCAAUGCUUUUUAGGAGCAAACAUGUCAAUAUCAACCCCAUUCAAUGCUGUUUAGCCCAUCAAACCAAACACCUAAGGGCCUGUUUCUUUCCACCCUCAUAAAGUUUUAGCUCCUAAAAGAUUUUAGGCACCUCCUAAAGUAUGUUUGGUUCCACCUCCUAAAAGUGACUAAAGGCAAUGAAUGAAGUGGUAAAAUGACCAAGAUGCACCUCUCCCCCACCAACCCGCUACCCCUGUUCCCCUCCACGGCGUUCCCCGAGCUGAGCAGAGCCCGUCCGCUGAUCAAAUCCCCAGCCUCUGCUCCACCAUCUUCAAAUCGUCGCCUCCCACGGCUUCCUGACCCCCUCCUCUUCCCCCUCGACCACUCCUUGUCCGCCGCCGUAGCUCCUGGCGCCGGGAAUGUCAGAUCCCGCGGCCGCCAUUCCCGCCCGCCCAAGCUCGGGUGCCGCCGCCGAACACCACCUCCCCGGCCUCCUCGUCCCCAACAAGCAGCCAAAACGGGGUCGUGGUGAAGCCCCGGUGCUCCUGCGCCCAUCACCGGCCGCUCUACCUCGCCGUGCCGGACUCCCGGCACCGCUCCCCAUCCGCCGGCCAAGCGUUGCCAACUCAUGCCUGUGUGCGUGGGUGUGUUGAGGGUGCUGGGCGGCGGCGGGAGUUGGGCGGCGGGAGAUGGGCGGCCGCGGCAGCCCUACACGCGGCUGCUGGCCGCCGGGGCGCGGGACGCGGUGGCCACGGCGGCGACGUGGCACCCGUGGCGCCCUGCAUGCCGCUCGCCGCGGGCGUCGCGGCGGGGAUGGACGGCGGGAGAUGGGCGGCGGCAGGAGAUAGGCGGCGGCGGCGGGAGUCGGGCGGCGGCGGGAGUCGAGCAGGAGAGAGAGAGGGUAAGGUGGGGUCUGGUGUGCGGUGGGGGUGGGUGUGGGGGUAGGAGCGGUCCAGAACCGAUUUUAGUCGGUUUUAGGAGGGGGUGAGGGCCUAAAAGAUUUGGACCUCCUAAAAGAUUUUAGUCACUUUUUAGGAGAAGUGUUUGGCACUUUAGGCAGUUUUUAGUCACUUUUUAGGAGGUAAGGUUUUAGGAGGGUGGAAACAAAUAGGCCCUACGACUAAAAAUAAGCAACUCCAAACAGACCCCUCCUCUUCUUAUGGAUCAAUUUAAUGCCCAGAGAUAGGCCCGUGUCCUGUGUUUUAUUAAGUAAUAUAUUUAGAGCAAUUAUUGUUUGUAGUAAUUGGGCAGUUAAACUCUAUGGUUGAUUGCUUGUGCGAUAACCAUUUUUGUUCUCACCUUAAAGUGUUCGUGUGUUUUAUGCGGGCUUGGUUAUAUAUAUAUUUGUAGUUGUAGCUGUUUGCUGUAAACAAGUCCAGUGGUGGGAAGCGGCUGUUUUAUUUUUUGAUAAAGCAAUAAGCGGGUAGUUUAUUAGCUGCAAGUGAAAGCAAUAGAGAUUGCGUGGGAUAAUAGAUUAAUUAGGGUAUACAACAUGUACAAAUAUAUAGGCAGCUUUUGGUGAGGUUUAUAGAAACACAACCGACCAAGGGAUAAGACUGCCCAUCCUAAUCCAUCUAGGGCACGGCAGGGCAGCCAGGGCUCAUCUACACGCACAACACAUACAAUACAUACACAUCUUCUAACACGCCCCCACAGUCUGAUCAUCGGCAGCUUGAACGUUCAUAUUGGACCUGAACUCCGUGAACACUAAAGAAUGCAGGCCUUUGGUGAAAAUGUCAGCGUCCUGAGAGCUCGUCGGAACAUGAAACACCCAGACAUAGUAGCAACACACUCACGAACAAAGUGUAGAUCAAUCUCCACAUGUUUUAUGCGCUGAUGCUGAACGAGGUUCGAAGACAUGUAGACAGUGUUGAUGUUAUCGCAAUAAACCAAGGUGGUGCAACGCAGAGGAACAUGCAGCUCAACUAGAAGUUGGCGCAACCAGGAGACCUCGGCAACGGGAUUGGCAACCGCCCGAUACUCAGCCUCGGCACUCGAGCAAAAGACUAUAGUCUGUCGCUUUGAAGACCAAGAGACCAAAUUGUCACCCAAAAAGAUGUCAUACCCGGAAGUGGACUUCCGGGUGUCUGGGCAACCAGCCCAAUCAGUGUCGGAGUAAACCAGCAAAUCCGACUGAGUAGAGGGCCGGAGAUGCAAACCCAAGUGAAGAGUGCCACGAAUAUACCGCAAAAUGUGCUUCAAGGCGGCAAGAUGUGGCUCACGAGGAUCAUGCAUGUGUAGACAAACCUGCUUCGGCAUAAGCAAUAUCGGGAUGAGUGAAGGUGAGAUACUGUAGAGCACCAGCAAGGCUCCAAAAAUCAGUCCCAUUGACAAGUGGGGGACUGUCAGUAGCAGACAGCUUCAGAUUUGUAUCAACCGGUGUGGAACAAGGUUUGCAAUCAGUCAUACCAGCACGCUCCAGAAUCUUCAACAUAAACUGGCACUGAGAUAGAAGAAGACCAUCACCACACCACUGAACAUGCAUACCUAGAAAAUGAUGAAGUUCACCAAGAUCCUUCAUCGAAAACUCCCGUUGUAAGGCAUCAAUAGUGCAACAUAGAAGAGGUGUUGAGAAUGCCAUGAGAACAAUAUCAUCCACAUAAAGAAGAAGAUAGACCAUAUUGUCGCCGCGGUGGUACACAAACAGGGAAGUGUCGGUCUUGGCUUCCACAAAGCCAAGCUGUAGCAGCUGUACCAAGCACGAGGAGCCUGCUUAAGUCCAUAUAGAGAGCGAUUCAACCGACAAACAUGAUCAGGAUGGGCGGUAUCAUCAAAAUCAGCAGGCUGAGCACAGUAGACUGUCUCUAAAAGCAUCCCGUGCAGAAAAGCAUUCUUCACAUCCAACUGAUGAAUCGGCCAAUGAUGAGAAAGAGCUAGGGACAGCACUAUACGGACGGUGGCUAGCUUGAUGAUAGGACUGAAAGUCUCAGAAAAAUCAAUCCCAGGGCACUAAGUAAACCCGUGAAGUACCCAUCACGCUUUGUAGCACUCCAGAGAACCAUUGGCAUGAAACUUGUGCUUGAAAACCCAUUAUCCAGUAAUAACAUUGGCCCGAGUAGGACAUGGUACAAGAUUCCACGUGUGAUUGGCCAGCAGUGCGUCGAACUCCUCUUGCAUGGCUCGACGCCAAUUAGGAUCAGCAAGAGCACCUCGGUAAGUGUGAGGCACUGGGGACAGCUGGGAGGAAUGAAAAAGUGUUAGCAAACCGAAUCCCAGCUUCCCACACGUCGUCAUGGGGUGCUGAUUGGCAACGGGACGCACGGGAACCGCACCACGAGGAAGAACGGCCGGACCAGGAGGCUGCAUGGGGAGAGAACCGAGGGCAUUCGCCGGUGCGGUCGGGGCGCUCGCCCGACCGAGCAGAGUGGUCGCCGGUGCGGUUAGGGCAUUCACCUGACCGAGCGAAGCGGGCGCCGGUGCCGUCGGGGCGCGCAGCCGACUGAUCGGAGAGCUCGCCGACGCGGUCAGUGCGGUCGCCCAACCGUGUGUAGCGCUCGCCGGUGCGGUCGGGGCGCUCAGAUGACCGAGCGGAGCGAUCGCCGAUGCCGUCGGGGUGCUGAGCCGACUGAUCGGAGAGCUCGCCAGUGUGGUCGGGGCGCUCGCCCGACUGAGCGGAGUGGUCACCGGUGUGGUCGAGGCACGCAACUGACCGAUCGGAGAGCUUGCCGGUGCGGUCGGGACGUUCGCCGGAUUGAUCAGAGUGCUCGCUGGUACGGUUGGGGUGCUCGCCCGACCGAUUGGACCGGUCAGGGACGUACUUGCGCAUGGCACGGUCGCAGUCGGGAGGGUUGUGGUCGUGGUCGGUGAUGGCAUGGCCCCAGCAGGGUCCGGCGAUGCAGCAGGCUUCCACAACGGAGAAGUCGAAGGUGCGCUGGGUGAAAGUCCUUCAAGCAACAUAGAUGGUGCCAAGCCAAUAGGAGGCAGCACCAAAUAAGAAGGCUCCAAUAAAAAAUCAAAGUCCUUGUUAGCUGGGGGUGGUUGUUGCUAACAAAAGGAAAAGGUAGUCUCAUCAAACACGACAUGGUGAGAGAUGAUGACCCGGUUGGAUGAGAGAUCAAGGCAGCGGUAUCGCAUAUGAUGAGCAGAAUAGCCAAGAAAAACGCACAAGGUGGAGCAAGGAGCAAGUUUGUGUGGCGUAGUAGCGGAAAGAUUCGGAUAGCAAGUGCAACUAAAAACCCGGAGAUGAACAUAAGGCGGCGAGAUGCAAAACAGACCCAUGUGCGGCAUGGAGGAGCUAAGAGUUUUAGUAGGUAGAAUGUUCAGUUAGUGUGUGGCAGUGUGUUGAGGCUCAACCCAAUAGGAGGGAGGCAUACUAGCCUGAAAGAGAAAGGAGUGGACAACAUUGUUGACGCUCCAAAUCAUACGCUCGACUCGGCCAUUCUGGAGCAAUGUAUAGGGGCAGGACAUGCGAAGAUGGAUCCCAUGCGUGAGGAAGAAGGUGUGUGUGCUGGAGUUAUUGAACUCACGGCCGUUGUCACACUGAACGGCCUUCACAGUGGCGAACUGAGUACACACAGAGGAGAAGAAGUUAGCCAGAAUCGCAAAACUGUCAGAUUUGAGACGUAAAGGGAACAUCCACAAAUAAUGAGAAUAAUCAUCAAGAAUAAGCAAGUAGCAUUUAUAACCAGACACACUGGGAACAGGAGACGUCCACAAAUCACAAUGAAUAAGGCCAAAAUUACUAAACGCUCUAGAAGCAGAUAAUUGAAAAGGGAGGCGAGUGUGCCGCCCUAACUGACACGCAUGACAGAUGGUAUGAAUGUCCUUAUUACAAAAAGGAAUGACCGAAGCGACUUUGGACAAAACUUCAUGGCUGGGAUGUCAGAGAUGGCAAUGCACACAGAGGAGGUGGAGACAACAACGACAACGUGGGCAGCAGGAAACGACAGGGGAUAGAGUGGCCCGGAGCUAUUGCACUUGACGAUCAGCCUCCAAGACGCUAGAUCCUUCACAGAGCAGCCAGCGGAAUCAAAUUUAAUAGAACAAUUGUUAUCAGAAGCAAACUGGCGAACUGAAAUAAGGUUCUUAAUAAGUUUAGGUAAAACUAGAACAUUGUUAAGGGACAAGGAACCCGGAAAGUGAGCGGCGCCAGUAGCCGUGAUAGGAAGCAAGGAACCGUCACCGACAACAAUUGAUGAAGGAAAGGGAUACCGCGGAUGAGAACAAUGUGAAAGAGUACCACCGUCUGAAGUCAUGUGUGAGGUGGCACCUGAAUCAAGAUACUAGUCAUUCGUCUGCGGUUGGUUGAGAGUCAUGGUGCUGAACGUCGAGGCGAGGGACUGGCUGAUCCUAGGAGGAGGGCAGGCCCGUCAUGGGAUUGUAGAACCCCGGGGGCACCUGUGGCGCCCGCUGCCCUAGGUAGGGUGCGUGCUGCCCUAGGGGGUCUGAAGGCUCUGGAGCUGCGCCUGCUGCUAGGCAAGGAGGGCCUGCUGCGCCUACUACUGAAACACUGGUGUGGGCGCGGCUGGACGGGGAGGAACGGUGGCCUGCUGCCAAGGGCCCGGGUACAUCUAAAUUGUACUGGACCAGGGGUUCCAGAAGGAGGGCCAAGGACCACCGGACACCUGGGUGGUGCCGGGGGCAGGGGUCUGGGCACCGGCGGCACAGGCCUUGCUGUCGUUGCCAUGGCCCUACCGCUGCUGACCACCACGUUGGCCCCUGUCCCGCUUCUGCUUGGAGGAGGGCCCCCCUUGCCGCCCCCGGAGCAGGAAUGCCAAGCAGACUGGUGGGGAGGCGCAGAGGGGCGAGAGGAGGAGCCAGUGUUGACGCCGGUGAGCAGCGCUGUGGAUGGAGUCGAGGAAGGAGGCGCCAUCGUGAGCUUCUCGAGAAGCAGAUCGUCGCGGGCCUCCAGGAAGGAGCGAAGACGACAAGAGCGCCGGAUGUCGUGGCUGACGGCGGCGAACUUGUCAUUGAGUCCGCGAAUGAUGUUGAGGACGAGGGUGCGGUCGGAGACUUGCUCACCGAGAUCACCGAGGGCGUCCUCCAUGCUCUUGAAGCGGCGGCAGUAGUCCGUAAUGGACAAGUCGCCCUGGACAAAGGUCUGGAACUUGGCGUCGAGGUAGAGGGCCCGCGUCUCCCAGGUUGCCAAGAAACUGCGUCUCAAUGGCGAGCCAGGCGGCACGGGCGGUGGCGCCGCGCUCCCCACGAUCCAUGAUGAUGUCGGUGGCGAUGGUGCCGUAGAGCCAAGACCGGACGACGCAGUCCAUCUGGCCCCAAUCAAGAGAGGCCAAGGCGGGAACGUCACGGAGAACGUGAUCCUGCAGCGAGUACUUGCUGACGGUGAGGAGAAACUGCUCAUGCCACCAUGAGUAGUUGUCGAUAGCGGUGUCGAGGAUGACGGGGAUGAGGCUCCGAAUGUUCUGCACGACGACGGCUUGGGUGUGCAGGUUGAGGACGGCGGCGGCCUCGUGGAGCAUCAUGUCCUGGUGAGCGUCAGGCCCCUAGUCGGAGAGGUUGUGGCUGGGGUCCUCCUCGUCGGAGUCAGAUGAGGUGCCCUUGCGCUCCUGGACAGAACGCGCCAGGGCCUCGCAAAGGUGGGCAUUGGCGGCGUCGCGCUCCUGCGCGGCAGUGGCGGCCUCGACCUCAACCGUGACGGCACGAGCGAGGGCGGCGGCGCUACCAUCAACCGCGCGCUUGGCGGCGGAGGACUCGGGCGGCAGAGUGCCGGCCAUGGAGGCAGCGGCGGUGGAGAGCCGAGGUAAGAGCAGCGCCGCGGGCGGGCAUGCUGAGAGCUGCGCCGACGGAGGCGUGCUGGGAGCUGCGCCGGCUGCGUGCUAGGAUGCGGAAGGUAAGGAAUCGGGGAUAACCCGAACUCGUGGACUCGUGAUACCAUGAAAACACUAGAGAUUGCAUGGGAUAAUUGAUUAAUUAGGGUAUACAACAUGUACAAAUAUAUAGGCAGCUCUUGGUGAGGUUUAUAGAUACACAACUGACCAAGGGAUAAAACUGCCCAUCCUAAUCCAUCUAGGCACGUCAAAGCAGCCAAAGUCUAUGUACACGUACNNNNNNNNNNNNNNNNNNNNNNNNNNNNNNNNNNNNNNNNNNNNNNNNNNNNNNNNNNNNNNNNNNNNNNNNNNNNNNNNNNNNNNNNNNNNNNNNNNNNNNNNNNNNNNNNNNNNNNNNNNNNNNNNNNNNNNNNNNNNNNNNNNNNNNNNNNNNNNNNNNNNNNNNNNNNNNNNNNNNNNNNNNNNNNNNNNNNNNNNNNNNNNNNNNNNNNNNNNNNNNNNNNNNNNNNNNNNNNNNNNNNNNNNNNNNNNNNNNNNNNNNNNNNNNNNNNNNNNNNNNNNNNNNNNNNNNNNNNNNNNNNNNNNNNNNNNNNNNNNNNNNNNNNNNNNNNNNNNNNNNNNNNNNNNNNNNNNNNNNGGGCCCCGAACUAGAGUCUAGGACGUAAGGCUUAAACUUUGUACGAUCUCCCCAUUUCGCAAGCUCCCAGCUAAUAAUCUGUAGUGUAUGUUGACCUACGUCAAAAACCGACAGCAGUGAGUUUUCAGCUUAUUUUAACUUGACUAUGGAUUACCUAGGUCUAUACGUUGAUAUCUAUGACUUAUUUUCAUGUCGAGAUGUUGUCUUGAUUAUAUCAGCACGACAUCGACCAUGCCUACUGGCAAGUAUCCACGUCAUCGCCGUGCGUCCACUCUCUGUUUCUAUCGUCGGAAAUACUGGGUACAGAAGAUAAACUGUUAGUUACGUCCAUGAUGCUUGGUGGAUAUCCUCUGCUGUCUAUACAUUACAGGCCACUUUAUCGUCAUGUGCUUCUACCUAAUCUGUCUUCCUCUAUACCACUUACUUACUCUGACCUUCCCGAGCAGGGGCACACAAGACGGAAUCUAUUAAGCCUAAUUAGUCCAUGAUUUGACAAUGUGUUGCUAUAGUAAAUAUUUGCUAAUGAUGGAUUAAUUAGGUUUAAUACAUUCGUCUCGCCGUUUAGCCUCCACUUAUGUAAUGGGUUUUGUAAAUAGUCUACGUUUAAUACUCCUAAUUAGUAUCUAAACAUUCGAUGUGACACGUGCUUAUUUAUAAGCAAAGGAACCGAACGCCCCCUCAAUUGACUUGACGUUCGAAAAAAAAACUUCAACUGACAUGGGAAGUACUAUUACAGUAAUAAACGAAGGAUAGGCCGGCAGGCUAUCAGAAGCUGCUGCUGCUACUAGUGGUAGAGAGAUUGGCGCGAGACGGCGAGAGUAGGUCCGGAGGCAUUGACGCCGCCUGGCACACGUCCUCCGCCGACGGAGCGACGCAGCGGGGGGAGCCACAGGCGCUGUAAAUGGCGGUCGAGGGGAGUGGCUCUCACAUGGCUCCGUAAAUUGCUGGCCCGUCCGUCCUGCAAUCCUGCAAGCCCUGGCGCGGAUCAUGUGCAUGGGGUCGUAGAUCUGAGUCAAGUCAAUAAACUUCCCCGUUGUUUCAGCUGUGGGGGUGUUUGGUUCCCACGCUAGACUUCAGCACAUGUGGCAUCGAAUGUUUAAAUACUAAUUAGAAGUAUUAAAUAUAGAGUAUUUACAAAACCCAUUGCAUAGAUGGAGGCUAAACAGCGAGACGAAUUAAGCCUAAUUAGUCUAUGAUUUGACUGCUACAGUAACCAUUUGCUAAUGAUGGAUUAAUUAGGCUUAACAGAUUCGUCUCGCCAUUUAGCUUUCAUCUGUGCAAUUAAUUUUAUAAUUAAAUUAUAUUUAAUUCUUCUAAUUAGCCUCCGAAGAUUUGAUGUGACACGGACUAAACUUUAGCUCAAGAAACCAAACACUAGAUGUGCCUCUUUGGUGGAGCUUCGGGUGAUUCCGACUGUACCUUGCACAUGCCUUAACUGUACGAUUUUACUACUAUGGCAAGGAGUAAAAUGAAAAUCGAGGUAACUAGAUGAGCUCCAAAUUCUAGCUUCACCAGCUCCGACUCCUCUAGUGCUACAGUAUCCAUUUCAGGUGGAGUCGGACUGUGAUGAAUUGAAGCUCCACCAAAGGAGCUCGUAUAUCCCUUGUUUCAUCUCUCUCUAUAUAUAAGAAACGCAGCGGGUAUAGAUGGAGCAGAUCUCAUUCCUGCCCGGGCCUUAUAGACGAUAAAGUUAGCAUCAACUAGCCCCAUCCCAGCAAGUGUGUUCCAGGAAUCCAGGUCAGUGCUGUGUUAGAACCAUCAGCCAGCCCUUUGUCAUGUAUAUACUUUUGAUUCAUUUGUUAACCGUCGUUCUAUAUCUGUAUACAGUAAUAAUUUCUUUGAUGCGUGUGUCUAUCGAACAGAAAUUUGUUUUUAAACCGAAUCUAGACACUUGAUUUGCUGAUCCUUGUUCUGUGAGUUCAAAUUAUCCUAGUGCAUCCCAGAGGCAAAGGCCCCGAAGACAGGUUUUUGUUUUUCAGAGAAACAUACAAAUUACCUUAAGUAUAAGCAUGUUUCAGAUAUUAGAUGGUCUAGAUUCAUCCAUUCAUGGGUCAAAUCCCGAUCUUGAGAAGAUCUCGUGCCGGCUUGUUGCAUACAUAGUAUGCAUUUGGAUUAACACGGUGGUUGAGCUAUUGGGACAGAAAAGGUAGGAGGGAAAGGGGACAGAGCAACAGCAGCACCAAUGCAUCGUGGUUCAUGGACCAAGAGCCGUGCCGUGCUCUGGCUGUGCGGCUGCAGGCGACCGCGCGCGAGCAGGGGAGGGGAGGUCAUGCCUGCAAACCGCACGACGCGGCGCUGCUACUGCUAGAGCGAACAUAGUAAUUACAAGAGGAGCCAUCUGCUCGUUGCUCGCUCCUAGGAGAAUCUGUUUUCCCAGGAGUAUACCACUAACGCUGUAAUAAACUGAUCCUCCUUGCAAUGUAUUUCGUUUGUUAAAAAUGUGGUUUAUUUCGUAUGCCCCAUAUGUCAAACAGUCUCCAUUGAAAGUAAAAAAUUGUAGCUGUCUCAUCCCUCAGAAUUUUUGGAUUGUAGAAAUGGAAGAUCUUGUCCAAAAAGAAGUUGACGCCCUGCGGAAGAUAUUGACUGAUACAAGUGGGGAGCCAAUCAAACUAUCAUAUGCAACUAUAGAUAACCUUGUAGGAGAUUUCUCUGAUGAAGACUGUGUGAUUGGUCGUGGUGGAUUUGGGGUGGUCUACAUGGUACGAUUUGUUCUUAAGUAACCCAUUUAUAUAUACUAUCAGUUUUUCAUAUAGUUGCCCGUGGAGAGACACGCUCAAGCCAAUGAUAAACAGAGUAAUAUGGUAUGCUGAACUGCAGGGAACUCUUUGGGAUGCUGGUUCUCCAAUGAAGGUUGCUAUCAAGAAGCUUAAUUCGACAUCGCCUAGUUUUGACGACGAACAAUUUGUUAAGGAGGUUCGAUGCUUGAAAAUGGCAAAGCACAAAAAUAUAGUUCAAUUUCUAGGAUAUUGCGCAGAUACAGCUAACGAAGUAAUGGAGCUCCCCGAUGGAAAACAUGUUUUGGUAGAAGCACUACGGCAACGGUUGCUCUGCUUCAAGUAUGCACCUAAUGGAAGCCUUGACCAUUUUAUUAACAAAGGUAUAAAGCUUGCAAACUUUUGUUUUGUUUUUCUUUUUGGUUUGCGCUUGGAUCAUUGAACAAGUUCUUUUUUUUAGAUUGAACAAGAAGUGCUGGUUCAUCUUACAUAGAAAAUGUACGCGUCAGUUACUAAGGCGAAUUAACUGGUCAUUAAAUUAGUCACAAAUGCAUAUGCCGGCGCCUUUGCACUUGUUUUACCAGUCCUGCUCCUGCCUAUGAACAACUGUUAUCAAUGGUAAAGACUAAAAGACCAAAUGUCAACAUAUAAUGCACCAAUUCCAUCUCCGCGUCCUCCAAACCGCUCCAUUUCCCCUGCCGCAUCUCCACUGAUACAGUGCUUGGUCAUCCUUGCUACUUGGCUCCUCUCCUCCCUCUUCAUCGCCGGUACCCAUGUUUUUUUCCCUAGUCAUCUGUGCACUGUUAUGCGUUCUUUUAUAAGACAAUUCCCUUAGUGCCAUCAAAAUUUACAUGACCUUACUUCAGUGCCAUAUAAUUUUAUGAAUUCCUUUAGUGCUAUUGAAUCUAAGAUUUAUCCCCUCACUACUGUUCCGUCCAUAUUUCUAUCCAUAUGCUGUUAGGUGUGGGCUGAAAAGAAACUUCCGAGUGAGGUCCCACCUGUCAGUGCUCCUUUCAAUCCACAUAACUUAAGAGGAGUAAAACUAUUUUUUUUCCAACCACACUUAACGACACAUGGAUGGAAAUAUUGACCGAAUGGCACUAAGGGGUUCAAGCUUAGAUUUAAUGGCAUUGAAGGGAUUUCGUGAAAUUUUUAUGGCACUAAGGGAAGCUAUGUGAAUUUUAUAGCACUAAGGGAAUUGGCUUUUCUUUUAUUUGUCUAGCCCAUCACAGCCGCCAGUGUCACCUUUAGUUUCAUUUUGCCCACGCUUAGCGGUUCCUAGACUAAUUACAGGUACAUCUGUUAAACGAUAUUUUAAAGCGAAGUGGUCCAGGCUGAUUCUAUAAAGUGAACUAUAAAUGGAUCGGAUGAGAGCUGAAAAAAAAACUAGUUUCUCUUACGGUAUCUUUAGGGAAUCAAUUUUAGUCACACAAUUACGUUUGUUAGAGAAAAACUUCCGACGGAGGCAAAAGCAAGAGGAGCUCUAUCAAACUAGCUUUUUCCCCAUGUAUUUUGUUUCGUUCUUCCCGGUCACUCCUACUCCAGCUGCAGUAAACUUUUUUUUAGCAUCACUCUCUUGUGUUAUAUUGUGCUAUUGAGUCUCGCUUUGUGAAUACUUAGAACUGCUUUGUGAUGGUCCCAUUCUUCGCACGCCCAAUACUGACAAAAACCCUUUUAAUUCUUUUUACGAUUUCAAAUUUCUUUUUACGAUUUCAAAUCUCCUCUUCCAUCGUUCAGUUGUCCAUUUGAAUUCAAAUGUUCACUAAUUAGCACUGCUAUUUUGUAUGUUUUGCCAGUAAAACAUUUGAGUUCUCGAAUUAUCUAGUAUUGUGUAUGUUUGGUAUAGGUAAAUUUAAGUAGAAAUGUACUUAAAAUUACCUUUUAUGUCAAGGCUCAUCUUCACUAUGGAUGUCAUUUGAAUUCUCUUCUGUUCACUUUUAUAGGGAAUUUUCAUGCGAUGGAUUGGACUACACGCUAUCGAAUAAUUAAAGGCAUCUGUCAGGGUUUGCAAUAUCUUCACGAAAACCGUAUUAAUCAUUUAGAUCUUAAACCUGAAAAUGUGCUGCUGGACAUUGACAUGGAGCCUAAAAUUACAGACUUUGGUCUGUCAAGGUGCUUUGAUGAAAAACAGAGUAGAAUUCAAACUAAUAACAUUUGUGGAACACCGUAAGCACUGCCUCUUCAGAACUCAAUGCAUUAGUCCUGAAAACAAAUCUUAAAAACAUGCAUAUUGUGCCAAGAUGCUUCAACCUACCAUAUUGCCUGCAGGGGAUAUAUUGCACCAGAAAUUAUAGAUUGUGGAGACGUAUCGUACAAGUCAGAUAUAUACAGUCUGGGUGUCAUAAUAUCAAAACUAUCAACUGGAUGUAGCAUGCCUGGCGCUAACUAUGUAAGGAUAAUAGACAUAAUCAUGUUUUCCCAUUUUAUGUGCCAAAUAUUACAAUUCUUAUGCUUCCUUUACGUAGAUGAAUAUUCUGAAAAUUGUCUUUCUUUUACUGAUAUUGUUAGUAAAAUAUGUUAAACUUGCAUCAUUCCUAUUGUUUUGCAAUAUACUGUGUCUCCAUCCCAAAAAAGAUUGCACUUCUCGUUUUGUUCUAAGUCAAUUUAACCAAGUUUAUAAAAACAUCAACACUUAUGAUACCAAAUUUUGAUUCAUCAUGAAAUAUAUUUCAUAAUAUUCGGUAUUAUAAAUGUUGAUAUUCUUCUCCAUAGACUUGGUCGACCUAAAGGUGCAAUUUUUUUCGAACAGAGGUAGUAUAGUACUACUAUAUUCAUUAUUAUGAUCUUUAUCUUCACAGUGGAAUAAAUCACUAGAUGUAGACUACCUGUAAAUAUGCUUGCUGUCAUCUUUAUUACUGUGCGUUUUGUCUUUGCAGUCGAAUAUAUCACAUGAACACUUGCAACAUAUGAUGAAACGUGUUGACGAAUUAGCUAAAAGUUGUGGGGAUGAUGACCAACAUAAAAGACCUAAUAUUAACGAGUUACUUUGUAAGCUGGAUGAGAUAGAAUCUGAGAUUGAAAUGGUGAUUCGAGUGAAUGGAACUUCAAUAGACCAGGUACGACCAUUUUUCUUCCCUCACGAACCUUGCAUAGGGACCUCGCUACGUGGUGCAUAUUUCAGGCAAUGAGAUUAUUGAUUGUUUUAAUGACUGCUUUAAUCUUGAUAGUUUUACUGAUUGUUGUGCAAUGAGAUUCGGGUUGCUAGAUGUAUCUGGAUAUUCAUAUAUACUCCAUCCAUUUCAAAUUGUAGAUCAUUUUGGAUCAUUUUGGUAUUCCUAGGUUCAUAGAUAUUAUUAUGCAUCUAAAUAUAGUGUAUGUCUAGAUGUAUAAUAAUAUCUAUGAACCUUAAAAAGUUAAAACGACCUACAAUUUGGAACGGAGGAGUAUGUAAUACCCUUGCCAAAUAUACGAUUGGCCAGUGGAAGAAUUAGGAAAGAUUCUGCCCGCGUGUGAUGGGCAACUCGUCUGGACAUGACGACCUCAGCACCCUCGCCUUGUGCGCUAAUCCGUUGGGGGAAGGAACGAUCAGAGUGCUUGAGUUUAUUUUUUUAUUCCCUUGCCUCGAAGUGUUUGGAGGUCAAUUUAUCCUAUGACAACUAGCAGUUGACAUCCACAAUGUGUAAAGUUCGGCCAUGGUUCGAUAUUGAAUUGUACUGGAGCUGCUAUUACUGGCUGGCUCAAAACAGUGACCAAAAAAACGCCAUGCGCGGACCCAAGCAGUAUAUUGGCCGGGUCGGAUGUGAGGUUGUAAAUGGCUUUUUUAUUUGGAACUUUAUACAUUUUUCUCUCAAACCUGAACUCUUUUUGAAUCCAUUUUAACCACAUUGUUGUUGAGAAUUAGUCCAACAUAAUAAGAUCAUGAGUAUAUAUAUAUUGUGAUUUCAAAAGUAUACAUUUUUAGUCUACUAUAAUUCAACAUUUCCAAAGUAAAAUGUUAAAUUUGCUUAGUCGAAAUGUUAAGUUAGCCUUUUUUUUAUAUUGUUGAAUCAAGGUUUAUAGAAAAUGCUGAAUGUAUAUGGCCAUAUGGGAGAUGUUACUAUUUCCAAACAAAUGUUAAACAUGCCAUUUCAAGUUAUCGUAAAAAGCUUGAAAUUAAAAUUUGUUGAAUAAAGCUAAUCUGCUAAAUUGUUUAUCGCACAUAGAAAUAAUAAAUUUCAUAGUUUUAUAAAAACAUAUUAAUUAAUUGGAAAAAGUCCAUUUUCACCAUCCAAGUAUUGCCUUCAUUUGAGUUUGGCCAUCCAAUUCCAAAACCAGGCAGAGGGGAUGACCAGAUUCGUGUGGAUUCGUGAUCAGUUUGCGGCUUAACGAGCAAGAGGCUCGCGCCGACCAUGAUCGAACAGCCAAGAUCAUGACUUUGCUGGAUCUAAUGGCUAGCAUAGCGGGUUAAUGGGUGACGUGAACCCACUACCUGCCCGCAGAAUAACCUGCAUUUCGUCUUUUAGAGAUACUCACGCAUCCACGUAAUUAGCGUGCAUACAACUAUACAUAUUGUUAUUUUUUAUGUUAUAGACUUUUUAACUAACGCGUCGACUGUAAAACCACACCAUAAUUUUCUUGUUAGGGUUUAUUUUCCCGAUCAUAUUUUUGUGACUCUAGAAACAAUAUAUUUUACGGUUGUGAAGAUAUUAAUUUUUACCAUAAAAAUUGUUUCCUCAGCAAAGCAUUUUUGUUUUUUUAGUUCAGUCAAGGCUGAUAAUUCACAUUUUUUGCAGGAGCCUCUUCAUGUCCACCCCCGCAAACUCGUCUGGCCCUUGGCGGCAAACAAUAGCAUGCCUUUCCCACUGCAUCUGACCAACAAGAGCACAGAUGAUCAUUUUGCUUUUAUGUUUCUGGAUUUCGGCGGGGUUGCGUCCUCCUGCUCCAUACUAGGUAACAAAGGAGUCAUUCCACCCCAAUCAACGUGGGGAAUCGUCCUACACUUGCAACUACAAGCAGGGGAGCCGGCAGUAUCGGAGAAGCAGGGCAAGGAAAUGGUCAUCGUGCGGAGCACCGUUGUGGAAAAGGGCUUCCGUAGUAACGAUAUCACUGUGGACAUGUUCAAGAGACACCUUAGUGUGCAGGAUAGAGUUGGAAGUUAUUUUUGUGGAACCACCCCAAUCACAACCCCUCCAACUAUAUGAAUUUGAUCAUAAGCUGCAGUUGGAUGCAAACGAGGGAACAAGCCAUGGAACCACACAGGUGAGUCUCUCUUUUUAAUGCCUUUUGAGAACAGCGCUCCUAUGUAUUAAGGUUCAUCAGGCAUCAGCAUCUAGUGCCGCCACCAUAGCUUGCCUGACUAGCAAACUAGGUAUGUAUGUGUUGAAGGUGGUGCCGGCUGCCCUAUGGAAUGGCGGGGGGCGAGUGCACGAGGCAAAAACGCCAAAAAUAUAAUUGAUGGCAUACUCGGAAAAUUUGUCAAAUAACAUUUUAGUUCCUCAAAUAACAUUUUAAUUGGAUCUAUGGUUCCAAUUAAUUUAUACUAGUGACCACUAUCAAAGUUUGAAAGAAGGCUAACAACGCUUGCCGCGCGUUGUACUAAGUGCCCACUACGGUACUAAAAAAAAGGCUCUAUCUUGGAUGAUGUUGCAAUUUCUUCAAAAAAAAAGCAACUUUAUUUAAGCUGCAAAAUACGAAAAAUCAUGUCGGAUUCUCAUAAAAUAUUUUAGGAAAAAAUUACUCAUAAAUUUCCUGGAUUCGUGUUUUGUACAUUAAAAUGUUGGCAGGUUUGAAAUUGAUUUUUCUUUUUCUUUUCAGAUCGGCACUUUUUGCAUAUGAAAACCUUUGAGCUUCUCAUAUGCACCCUAUAUUCUUAUACCAUCUCUAUUCUUACGUAUAUGACGUUUAGGGCAAGUAAAUUAGAACUCCAAAACGUCGUAUAUUUAAGAACGGAACAAGCACAAAGUUUGUCUCACUAACCCAUUCAACAAAAAGGAACAAGUUUAUAUAUCCAAAACAAGUGGCAUCUAUCAAUGAGUUUAUUCAAUCAAAGGUUGCGCAGCGUUUUUGUAAUGUUUCACUGGUUCUUUUAAAGAAACUAUAUAUCCAGGCGGGUCGAGUGGCCAGAAUUAAACCAUAUUAUUGCAUUAUUAUUCUCUCACAGAUAUAUGUUAAAUAACAAUAUUGCGUGCUCCUAUUUCAGACAUGCCCUGAUGAGUCCAUUAUGACUGAGCUGUUAGACAUCUACCCCUUCGUGGUCGGAUACCCGCCCAAACCAGAGAAGUUCUGUACGCGCACAAUACACCUAACCAAUACGACGGAGGAUACAGUUCAGUUUUGGAUGGUGCCUUCUGCCAAUGCCAGGUACUACAAAAAUGAGGGUGGCACGGGGUCGCAACGAUCCAAAAAGGUACCUGACCGUCAGCUUGGCUUUGUGCCGCCACAAUCUACAUAUGCUGUCUCUUGGCUCUUGUUGGACGAAAAAUGUAAGCCGACAAAUACGGAGUCAUUUGAAAUCCUGAUGGUGACUAGAACCGACGUGGGCCAUCUCUCAGGAAUUAAAGGCUAUCCAGGGGACUUUGAUGAACAAGUGUUCAACGCAGCCAGAGACAAGGGAGGCAAGUCGCACCGAGCCUGCUUAUUUGUUGACAACAAUAGUGGCCCGGACAAGAAUUAUCAUAGAUAUGAACGUGUGAGCACCACAUAUAAAAAUAUAUUUAAUUCUGCUUGUGAUUUUUUUUUGCUAUUACAUCAUUUUACAUAUCCAUGUGUAAUUGUUAAAUCUUCAGGCCUUAUUCACGAAAUAUUUCGGGAAAAUUAUAUCCAUGGACGUGCAUCCUACAAUGCCACUGUGAGUGAAUAUUUUGACUUUCUUCAAUUAGUGCAGAAUGGUUGCUGAGUUAUAUUAUCCCUCAAUAUAAACGCUCUUCUUUACCUGCAAAAAAAAUAUAAACUCUCUUCUUCUUCUUUUUUUGUUACAUAACCUAGGGUUUUGACGGGCCAUCAGAAGUUUGUUUGCAUUUGGAGAACUGAGAAGGUAGCAAAACCUUUCUAAAUCUAAGUCCACCCACUGCUGGAGAAAGCACCUUCAGUACCAGGUCCAAACCCCCCUUUAGUACCAGUUGUGCAAUCGGUAUUGCUAAUUCGAUACUAAAGGGGAUCCUUUAUACCGGUUGGGGAGACCAAUCGGUACUAAAUUGGCUGCCACGUCGUGCGUGGCCAAGGCCAAUUUAGUACCAUUGGUCUCUCCAACCGGUACUAAAUUUUUUUCUUUUUUGUUUCUUUUCUCAUUUUCUUUUAUGUUUCUUUAUUCUAUAUUAGUAUUUCAUAUUUGUUUCCUUUACGUAUACUAGUAUACUAUUAUUCUAAUACAUGCAUAUAAAUGAAAAUUUUCUCCAUUGUAGCUUAUUCUAAAAAUCAUAAAUUACUCUAGUUCUAAAACAUAAAACUUAGUAUACUAACCAUGUAUCAAGGGAGGAUGAAGUUUCUAACGUUUAGAACACUUGAAUGAGUGAAAAUCCUCACAAAAUGGUAAAAAAUCCGACAGCGCCUCCCCUUUUUGUCAUGAAUGGAUGAAGCUCAAGCUGGAGGAAAUAGCUCGGGCAGCUUUAAUAAGAAUGAAAAGCCCCACCUUUCGUACCCGUUGAAGCCUCCACCCGAUACUAAAGGUGGUCAAUAGGGCUUCUGGGGAACAAGCCGUUAGACCCGGUACUAAUGCUCACAUUUGUAUUGGGUCAAAAACCAACCGGUACUGAACCUCGAGAUAAAUGCCGAUUUUUUCGGUAGUGACCCUAUACCUCCGGCAGUCUUUUGUUGGGGAGUAUUGGUCGGUGAAUUAAUACCACCAAAUCGUUUGCACCCUAUGUUUAAAUUAUAUUAUAGAACCCUCAGGUACUUGAAGAUCAUGUAGUGGGAUUUAAUAAAUUUAUCAAUGUUUUUAUUGCACCUUCUUUGUUCAUUCUUUUAAAGGACCAAUCGUUAUACUACUACUAUUUUUAAAGAAUAAAACGAAUACACUUUUGCGCACAUUUAACCCGUUAAGCUUGCUUUGCUUUAGCAGCAGGAUCAUGUUACGGAGCACGCUCGCGGUUUGAAGGAUGCUAUGGAUUUUGUGGUUAAGUUCAUCGCAAGAAUGCAAUGGGUUCUAUCAGGGGAUAAAACUGGGAAAGUUAACGUGUACACAACAGAGUUGAAAUUACUCCAUACAUUCACUGCUCACAGUGAUCAAGUGAUAUCAAUUGCGGUUCACCCAAGUCAUCCUUAUGUGUUGACUUCAUCUGAUGACCUCCUGAUCAAGCUAUGGAACUGGGAUAAUGCCUGGACGUGCACUCGAGAAUUCCAAGGGCACUUGAAUCCUGCUACGCAAGUGGUCUUUAACCCGAAUGAUAAUGCCGACAGUUUUGCUAGUUGUUCUCGUCCUUCGUCCCGCAAUGGCCCUGGAAACGUUAAGGUUGGGCUCUCUUUUACCGCUUUAUAUUAUCAUCGCUAAUAGCAAUUCCAAGCUGGAUAACUCGUGCCUGAAAUUUAUAGAUCUGGAGGAUUGAUUCCACCAAUCCUGAAACUGACUUGUAUGGCGGAUUCAGAGCUAUUGAUUGGAGUGCACCAGUCAAAAAUGGCCAGUAUUUGGUUGCCGUUGUGGACCAUGGAUAUACAGAGGUAUAUAUGGAUUCACCAUUUUUUUUCUCCAUUGUUGAUAUGGUUACUACUACUCUCUGCACGGAGUAUUACUAUCCCAAUCUGUUUUAUUUUUCAUUUAGGAACGUGGAAAAUACUUGAACGGCUUAUAACCACUAACAUCUCACUUGAGCUUUCAUUAUAUAGUCCAGGUUUAUAUCAGUCCUAGAUAAUUUUUACAAAGUCGAGUCUGAAUUACAUAAGCUAAGGUACCUAUACUCGGACUACACAAUAUUCUAUUUCUAGUUUAUUACGACCCAUACUCUAGCAUCCCCUAUCAGUCGUAGCUGGAGCGAGGCUGACGAUUGUGAUUGGUUUUGAAAUCUCAUGCCCAUCAUUUUCUCCGCUGCAUAUCUGAUGAAUUGUCCGGCACCAUACCUGGAGGUGCAUGAGUCCUCUUCUAUUGCCGUCCCUUAUCUCUUCUACAUUCCCUCCCACAAUCAUAACAGGUGUCUUCAAUGAAAGUGAUGACAGGGACGUUGUGACUAUAGAUAUUUCUGUUGCUGAUGAGUUGCUGUAGACGUAGCCGAUCAUGAUGUGUGGCUUGUGUACUGUACAUGCAUGUGUAACCUCUGCAACCCAUGCGAUACGCCCACAAGCAAGAAGCACGUCAUGGCUAUAGCGCCGCAUAAACCGGGACAAGGAGAGGCCGUCGUCGGUCUUUUAUAGUAGGUCUAGAUCCAUGGUCCGGGUGGCCCUAGGUCUAGGUCCACCCAGCGAGGGAGAGUCCCCUCCAUGUCUACUUUCCUAAUCCUCAACUAGUUACUGCCUUUCCAUGUAAACUAUGCCGUCAUGCGUCAUGAUCUCCAUGUCAGAUACGUCUCGGUAUCCAGCCCUAUAUUUGGGACUGUCUAAACUUUUCGGUAGGUCCGAAGAUGUAUGUACGACAUCACCUACCGAUAUGUUAGUGACUUUGCCGUAUACAGUUCAUCAAGGCUCUUUUAUAAUUCUUCGGUGAAUUCUCUUUAAUUACGUAGUACUUUACAUGAUCGGAUAUGUAUAGUCAAAUUGUAUUGGCAACCUUUUGGUCCAUCACCUUCUAUUCUUUGUUAGUUAUCUUGUCUGAUUUGUUCCCCUCAAGAGUAUCAAUCUCAACCCUUGUUGGACAUCACAAUGUACUGCCACACACUGAAAAUCCCUUUGCCAUCAAAUUUCUCUACUUGAUCCCACAUCCCUAACAUUAUCUUGAUUUCGUGCUCCCUAGCAUUGUUGACCUUCUUAUAAAAUCAAAUCAAUCCAACUUGGCUCUGUCACCACUUGUUACAAUUUAAUACCCUAAUUAUGCGCAGGAGCCUUUGAAUCUUGAAAGGUCUUGUAAGUACGACAUGAGCUCGCACCAUAUCAAGAACAAUGUAGAUAAAUCUUGUAAAAAACCCUAAAUGAUAGCGUUGGAGCAACAACGACAAGAGAAUAUAGGAUUUUAGUAAAACCGAUCGCAAAUUCUUUAAGCACAACUCCACGAGUGUACAAGUGAUUGUCGUUCUCCAACAACCCUAUGCUUAACCCUCAAGGACCCUAUGAUUCUUAUCAUGUACAAGAAUCUAGUGAUGUAUAAGUAUCUAGCCUAUCUCUCUUGAGCAUUUCUAAUUAUCUUUUACAACUCUUGGAUGAGAACUUUGUGUUGGUCUUGUUUGCCCUUGGAUUGAUUGAUUUCCUAGAGCCCCCACCUUCUUGUUUACAUAGUCCCCUCCAAAACCAGCAAACAUAAAAUUAUGAGUAAUGCUUCCUAGUAGAGCUAUAAGUUGUAAUAGCACACCCUUUUGAGUCCUUGCCCCCAAGUAGGAUUUGAUGAGUCACCAUAUAACAUACGGGAACACCUUAACCUGUAGGGUUUCCUGGACUUUUAUUAUAUAGUUCAGGGUCAUAUGAGUCAUAUAUAAUUACAAAGAACAUUCUGAACUACAUAUGUUAAUUAAGAUGACAUACUCAGACUAAAUAUCCUAAUUCUAGUUUGUUAUAACUCAUCCUCUAACAAGGGCAUAGACAUGGUCUCCUAUUCAGAUAUUUUAAUGUCAGUACCUUUUAUGAGGGUUGUUGUUCAUAAUAAAUCUGCUUCUAUAUCAUUGGCAUUUGUCGAAUCUUAAUAAAUUUGUGUAUACAAAUGACCAAAAUUUUGGAAGUUGGAGUUCACGCAAUCUUAAAGGAAAACCUUAUUUUGAAAUGGAGAUAUAUAGUAUUAUUCUUCUGUUUGGUUUGCGUCAGAUUUGGGAUAUGGAGAAACAGAGAUGCGUUCACAAUAUUAUAUGUGGCAUAAACACGCAAGUGGCUUGUCACCCGACGCUUCCAAUCGUAGUUACGGGCGAGGAAAAGGGGAUUACUCGUAUCAUUAACCUCAAUACGUUCAGGUAAUGCUUCAUACUAUUUGUUUAUUUAUUAUUCCCCGCAUCUUGCUACCAGUCCUGUUUUUGACACAUAAGUUUGUGUCUUUUGUACAUUUGCUUUCACCUUUUGGAUCAAGGGAUCCUUUGAGGUCAAUUUUUUAGGUCAAAUUUCAAAUCUAUGGCAUCCUUUGAAUUUAUCCUAGCAAAAAACCUAUAGGAUACCUAAAUACAUAGGAAUUUUAUCAGAAAUUUAAAAUGACGUCCAAUCUCUAUUAAAUCUUUCUCUUCUUCCCAAUUCUUAUUUUCCAAUGUUCCAUCUAAACAACCAAAUUCUCCUAUUUUCUUCACAGUAGAAUACAACUUCUUGCGCUUUCUGAUCCUACCGAAUCUCUAUUUUCUUAUGCAUUCCAAAUGGUCCCUGUAACUAUUGGCCUGUGAAACUCUUUAAUCAUUUUUGAAUUAAACAUAACAAUGCUGGAUCAAUGGUAUUUGACUUAAUUUUGCUCUUCACAAAAUUCCUGUUUAAUGGAUCUUUUCCUUAGUACAUUGUGUUUAAUGGAGUCGGUUUCCUUCUUUUAUAGGGUGGAGUACAUUAUUCCAGCAGUUGGCAAUGACCCAUUGAUUGCUUUGGGAUUCAGCGACAUAGCAGGCUACAAAAGGUAAACAAUAUAUAAUCAUGUUACUUUUAAAGUCCUACGAGCAUGUUUACCUACGGCUGGACUGCGUGCUAGCUUUGGAAUGGUUUGCGCAACUCCCAUGCAUGUCAUGAGUACAAAAUAUUAUUUCUAUAAAAGAUCAAGGGCUAUAUAUACCGCGCUCCAACAGAAGUGGACAAAAUGCAGAAAGAAACGUCCCUUACGUUUAUAAACUAUACUCCCUUCGAUUUUAAGUAUAGAUUGUUCUAAGGUUGUCUUAAGUCAUAACUUUUUAGUUUGACCACGAAAGUUAAAAAGUCUAUAGAUGUUAUUUACAGUAUAAGGUUGAUACUAGUAGAUGUAUCAUGAAAAGUAGCAGUCUUAUACUCCCUCCGAUCCGUAUAAAAGUAAGUCCAUCUAGUCAGAAAUACACUUAUUUUUUAUGGAUAUUUGAGACAACAUAUAUAUAGAUAUAUUGUUGAUCCAAAUUUUCCUUUAUAGACCAUGUUGAUGUCCUAAACCGCUUCUAUUUUGAACCAUAGCAAGUACUCCCUACGUCUAUAAAUAAUAUAAAUACAGGACGUUUAGGACAAUCUAGUUAGUCCUAACUCCAUUUAUGACUACAGACAUCUAGUCAGAAAUACACUUAUUUUUUAUGGAGGGAGCGAUACUGAUACAUAACUUAUGCAUAUUUGAGACAACAUACAUAUAGAUAUAUUAUUGGUCCAAAUUUUCCUUUAUAGACCGUGUUGAUGUCCUUAACCACUUCUAUUUUGAACUAUAGCAAGUACUCCCUCCGUCUAUAAAUACAGGACGUUUAGCUUGUCCUAAACGUCAUAUAUUUAUGGACGGAGGGGCCGGGUAACAUUUUUGACAUGCAAAUAGAGAUAUACCACGCAACACUAACUCCGAGGCAAAUAGAAAUUUGCAUUUUUAUUCUCAUUUUCUAGUAUAAAGGUAAUAAAAAUGUACUAUUCGGAUAGAUUACACUUGUUUAUUUUUUUUCCGAAGAAUAACAUAUGGUGAACUACUAAGGAAAUAUAUUGUUAAUUGCAUCUUGUCAUUUCUGGGGUUGUUUGGCAAUACUGGUCAUCCCUAACUAUAGAAAUUCUUAGAGGGCUAAAGUUGUAGUUAGAUUAAGAAUCUUUUGUUGACACAUACAGUUCUUAUUUUUGAACAAAUACUCCCACCAUUCCAAAACGUAGAUGGUUUAAGUUUGCCUUUUUUGUGAUCUUGCCCUACUUUAAAGUGCAAUUGUGUUUUUAUCCUUGUUUUCACUACAACACAUGUGGCCUUCAGUGACAUUUCAUUUAUGUCAUAAAAACUGGUUUUUCAUCAUGCUUCAUAAUCUAUGACGCUCGCAUGACGAAAAUUCGUCCAUUGCCUAUACCCUGUAAUAAAAGGCAUUCUACAACGAAAACAAGUUAUUCGUCAAUAAUUUUGUGAUGAUUUUUCUAUUUUCACUAAUUUAUGAUGCUCUUUUUUGUCAUUAUCAAACAAAAAAGUCAUAAACUAUUCACAAGUCAAUGCAAUUUUACCCUUGGUCUUUGCGUAUUUACCCAUGUUUUGAUCAUUGACUAGGGGCGAAAUUGCAUUGACUUGUAAAUAGUUGAAGGUAAAAUCACAAAGUUGAGAAAAUGAGGGAAAAAUCACAAUUACAAAUCAAAGUAGGGGCCAGAACACAAAUACCCCUUUAAGUUUUGUCCUAUGUCAAACUCCUCUAACUUCAACCCAUGUCAUAUAUUUAAUGGUGUAUUCAAUGUAACUAACUAGAUUUCGUAAAUGUUGUGUAUUUUUCUAUAAACUAAACAUGAUUAAAGUUAGAGAAGUUCGACUUAGGAAAAAAGUAAAAUUAGUUUCAUUUUAAAAUAGUGGGAAUAUAAUUUAAACCAUUUAAUAUAGGUACAUAUAAUAUAUAUGUACCUAGAUUCGUGUAUCCUGAACCAAGAUGCUUGGCUCAUUAAUAAAGUAAGAUGCCUUGAUAUUCCUGGAUCGAUCCGAGCCAGGACUCUCCAUACUUGCGGGAUAUGAAGGGGUGUGUUUGUGUGUGCGCAUGCGCAUGGAGCUACUUCCACGAUCAUUAUACCAUCAUGUAUAUGUUUAUACACUAGUUCUAAGAUACUCCAACGUGAACUAUACCAAGAAUUCAAAAAAUACUCCUAUUUUUGAAUAUAUUGUAAUUAUACCUUGAUAAUAGUAUAUAAAAAUUAGUAUGUUCACAUAGAGUACUCUAUGUAUGCUCACAUAUACUCAACGUAGAAUUAAAGAAGGAGAUCCUCAACUAUAAAGGCAUAAGGAAAAUACACAAUGCCCUUUGGUUGCAAUCUCCCCAAGAAGCUCACCCCCAUUUUAAUAGGCUAGAUUCUCAUACGGAUCAAUACAACCCGUUGCAAACAGGACAUAGAGUAUUAAUCUAAACUCAGGAGGCUUGUAUUGUACAUGCAUGGUUCAAUCGUACCGAGGUAUUGCCGUUUGGGCAUUCGUCGGUCGGCUUGCAUCCGCCCUCGCCAGCGUUGCUCGCCAGUGCUCCUCGCUCCACACACUUCGCCUCUGCUGCUUGUCCGCUCUCUUCCCGCUGAUUAUUAUUCAAAGUUAUACUUAGUACCGUCUCUUUUUUCUUUUUGGAAACCAAAUGCAUAGUAGACUCUUCUUUUGCCGAACUUUAGUCUUCUAACAGUAACUAUCUUAAUUAAUUUUGUAGCGUGAUGAUCGGACGUAAGAAUAUGGUGUCACACGUGGUAAUUGAUUUGGAAACAUUAGCAAGUCCACAUAGGCCACGCUUCUGGCACGAUAACAAUGCCAAACAGAGCGAGAAGAUAUGCAAGAUUGACCCUUCCAAACUAUCUGAAGACUCCCUCCUCACCGAGAACAAGGAAAGCAAUAAAGCUGUAGGUGACAGAUCAGCGUCCACAAAGGCAAUCUUCUUUUCAAAAUGUAGAUCGUUUUGUCUUUUCUAAUGGAUAUAUAGAUUUUACUAUACACCAAAAUAUAGGAUUAUGUCUAGAUACAUAGUAAAAUCUAUGUACCUAGAAAAGGUAAAACGACCUACAUUUUGAAAAUGUAACGGAAGGAGUAGUUUAGCUAUUGUUGAAACUUCAGAAAUAACACCAACUCCAUAAUAAACCUAGCUAUACGGAAUCGAUACAUAGGUCAGUUCUGCAGGAAGUGAUUGUACUGUCUCGUAUAUAGUCGUCAGCAUCUUACUUCUAACUAGGUAGUCAUGUCCUGUAGUUUGAAGCUCAUUUGAAGCACUGGAAGAAAUAUUAGAAAAAUAUCAAUUAUAUGUAUUCAUUUCCAUUUUUUUUAUUCAAACGCAUGUGUGUGUGUAUGUGUGUGUGUAACAGUCUUGCUUUAUUAUUAAAAAUUUAAAGUCGGUGGUUGUGCUGCACAAAUACGUGUUCACCACUCAGUCCUUGAUAUGCAUUCUCACUCAUUAUCAUUUUUAUUUUAUUGCUUUAGACUCUGCCCAUAUAUGCCUCUUUUGUGUUAGUAGCCACUGACCAAAUUUGCAAGCAAACUUUUUCAAGUCAAAUAUUUUUGGUAUUAUUUGGUUCAGGUAAAAGAAACCUUCAGGUAUCAGGGUGUGGGCAUCGCAGUCUGCACAGAGUAUACAAAAAUAAACUGCUGAUGCCUGCACAAAACAAUCUGAAAUAAACUGUCUGAAGAACUGAAGUCCGGUCAUCUAUUUCAUAUAUUUUUUCCCCAAAAAAAACUACUACUCUAUGUUUGUUUAUAUGUUGUUUCAGAAAACUAUUAGUGUUAAAUAUUCCAGAAACCACCGGCGUCAAAUAACAAAAAAUGGAGGUAGUACGUUGUACAUUUCACCAUUGAUUGGUGGUUUCCCUUAAUCUAACUGUGCCAGAAUAUCACCAUGAACCAUGAAGUUCACUAAGGUUAAUGCAAAGGUUUGCCUAAAUCGUGUGCAGAUGCGCUGAUGUAUGUGUUCCUUAUCAGCAGAUAGAACAGUUAUCUUAUUCUGACGCAUUAAAAACUUUUAGCUUUUUUCGUUCUAAAAAAUACUUUGUGGGGACUGAAUAAAAAGCUGAUCAUUUAUACAAGAUUAUUGAAAAGGUCACAUUGUUUUGCAUUGUAUCACACAGCUUCCACAUAAUAAAAAAGUUAAACAGCCAGGAAAACAAUCAGAAAAUCGUAAUUGAUAUCAUUGCAGUCAUGUAGAACUUAAUUAUUUGACAGAUUCAGCAAAAGAAAACCUAGGAAGGUACCUUCCACCAACAUUAACUAAUUAUUUGACAGAUAGUUGUAAUGUUUCGCACAAACUAAUAAGGUAACAGUUCUUGACAUAAAGGCAGCAGUUUGGAAAUUAUGCAGCAGGUUGUGGCCGGUAUAGCUCCCUUCUCAAUACAGUCAUGGUCUUUCACCACGGAUCCUUGUAGCCAGAUGGACAUCUUUCGGCAUGAUCGUCACGCGCUUGGCAUGGAUGGCACAUAGGUUGGUGUCCUCAAAGAGACCCACAAGAUAUGCUUCUGCCGCCUCUUGCAAAGCAAGCACUGCAUGACUCUGGAAACGCAAAUCACUCUGCAAGAAUAGUCAUGAAGUGAUAGAAUAUAAGAACAAUGCGAAAAAAAAGUAGUUAUUAGUAUUUACAUCCUACAAAUGUUUCAGAUAACAAGAAAAACAUGUAGUGAUUAAAGCAACGGUAUAUACUUUGUGAAGCUGGGCAAUCUCCCUCACCAGCCUCUGGAAGGGCAUCUUCCUAAUGAGCAGCUCAGUGCCCUUUUGGUACUUGCGAAUUUCACUGGAACAUUAGAGAGGAAAAUGGAUCAUUUGAAAAUAACAGGAAAUUAAAUAUAAAGAUGAGAUGAAAUUCAUACACAGUUAUUUGCAUGAAAUACAAUCAUAGAAAGCUGCACAUACCGAAGAGCUACGGUACCAGGGCGGUAACGGCGAGGCUUCUUGACCCCUCCGGUUACCGGUGCUGUCUUACGGGCAGCAGCCUAUCGUCGCAAAACCAUAAUAGAAAACAACUGUUAACAUGCAAAUGCAUUAUUAAAGGAUAAGUAACAUGCAAAAUUUACAUGCACAUACAAACAUCCUUGCAACUAGUUGCUUCCUAGGGGCUUUUCCUCCAGUUGAAUUCCGAGCUGUCGUCUUAGUGCGAGCCAUCUUACAAACAAAAUGGUAAAUCAUGAUCAUCAGUAUAGAAAUACUCUUUUAGAAACAGAAAAUAAAUACUUGUGUAAACCAGUAAUCUGCAUCUAAUUGAUAUGUGCACAUGUUGUCUAACUAAAUCGCGUAAUAGGAAAAUUUGAGAACAUGUAAGAAAAAUAUGAAUUGAAAUGUGGGCAUGUGGCUUACUCAUUUGCAGAUAAUGACUACAGCGCAAAUAAAAGACAAACAAAAGUGCUUAAUGAGGACUAGGGCAUUGCCACAUCGGAUGGGUACAAAGGAUUUCAGAGGGGAGAAUAAGCUACAAUUUCAUCACAGGGAUGCAAAGAAAAAGGGCUUGCUUUAACACGGAGAAGGAUAGAGUUGCUUCAUAUGAAAAGAAGUACAGUGAGUUCAGUGCAUAAUGGCGCCCUUAUGAGACAACAGAACCCCAAACAAAGUCAUGUAAAGAAAGUUAUCAACUUGUACGAAAUAAUCAUGAAUAAAGCCAGUCGAGAGUGGGGAUUACUGUCUACCUUAACCAUAUUAAGAUUUGCAAUAUAAUCACACCCAUAAUUUCACAACAUCAAAACCCUAACCAUGUACACUUAUAAUUAAAACCUGCCAAAAUGGCCAGCAUGUACAGAAUAUAGUCACCUGAUCUGUUGGUACUGCACAAAUUGAAGCACUCAGAAGAAAAGGUAAACAUGAAGGAGAUGGAUCUAUUUACCUCGCUUUCACAGAUCGUGUGUGUAACCUUCACUUUGAUGCCUCGUUGGUCUGCCGUGGUGCAAUUUGGCCGUAGGGAGGGGCGCUAUUUAUAGGCGCCUACGCGAGAGGGCACAGCGGAUUUAGGUCGGUUCCUGCAUGAUCGGACGGCUUUGAUUGCGUUGCGCUGCGGAUCAUUGUAGGCGAAUGCUGGAUUCUUAUUGGCUGGGGCCCCUGUGACGGGGAUCGUUAAGGAAUUAACCAGAGUAUCAUUUACAACGUAUAGCCUUCCUUCCUUGAAGUUGGAUCAAAAGUCUUUCCAUCGCCACUGGAGCCAUCGCCUGGUGCUAACGACUACAACGACAACCCUGCUGUCCCUCCAAAGCCGGAGAAAAGUGACUAUAUUCAAGGUGAAGCUUGGCAUCUUGAAACGGUGGCCCGAGGGUUGAAUUGGAACUUUUUCAAAUUUAUAGAAUAGUAAAAGCGAACCUUAACCUAGAUUUCUAGUGUUGCCCAAUCUACAAGGUUCAAACCUAGAAAAUGAACACACUAGCAAACAAGGAACCUAGCAAGGAGAGCACACUAUCAUGCUGAUCAUCAUUUCCUAAGGCAAGAUAUAAGCAAAACAAGCACAACUUGAACAAGAGCAAAAUAACAAAUAAAUUGCAGGAAGUAAAUGCUUAAAGGAAGUGCUGAAAUGUAAAAAGAUAGGACACGAGACAACCGAAUUUUUUCCCGUGGUAUCGAGGAGUUGAUGCUCCCUCUAAUCCACAUUGGAGCACCCACUAAGGGUUUUGCUCCCCCUCAAACCACCAAGAUUUGAGUGCUCACUAAGAAUGUCCCUUCUCCAUCUUUGGAACAGCGAACUUCAAACCGUGUACAAGAUCAACCUCUUAGGGCUCCCACAAUCUCCAAGAGCUCACCAAGAACCUCUGGAUCACGAAGACCGUCCAGGUGACGUCAAACACCAAGAGUAAUAAGCCUCAAUGAUUCAGUUGACCAGCACUAAGCUCCGUCACGAACUAGAUGCUCACUUAUCACUCUCAAACACUAAGAGAAGUCCUUAAUCUUGCAAAUCACAAAUCACUUUUUUUGGCUCUAACAUACUCUCAUUUUCUCAUGGGCUUCUUGAAAUCUUCAGGGUGUCAAGAGCAACUCAAAUGAUCUAGGGAGGGGUAUAAAUAGGCUAGGGAACACCAGCUAGCCGUUAGAUAAGUGCUGCAGAAAAAGCACACCAUCGGAUGUUCUGAUGGUCUCCAUCCCCGAGGUGUCGGAACAUCCGGCCACUCGCAUGACAAAAUUCUAGCCGUUAGAAAAGUAACAAUGAAAAGUUUAUCCAGUGUUUGCUCCGACGGUCUUGAGCUAAGCAUCGGAUCAUCCGGUGCUGAAGGGAGUUUGGUCCAAAACCUUCUGUCAGCUUCAAUUGAAAAUAUGGUUCCUCCAACGCAUUCAUUCGACGGCCAUCCACAAAGACGUCGGAUCAUCCGGUGCUGAAGGUCCAAAACUCAAAAACCUUCUGUCAGCUGGAAUUGAAGAUAUGCUUUGUCCGAUGCUCUGUACCAAUUCAUCCGAUGGUAGUAUCGGAACAAAGGAUGCCUUCCUUAAGAAAUUCCAGUCCCAGAAAAUUUAUCCGAUGCAACUAAAAAAUAGCGCGUCGACGGCGGUCCCUUUAUCUGUAUAACUCAUCCAAUUCAAUCUCCUUUGAGUUUUUCAUCGAUUUCUUCACUUCUUGAGUUCUUCCAUGAGUUGUUUAAGCUAACAAGUGCCAAAGAGUACUGAGUGUGCAUCAUUUUCAUGGCUAGCUUCACAUGAUCAAGCUACUAUCAUCGAAAUUUCUCUUAAUAGUACGGUCCAUGAGCUACAAACUAACAAAACCUAUAUUACACUAAGUGCCCUUCAUCUCCUUGUGACACUUAGUUCUAAAAAGGUCCUUAGCCUUGUCGCAUUAGCUCCAUGUCCGUUAUUGCAAUUCAAAUUAGGGGUCCACAUUCUAAUAUACUCGUGACGAGAUAACCAAUGAUAUAUCCGCUUCAAAACACAUGGGUUAGUCACAAGUAUAAGGUUGUCAUUUAUCAUCAAAACACACCUUACCAAACAUCUGUGUGAUGGGACACACGGCCACAAAUAAACGUCGCUUGCCACAUUGAGCACGUGGAUUAGGACAGAUCGCUUGUCACAGUGUACACGCACACACAACAACUCAUCAAGGACCGGUCAUGUAUGUAGGUAACACUUAUCACUACAAGAGUGUACAUCUUUCCCGACAGUUUUUUUCUAGUGGCCAACAGUGUUAGCAUCACUAGUGUAUUUUCUAAGUUCCCAACAGUAUUAGUUGUAUAAUUUUCUAUCUUUCCCAACAGUUUUGGUAAUUACCAACAAUGUAAUCCCCCACAAACUCAUUACCUACAGUUUUUGCAGCUAUUGAACCAAAGCGCUAUCACUGUUGGUCACUUUAUAAUAGAAACUGUUGGGAAAAAUGGCAAGUCUUGUAGUGUAUACCAUCACUCCUAUUAUCUAAAUACAUUAUUUCGAAAUAAAAAAACGAUCCCAAAUACAUGAUAUUGAUAGUCCCGGAACGUGCACAUUGUUUAUAAUUCAAUAUUGAAUCUGAAAACAUUGCAAAUAAUUAAACAAAUAAAUAAACGUGACUCAGAAUGAAGUUGAAUGCCUGUCGACACUAGUAGGGCACGUACUACCCGAAUGAAGUAGUUGAUGCCGACCUCCUGCUCGUUUGAUGGUCUAUAUAAAGACGUCCGAGUCCCAGCAGGGCCAUCAUCUCCAGCCAACCAGCCAGACCUUAAUCUCUAGCCAUCACACAGAGAUCCGACGACGCUCGGAGGCAACACCAGCCGUCGACAUGGCGACCACCUAUCACCCAAUAGCUAGCCCUCGCUUCGCAGUCGCAGCGCAAACUCCGGCAUUACAGCCCCAGCCCCUGGGGUGACUUCUUCCUCAACCAUGUUACAUGUACUCCAUCACAGGUAAAGAGAAUUAUAAUGUCGGUGAACAAUGUUCUAACAAAUUUUUUUAAAAAAAACAAAAGCUUAUAACAUAAUAAAGAUAGCUGCCGUUUUAUUUGGCAGCAAAACUUAUGUUUUAGUUUCUUCUAGAUACUUUACAAUAGACUUCAAUUUGUGAGAGGGAUGGUAUAUAUGCAAGGUGAAUUGCAUUUUGCCCAUAUAAAGGUGCAAUACUUUAAGAUCACACUAAGGAACCAUGGCAUUUUUUAAUAAUUUAAUUUUAAUGACUUGCAUAUCUAUCUAUAUAGGCAAUACUUUAAGAGAACCUCAUAUAAAGCAUUUUGUGUCACUUAGACCCAUAUAAACAAAUCGAAUUAUUUCAUUUUGCCCCCAUACUUUCAAAACAACAUGUUUCAUAUGAGAUUUCUCAUUUCUGACAUCAUGGAACCUAUUGUGAGGGGCAAAGUGCAACUCAUUCGACCUUUGUUGAACUUCCAUAUUCAAUCAUUCAAUGAGGUUUAAAUGUCCAUAUGUGCACCGAAUAGUUCUUUUGCCCACUACUGGGGAAGUGAACGAUCAGUAACCCCCGGUCCCUUUAGUACCCUACGCCUGACUAGUACUGCUUGUUCGAUACUAAAUGUCAUGCCAUUUAGUAGCGGCCAAAAUGGCCGGUACCAUUGUCGCAAGCCACAAGUCACGUGAAUUUCACACGUAAUAUGCGCGUGCACGGUCCGUGGGAUUCGAACCCAUGACCUUAAGCCUCGCACGAACCUUCCUUACCGUCUCACCUACGCAGCACAUGUGAUUGAGUUAGAUAUGCUUUCCUUUUGAAGUAACCCGUGGAUAGCCCUGUUAAUUGGUUUGGGUUUAUUGGUUUUAUUGAUUUGGUUUCUAUAAUGAGUUCAUUUGGAUUGAUUUGUAAUUGGUUCGCCUAAUAGAUGGUUUGGUUUUUGGGUUGGGUUUUACAAACAGAUAGUUUGGAGGGUGUUUGGGGGUCUGGUAUUGUUUUGGGGUCCAAAAGGCUCUCAACCCGACCCGUUAAGAAUUCAAAAGCCUGGAGCCUCGAGUCGGACCCUAAAACUAAAAUCUCGUGUUUACAUCUUAAAAUUUUAGAGAAAUUGACCGAAAUUUGUUGCAGUUGAAUUAGCUUGACAGUCCGCUACUUUAUGCAAAGUAGUGCGGUUGGACUUAUAUGUGGGUCCCGCGUCAAGAGUCGGACCCUAAAACUAAAACCUCGCGUUCACACCUUAAAAUUUUGGAGAAAUUGACCGAAACUUGUUGCAGAUGAAUUAGCUUGAUAGUCCGCUACUUUGUGUAAAGUAGUGCGGCUGGACUUAUAUGUGGGUCCCGCAUUAAAGAGUCGGACCCUAAAACUAAAACCUCGCGUUCACACCUUCAAAUUUUAGAGAAAUUGACAGAAACUUGUUGCAGAUGAAUUAGUUUGACAGUCCGCUACUUUGUGCAAAAAUAGUGUGGCUAGAUUUACAUGUGGACCCUGCAUCAAGAGUUGCAUACAAACUCAAACGAAAAAACUACCUAAUGAGUUUUUAUUGGGUACCUAAUGGUUUCUUAUUGGGUUGUAACCAUAUUUAGCAAGCAGUUUGUAUAACUUAUGCAAUGAAAAGUUUGGGGUGGUGUGGUGUGUGAUGAUGGAGGUUUGGUUUGGGGUGGGUUAUAUUUAUUUUCUUGUGAGAAUGGAUUGGUGGGGUUAUAACCUGGGUUACAACCCAAUUAGCAGGACUACCCGUGGAGAGGCCUUUAGUACCAAUCAAUAACACCGACCGGUACUAAAUGGUACUCCACGGAGUACUGGUGUUAUUGCCUGGUACUAAAAGAACUCCGAGGACUGAAAAUUUUUACCCGGUAUUAAUUUCACAUAUUAGUACCGGACGAAAAGCUGUCCGGUAGUAACGUCAAGGACGAAUGCUCAUAUUUCUAGUAGUGCCCAUAUGUCAAUGAGAUAUUUUGUUAUUUUUCUACUGCAGCUAUUGUCAAUGAAGGAGACGGCACGCAUAAAGGAGGAGGAGGUGAGAAAGAUCAUAAUGGAAAUCAUUGCCUCCUCCAAUCUGGCUCAGAAACUGGAGCUAGUUGACACGCUGCAACGGAUAGGGGUGGACUACCACUACAAGGAGAUCGCUGACUUACUUUGUUCUAUCUACAAUGACAAGGAUAGGGGCUCUAAUGACCUCUAUAUCACCUCAUUGCGGUUCUAUUUACUUAGGAAGCAUGGAUACACUGUCUCUGCAGGUAAGACGACAAAUUCAAUUCUAGUACUUUUAGUAUCAAAGUAUUUUUUUUAAACUUUUGUUGAUGCUGAUGCUAAAUAUGCCUUUGCUGUGUGGUAUGCAAUUUUGAGUUUUCUUAGGAUGAAUAAAUGCUUAAACAUGUAUGCAGACGUGUUUGAGAAGUUUAGGGACAAGCAAGGGAACAUUUCAAGUGAUGAUGUCAGUUGCUUGCUAAUGCUAUAUGAUGCUGCAUAUAUGAGAACUCAUGGGGAGGAGAUACUUGACGACAUUAUCACUUUCAAUAAGAGCCGUCUCCAAUUUUUGAUGAUGACAAAUUUGGAGCCAGAUCUGGCAGAGGAAGUGCGAUGCACUUUGGAGACACCUCGGUUCAGGCGGGUUGAGAGAGUGGAGGCAAGGCGCUACAUCUCAGUAUACGAGAAGAAGGCUGUGCAACAUAAGACACUACUAGAUUUUGCAAAGCUGGACUACAACAUCUUGCAAGCUAUCUACUGUGAUGAGUUGAAAGAACUUACAAUGUAAGGAGACACAGACACAAUAAGUUGGCAGCAACUUAAUGGAAUUGCUUAUAAUUAGUCUGGUGCACUGUGUUAAACUACUAAUAAUAAACAUUUAACCAUUAAUAAUUUAUAGAUGGUGGAAAGAUUUCCAAUCACGUACAGACCUCAGCUUCGCACGAGACAGCAUGGUGGAGAUGCAUUUUUGGAUUCUCGGAGCGCUUUAUGAACCCUACUACUCAUAUUCACGGACAAUGCUGACAAAAUUCACCCUAUUAGCGUCAUUGCUUGAUGACCUUUAUGACAACUACAGCACCACAGAGGAGAGUAAUGUCUUCACCACAGCCAUGGAAAGGUUCACAUAGCUCACUUUUUGGAAUAAUAUCACAGGAGGAUAAACAGAAUUUACUAAAGAAAACAUUUACCGUACCUGUGCUUGUACAACUGAUGGCAGGUGGGAUGGACAGACCACAGAGAAGUUCCCAGCACACAUGAAGGCACUCCUCAUCAACAUACUUAACACUACAAAUAAGAUCGAGGAUGAGUUAAAACUUCAGAAAAACAGGCACGCUGAAUUGGUCAAGAAACUAGUAAGUUGCUUCAAAAGAUCACACUAAGGAACCAUGGCAUUUUUUAAUAAAUUUAAUUUUAAUGACUUGCAUAUCUAUCUGUAUAGGUGAUCUGCACCGCUAAAUUCUACCACGCUGAGGUGAACUGGCGUGAUCAACGCUAUGUACCAACUAGUGUCGACGAGCAUCUCCAAAUAUCCAUGCGCAGCAGUGUUUGUAUGCAAAUAAUAAACCUUGUGCUCAUUUCACUAAGAGAAGAGACUACUACUAGGGAGGAGGAUGUUGAUUGGGUUUUCACCUUUCCGAAAAUUGUCAGAGGUGUUUCUAUUGUGGGGCGCAUUGGCAAUGACAUCGUGUCACAUGAGGUAUACCAAAUUUAUCCACAUAUAAGAUGUCGUAAAAUCUUCUCAUCAGUAGUGAAAGCCUUGAUUAGGAUAGAGUUACUGCACUCGCCAAAUGUUUGUUUUCUAAGUAUCUUGACUCUUUGGUCCUUUCAAGCGGCGGGAACAAGCGUCGAUACAUGUGGUAUCCACAGUGCAAACUUGCAUGAAGCAAUAUGGGGUAACAGCAGAGCAAACCAAAGAAAAGCUUAGAGUUAUAAUUGAAGAAGCAUGGAUGGACAUCGUCCAGGAAUAUCUUGACCAGAAGCGUCCCAUGGAGCUUGAUCAGCUUUUGUAUGAUUGAAACGUGUGGACAAAUUCAAAAUACACUAAUUGGACACACAUCCAAAAUAAUCCCGGGCAUCUAUAAACGUUUAUUUACCAGAUAUAUGGAACCUAGGGGAAAAAAUCCAGGUCUCCUUAUUUCCUCAUCAUUAAACAUCUUCUCUCUAAAAUGUUGUGUUCACGCUUCUUGCAUACUCAAAUAUGAUUUGUAAAGCUUUUUUUUUUACUUUGCUAGGACCUUGGAUGACUUCGCCGGUGAAGUAACACUACCGUCAUUGUCAUCUUUUUGAUGCGUGAAAUGAAAAUGUUGGGUUGUAUUUCCCUAAAAAAAAUGUAGGGCUGUAAUCGGGAUGUAGGCCAAAUUCUUGGAGAUUUUUUAUUGACCCUACUUGGCCCGCUUGUCUGAUCGAUAAUUCGGUACUUCACGCCGUCAAACAUUAUUCUGAGAGAGGACUCAAAAAACACUUGCAAGUUAAAAUAUGAGCGCUGAAUUAUUUGUUGACAGAUUGUUGGGGUGAAAUUAAAAUAUGUCGAAUUUUGUAUCUCGAGUACCUUCUUCUGUGAAGUGCUUUCAUCUUCUCCAUGCCUAGCAACCUCUUAAACUCUAGAAGGUUAGGGUUUCAGGUUGAGAUUUAGGUUUGAAGAUUUUGGUGGCCUCCUGCUCAGCCCGGGAGGUUAGUUGCCAGUCCGUCAGUACUGGUGGUGGAUGGAUCAAGAAUGACAGUACGUCAGAGUUGUUAGCACUGCCCAACGAGAAGGGCGACGGCUGCAGCGAGGCAGUUGGGCUGGUGGAUCUGAGGUAUUAGGUAGGCAAGGUUGUGGCCCUGGAACCUGGUUCUCCUUCAGUGAAACUCCGAGUCCGUUUCUGUUCCUUUGCUCUGCCGAGGGAAACUUUGAGUCCGAUUUUGUGCUGGACUGCUGGAGUGCUGAAGCCGAUUCGGAGAUGAGACCUGAAGAACCCACCCAAUAAAACGGGAGGCGCGGUACGCCCUGUCCAUCAAGCCAGCAACAGCAACAGCAACAGCAAGCCAGAACCACCGCGUACUCAUCGUAGUCUCGCUCGUAGUACUCGACGUAACAGCACCGUACCCAUGGCGCGGAGGACGUCGACGCUGCCCCUUCUGGCGACUUUGCUCUCCGUCCUGCUGCUCCUGCCCUCCGCCGCCGUAGCCAAGGCCAUCGACGCCACCAACACCCAGCGACUGGAGCUGCCCGACGGGCUGAUCGGCCCCGAGAGCGUCGCGUUCGACCGUCGCGGCGACGGGCCCUACGUCAGCGUCUCCGACGGCCGCAUCCUCAAGUACGCAGGCAAGAGCGUUGGGUUUGCCACUUUCGCGUACAGCCCUAGCUACAUCAAGAACGGCUGCGAUGCACCCUCGUCUGAGCUCCCGGCGGUUGCCACAGAGAGCUCCUGCGGCCGGCCGCUGGGCCUUCGUUUCCACAACAACUCCGGCAACCUGUACAUCGCGGACGCAUACAUGGGGCUGAUGCGCGUCGGGCCGAACGGUGGGGAAGCGACGGUGGAUGCAACUGAGGCCGGCGGUGCACCGCUACGCUUCACGAAUGGAGUGGAUGUUGACCAGGUCACCGGUGACGUCUACUUCACCGACAGUAGCACAACGUACACGCGGGCACAGCAUCAGAUGGUCACCGCAUCGGGAGACUCGACGGGGCGCAUCAUGAGAUACAACAGACGUACAAAUAAGGUCACCGUGCUCCAAUCCGGCGUGACAUAUCCCAAUGGCAUUGCCAUCAGCGCUGACAGGAGCCAUCUUAUCGUCGCUCUCACGGGACCAUGCAAGCUAAUGAGGUACUGGAUCCGAGGGCCUAAGGCCGGUACAUCUGAGCUAUUUACCGACCUACCGGGAUACCCGGACAAUGUGAGGCCCGACGGGAAGGGUGGGUACUGGGUUGCGCUGCAUAGGGAGAAGUAUGAGCUCCCGUUUGGAAAGGACAGCCACUUGGUCGCUAUUAGGAUCGGCUCUGAAGGUGAGAAGUUGCAAGAAAUGAGGGGUCCCAAGGAUGUCCGUCCAACAGAGGUGGUCGAACGAGAGGACGGCAAAAUAUAUCUUGGGUCUGUAGAGUUGUCUUAUGUAAGCAUGGUCAAGAGUAGCUAGAUCUAGGAUAGAGUUUAGGUAUAUCAUAUAAUUUUGUUCAACUUCAAAUUUUGCAUGAACAUGGAUCAUUGCAUCGUGCAUCUACUCAUAUUUUAUAUUGAAUCUAUCAUGCAUGUUUUGGUGGAUCAUUUUGAUGUGGAGUAUGAGAGUACCUCAAGGUGGUGGAGCACCUGAAUUGUUCUCUUUCCUCCGCAGAUGGAGCAUGGAGCGUUGGUGAAAUGGUCAGAGAUGAGGGACUUAUUAAUGGAUCGUACGCCACGAUAAAUGGUCUCAUUUUCCUUUUGACACGGAAAUGGUCUCAUUUGAUCUUGUCAGCAAAGUAUGGAGAUGUUUAACCCACUCUCAAUGGAAGUUGCGCCCGCUUUGAAGGCAAACGCAAGCUUGAUGAUGGUUGGUGCCAUCGAUCUCGCGCGGAGAAAUUCGGUGACUUCCCUACCUGGUGCACCAUGGCGCGCCAGUUGUUGGUGUUUUAUACCGGCAACCCGCUUAGGGAGUACCCGAGGUGGUGUUUUGUGUGGGUGUCGCUGAGAAUCAAAGAGUCGAUGGUGACGCAGGAAACACGAUUUAGACAGGUUCGGACCGCUAGAUCGUGUAAUACCCUACGUCAUGUGUCCUGUGUGUGGAUUUUAUUGAUGAGUUGUGUUACAUUGUGCUUAGCCUGCUCGCCCUUAUAUAGUCGGGGGAGCUGGGUUAUAGGGUAGGAGUUCUAGUCGAACACGAUUACAGAGUCCUACUCUAAUUUGACAAAGUAGUUUCCUUGAGUAAUCCGACUAGUCUUUAGGAGUUCGUGGAGACUACGUUACCCUGCGGCGUAGCCUCCAAGUCCUGAUCACGUCCGAGUACGCCCCUAGGUGGGCCGUACAAGGCCUACUCGUGGGUCCGAGGAUGUAUGCCCGACAGUCGAUGGGUUCAUUGCUUACCACUGAAAAAUAGUACCGCUUAAAUCUUAGAAUAAAUUUAGAAAAAUACGAGUACCCAUACAAAAUUUGGACUCGAAACGAGUAGAGACAAAGUUCGUUGUAUGCUGAUAAAUUACUGCCCCAUUUCAAGUAAUUGCAUGGGUGCAUACAGGUAUGCCGUCUUCCAUUUGCAUGACUCUUUGAACCGAUUCUUUGGAUUGUUUGGAUCACUUGUUUUGUGGAAACACGUUUCCAUGAACCUGCAGUUUUCACAUAAAGAACUUUAAAUCUUUGUUUGGAUAACCUAACAGAAUCUGGUACUUGGAGUUUCCCAAAAAUUUGUAGUUGUAGCUGUUUGCUGGAAUAAGCGGGGUUUUUUCUUGAUAAAGCAAUAAGCCGGUAGUUUAUUAGCUGCAAGCAAUGGUGCCGGGCUGCCGGUUACGACUGAUGAGGGAGGUUUUGCCCGGCCCCAACGUUGCAAGUGGGAUCCUACACUGAUCCUAGAGCUAGGAGUAACAAAAUGUACUAGGCAUGUGACAAGACAAGCCAGAGCCUGCACCAACUUCAACUGAGAUGCCGUUCAAAAAAAAUAAAACUUCAACUGACAUGGGAAGUUACUUUAAUAUGGUUGCGUUUGUGCCGAUUAUCUUGCUUUGAAUGGUCUAGAUCUGAGUCAAGUCAACAAACUUCCCCAUUGUUUCAUCGGUAUAUGCGCCUCUUGCACAUGCCUGUUACUGUACUAUUUUACUACUAUGGCAAGGAGUAAAAUGAAAAUCGAGGUAACUAGAUGAGCCCCAAAUUCUAGCUUUACCAGCUCCGACUCCUCUCACUGGUAGAAAACUGAGCAUUAGUCCCGGUUGGUAAGGGUCAUAUCUCUCGGAUAUCCAUCGGGUCUUUAGUCCCGGGUAUUUUAACCGGGAGUAAAGGACCCCCUUUAGUUCCGGCUCAAUUCCAACCGGGACUAAAUUGCGCUUGCAUGGCACUGGUGACGCCUGAAUUUUUCAUGCAUCCAUCACGUAUACGUAUAGUAGUACCACGGCCCUUUUAAUUUGUUAACCUUGUAGUUGAGAUUUUUUUAGAAUGAAUUAAAUCAACUAGUAUUUAAACGAAUUGGAUUUGUAAUUAUACAACUACUAUAUAUAUACACAAUCCUUAUACACAAUUCAUAUACACAAUUCAACUAGCUUAAUUAGUACAAAUCGAUCAUAUAUACAAAUAAAUCAAAGUAUCUUCCUACGAUCUUCCCGUCGUGGUGUUGCUGAGAGGAGUGUCUAAUUGUCGUCCAUCGUAAUAAAAUUCUCCUGUUGGAUUUACCACCUCGUCCAUUAUGAAUCCAAUGAGACCUUCACAUAUUGCCGCUACUCUUUCUUCCUUCAAGAGUCCUUGUUGAAUAUUUAACAUCUAUAAUUUGGAAAUUUGUGAAUGUUACAUGAACAAAUACAUAUAAGGAGCUAGAAAAUAAUUAACUAGUAAUAUAUUUAUUUUACGUACUUUAAAGUUGUGCGGCGUCAUCUUCGUGCCCUUGGGUCCCAAAAAACUGUGCAUGUGCUCACAGAUGUAGUAGCCACAUAGGUUAUUCCCGGGUUCCUGUCUUAAGCACUUCAGUGCGGAAAAAAAUAAGUUAUGAAAUAUUCGUGUUAUACAAUGUAAUAAAUGUGCAGACUUCAUACGUACCGGGAAGUCUGUGUUCCAUGUAAGAUCUUCUUUGAAUGGACCUUGGUGUGUCCUUAUGAAUUGUUUCCAUACGCUGCGGAUUAGAAUAAUGAAUGACAUAGUGUAACAGGGAUAAAAUUUAGGAAAUAAAUUUUUGCAUAGAGAUAAAGGUCCAGAAUUAUUACAAGCCUAGCAUGUCUUGCAAUUCUUGGUAGUCCACCGGAUCUUUCCGUAACGAAUCAAAGACAGUGACGUGGCUUCUUUCAGGCUCAAUUAUAAUAAGGAUCCAGUGGAAGCUGCGUGCGUAAAAUGUUCAUGCAUAUUAGAGCUAACUAACAUGUAGAGAUAAGGAAAAAGACAUCGAAAGUAGACGGUAUACACACACUUACUUGAAGUUGUAUGGAAGUAGUAUGAAAUCCUUGAAUGUUUGUUUGUGUAGGAAAUUGUAUAUUUCGGCAAAGGUUUUUUCCGGCGCUAAUUGUAUCUGUUGUUGGUUAACUACAGAUGGAUCCAUGAAGCCUACAUGUAGGUACGCCUCUCGGCGGCAUGUCUGAAUUAGCAUCCUACAUGAAAUGGAAGAUGAAGUUAGUACGGUGACGCACGCCAAAAUUUACAUGUAGAGAUAAUAAACGGACACUUACAGAAUCCAAGCGCUGAUCAGAGAGACGUCCAGGGCAUCAUGAUGGUACACUUCGUAUAUAUCCUUGAAGUCUAGCCACAGCACUUUCUCCCCUUCACCGUGAAAAUCUAUCGGUUUUACCUUCAUGCCGAUCAUCUCCCUCGAUUUGGCGGAUGCCGUCAUGUACCAUUGAUGGAAUUCGUACAUCUUUAUUGACAGCUUCCGUACCAUUGCCGGCUUCACUAGAGGCUUGCCUAGCUCAUAAGGCCAUCUCGGCUCAGGGGGCGGUGCAGUUGGCGUCUCGACUUGCCCUAUGCAUUCAUCAAGUCCCAGACCUGUUUCUUCCAUGAACUUCAAUAUAUUUUCUUGUUGAUCCAAGGGCAUUGCUUUUACCCGUUGAGCAUCUUUCUUUGAUAAAUGGCUGAGGUCGGGGACUGAACCUUUGGAGGAUGAUUUUCCUUUUCUUUUAUCCUUUUCAUCAGCCUUUACUAGAGCCCGUUCAUAGUUUGACAAGAGUGAUAUCCUUUUCUUGGCUCCUUCCUCCAUCCUGAUAAAAAAGUUUAAAUCCCGCCGACUUACUGGCGGUGGCUCCAUCUCCCUUGCCUUUUUUAAUUCGGCUUGUUUCUUGAACCACUCACUGGCCUCUCGUUGGAUUUCUGCCCACUGUUCCGCAUGAGACAUUGCCUCAAAGCGUUCCUUGCGAGCCACUUCAGGGUCGACCUUUGUUUUCUUCUUUCGAGGCUGUCUUUGCUUGGGAGGCGGUGCUCGUGACUUCUUGAGUGGUGCUGCAGGUUCCUUCGAGGGGGCCGCUCUUGGUGCCGGCGACGGUGAUCGGGGAGGGGUGUUGUUAUUGUCGUCGUCGCUCCCAGCACCAGGAUGUGGUGGAGAUGGAGACCUUGAUAUAGAUGGAAGCGACGGUCCUGGAGCAGGAGAUGCCGGUCUCGAGGUAUGAGGAGAAGAUCGCUGCUCGGGAUCUACGGGGAGCGGUCUUGAGGUCUGAGGAGAUGGCUCCGUGCGGGAAAUAAUGAUGUAGCGUUUCUUCCAUAGAAUGAUCCCAUGAAGCGCAUCUGCCAAUGUCUUUUCCCCGUCGCCUCCCGGGAAGUCGAGCUCUAGACCUUCAUACUGGGCAUCUACUAUUUGCUCGACGCAGACGCUGGCGUAGCCUGUUGGAAUGUCCAUGCCAUGACUGCUCUGCCCUGCCAGCGUUGGUAACGCACUCCCGUACGCUACCUGUACAUAUAGCAGAAGUAAACAAGUUGAACUCCGAUCUCGAGGCCUGGAUCAAUUGACAAGAUUGCAUAAAUAUUAUGUAUAAGUAUACCUUAAUAGUGAGGUUGCCGACCGGUGCAUGCAGCUCACAUGAGGUCCAUUGCGUGAUGGCAUCCACGGGGAACCGUUGCUCCUCCACGGGUAACCUGGGCGUCUGCGCAUCGGGGACCCCUGUAGAAGCACAACUGCUCCCGAGGCGUUGAGAAGGGCUGGCGGUGUGAGGAUUCGGCAGUGCUCCAGAUUGCGCCAACUCCGCAACUGCGUCGGCCACCCGCCGAUUGAUUUCAUCCAUCAUUCGUUGUUCUAGCAUCUGCCGCCAGCUCUCCUCCAUCUGUUCCUUUCUUCGCUUCCGACUUCUGUAAGAGGCGCUGUCGCCUCGGAAAGCGAACUUCCACGGAACCACCCCGAAGCCCCGGCAACGUCCUGGGUGCUCUGGAUUUCCGAGGGCCAAUGUGAGCUCAUCAUUUUCUCGGUCCACCCUCAACCUCCCAGCCUUGGAAUCUUCAAUGUUCUUCAUGAGAUGUUCGGCCUUCUCACGUAUUCUGUCAUUGAAAAUCAGCGUCCCAUCCUCUUGGCUUAGGGAGCCUCCAUGAGCGUAGUACCAGUUCUUUGAUCGUUCGGGCCAUUCAAUAGUUGCAGGUAUGAUUCCCCGUUCGAUCAGAUCUUGUUCCAUCUUUCUCCACUUGGGAAUUGCUGAGCCAUACCCACCUCACCCCAAAUGUUGGUGGUAGCCCUUCUGACUAGCAUUUGCAACGUUGGUCGUGAUCUUUUUCACACCUUCUUCACUCCUCUUGUAUUCAACAAAUGCAUCCCAGUGGUCCCUCAACUUGGGCCACGCGUUGAAGUCUGGAGUUUUGCCCUUCUUGAUGUAGUGGGUGUCCAGCAUCUUCUUGAAUGUCUGGAAUUGAGUAGCCAUCUUCUUAAGUGUCCAGGCUUUGACAUCCUUCUCGCUAUAAUCUUCGGGGAAUGUGAAAUGCCUCUUCACGUCUUCCCACAGCAUAUUCCUUUCUGUCUCUGGAAGGGCGUACGGAUUAUCGCUUCUGCCCUUCCAUUCUCUGAUGCUGAUAGGCACGUUGUCCCGGACGAUUGCCCCGAUUUGACUAACGUACUUCUUUGCGACUUUCUCGGGAGUAACCGGCCUGCCCUCAUCUGUAACUUCGGUGAUGACAAGCCUCCCUUCCAUCACCUUUGUACGACCUCGGGUCUUCUGCCCUUGUGUCGAUCCGGAGGGCUAACAGUUUAAGAUUCGUUAAUUAGUACGUACUAGUAGCGGUGGCGUGAAACAAUACAAGAAUGGUUGUAUAUACCUCGCCGGAACCUUCCGCCACGGCAAGUUGUUGCUGCGGCUGUUGCUCUUCAUUCACAUCGGCAGACAUGUUGAGGAACAUGUCCGCCUGGGUGCCCUCUUCAUCCGUGUAUGAUAGUGGAACGUUGUCGCCACUACCAUCACCAGCGAUUAUCUGCUCCAUGAUAUACCUUGCGGUCUCAUCGUCUGCCAUUUCAACUAUUGCUGCAAACAUACAUGGAAUCAUACAUGACAGUCAUAGAAAUCGUCUUAAUACAAAUUUGUAUAUAAUCACAGUUUGGAAUCAUACAUGUAUAUAAUGAAAUCAUAAAAUUACAUGAAUCGUACAAAGUCCGGAAUCUUUAUACAAAUUUCUAUGAAUUUAUACAAAUUUCUAUGAAUUUAUACAAAUUUCUAUGAAUUUCUAUGAAUUUCUAUGAAUUUCUAUGAAUUUCUAUGAAUUUAUACGAAUUUAUACAAAUUUCUAUGAAUUUAUACGAAUUUAUACAAAUUUAUAUGAAUUUCUAUGAAUUUAUACAAAUUUCUAUGAAUUUAUACAAAUUUCUAUGAAUUUCUAUGAAUUUCUAUGAAUUUCUAUGAAUUUCUAUGAAUUUCUAUGAAUUUCUAUGAAUUUCUAUGAAUUUCUAUGAAUUUAUACGAAUUUAUACAAAUUUCUACGAAUUUCUAUGAAUUUCUACAAAUUUCUACGAAUUUCUACGAAUUUUGACGAAUUUCUACGAAUUUCUACGAAUUUCUACGACAGCGAUAAGGGCGGCGGAGGCGGGACGGCGGCGGUCAGGGCGGCGGAGGCGGGACGGCGGCGAUCAGGGCGGCGGAGGCGGUUCACCGGAACCACGGGCGGUGCCUAAGCUACUACGUUGUGAUGGGCGGCAGGACGGCGGCGAUCACGGCGGCUACUCGGCGGCGAUCACGACGGCUACAAGGCGACUCUCACGGUAGCUACUCGGCGGGACGGCGGCGAUCACGACGGCGGGACGGUAGUUAACAACCUAACUACAAAUCUAACUUAACAAACUAACUAGAAAUCUAAAAAUCUAACUUAAAAAAUAUUAGAAAUCUAAAAAUCUAACUUAACAAAAUUACAAUUCCAUCUAAAAAAAACAAAAUUAAAAAUUAAAAGAAAACGGCCAGCUCUCCCGGCGCACCGGCCGGCGCGGCAGACCUCUCGCGCGCGGGGCGGCGGCCGGGGCGGCGGGACGGCGGCGGCCGGGGCGGCGGGACGGCGGCGGCCGGGGCGGCGUGACGGCGGGACGGCGGCGGCCGAGCGGCGUGCGGGACAGCGGCGGCCGGGGCGGCGACGAGGACGAAGACGACGACGGCGGGACGACGGCGGCCGAGGCGAAGACGACGACGGCGGCCGGCGAGGGGCGACGAGGGGCGACGAGGGGCGAUGCUUCCUUCUGGACGAGCACGAUUACGAACAUAGUUUUUUAGGACUGCCAUGAACCUCUCGAAAGGCCACAUAUUGUGCAGGUAUACAGGUCCGAGAAUACCAAUCUCUUUUACUAGGUGAACCAGUAAGUGCGUCAUAAUAUUGAAGAAGGAUGGUGGAAAUAACAACUCAAAACUGACAAGACAUUGCACCACAUCGUUCUGUAGCUUUGAUAGCUUGGAUGGAUCGAUUGCCUUCUGCGAAAUCGCAUUGAGAAACGCGCAUAGCUUUACGAGCGGCAACCGGACAUUUUCUGGUAGAACACCCCUCAGUGAAACCGGAAGCAACUAGGUCAUCAACAUGUGGCAGUCAUGAGCCUUGAGAUUUGUAAACUUCUUUUGUUUCAUAUUUAUUAUUCCCUUUAUAUUCGAGGAGUACCCAGACGGGACCUUCAUACUAUUCAAGCAUUCAAACAUGCUAUCCUUCUCCUCCUUGCUGAGAGUGUAACUGGCAGGACGUAAGUAGUGCUGUCCAUUAUCUCUCUUUUCCGGAUGUAGGUCAUCUCGUUGCCCCAUGGCUUUCAGGUCCUGUCGUGCUUCCAAUGUAUCUUUUGAGGUUCCAUAAACACCCAUGAAGCCUAGCACGUUCACGCAAAGAUUCUUCGUCAGGUGCAUCACGUCUAUUGCGUUGCGAACCUCUAGGAUUUCCCAAUAAGGUAGCUCCCAAAAUAUUGACUUUUUCUUCCACAUGGGUGCAUGUCCGUUAUCAUCGUUCGGAACAGGUUGGCUAUCAAGUCCCUUUCCAAAGACUACAUGUACAUCCUUCAUCAUCUCGAACACACGCUUUCCAUUACGGUGUGCAGGUUUUUUACGAUGGUCUGGCGUCCCUUUGAAAUGCAUCCCGCUCUUUCUCAGCUGGUGGUGAGCAGGGAGAAAUCGACGAUGACCCAUAUAGACGACCUUCUUACAGUGCUUCAAGUAUAUGCUAUCUGUGUCAUCUAAACAGUGGGUGCAUGCCCGAUAUCCCUUAUUUGUCUGUCCUGAAAGGUUACUCAAUGCAGGCCAAUCGUUGAUGGUUACGAACAACAGUGCUCGUAGAUUAAAGAUCUCUUGUCUAUCCUCAUCCCACACACGUACACCUUCUUCCUUCCAGAGCUGUAAAAGGUCAUCAACCAACGGCCUUAGGUACAUGUCAAUGUCGUUGCCGGGUUGUUUUGGGCCUUGGAUAAGCGCCGGCAUCAUAAUGAACUUCCGCUUCAUGCACAGCCAAGGAGGAAGGUUGAACAUACAAAGGGUCACAGGCCAAGUACUAUGACCACUACUCAACUCACCGAAUGGAUUGAAUCCAUCAGUGCUUAAACCAAACCUUAUGUUCCUUGCUUCACUUUCAAAGUCUGGGAAUGUUCUAUCAAUUGAUCUCCACUGUGCCCCAUCUGCGGGGUGUCUCAGCAUCUCAUCUUCCUUACGGUCUUCUUUGUGCCAUCGCAUCAACUUAGCAUUCGCCUUGUUCCUGAACAAGCGCUUCAAGCGUGGUAUUAUAGGGAAAUACCACAUCACCUUCGCGGGAACUCUCUUCUUGGGAGACUGCCCCUCGACAUCACCAGGAUCAUCUCGCCUGAUCUUAUACUGCAGGGCUUCGCAGACGGGACAAGCAUCCAAUUCCUCGUAUUCAUCACCACGAUAGAGGAUACAGUCAUUAGGGCAUGCGUGUAUCUUCUGAACAUCCAAUCCGAGAGGGCAAAUAAUCUGUUUAGCUUCAUAUGUUAUGGACGGUAAUUCAUUAUUCUCGGGGAGAAUCUUCUUGACAAUUCUCAACAUCCCCUGAAAUGCCUUAUCGGACACACCAUUUUUUGCCUUCCAUUGCACAAAUUCUAGUGUCGUACCUAGUUUUUUAUGGCCCUGCUGGCAACCUGGGUACAACAAUUUUUGGUGAUCAUCUAUCAUGCGCUGCAACUUUGCUGCUUCCUUCUCAGUUUCGCAAUCUCUGUAUGCAUCUCGUAUCACAUGACCAAGGUCAUCAGUAGGGUCAUUUUUUGCAAACUCAUCUUCAUCAGCCUCGCCCAUUGUAGUACCUGCAAAAGCUUGGCCUGCAACCCAGUCCGGAAUGGUGUCAUCUUCCUCCUCCUCCUCGCCAUCUUCCAUUACAACCCCUAGUUCACCGUGCUUGGUCCAAACCAAAUAGUUAGGCAUGAAACCGUAUUUAAACAAGUGGCUGUGAAUAGUCCCCCAGGAAUCCUUUGAAUACUCCUUCCUGUUAUUGCAUUGGAAGCAUGGACAACAUACGAACCCAUUCUCUGGCUUGUUCGCUUUUGCCACUUCGAGAAAAUAAUGCAAGCCAUCAAUAAACACCUUGCUCCGCCUGUCUGCAUUAUACAUCCAAUGCCGGUCCAUCUGCAUCGUAUUACGCACGAAAAUGGAUUACACUUGACAAUGGAUUACGCGUGAAAAUCGAUUAAAGAUCCAAACAACAUGGUACAAUACAACAACAUGAAGAUCCAAAUACACAUAUUUAAAUUAAAGUCCCAAACACUGCAUAAGUUGUUCAACUUGAAGACCGUGAUCAUCUCGCGAGGAUGUCCUCAACUGGGCGGCACCGCACUUCGUCAUUAAAGAGGUUAGAUGCUACGGAAAAGGGGACAUGGUCACGAUGUCCGUAUCUACUCUUUCUCGUAGAAUCGAACCUCCUUCUUGACAUACGUUGCUGCUCGGCGGAGAACAUCCUCGGCGAGAUGAACACGGUAUGCAAGUUCAACAAGUAGCAGAAGUCAUCUAUGUACUAAAAUUCUUUCCUUACCACUACAGAAGUUGUUGAACUUGAAGACCGUGUUCAUUUCGCGAGGAUGUCCUCAGCUAGGCGGCACCGCACUUCGUCAUGAAAGAGGUUAGAUGCUACGGAAAAGGGGACACGGUCACGAUGUCCGUAUCCACUCUUUCUCGUAGAAUCGAACCUCCUUCUUGACAUACGUUGCUACUCGGCGGAGAACAUUCUCGCCGAAAUGAACACGGUAUGCAAGUUUAACAAGUAUAUGGAUUUAAAAAACCAUAUUGAAUUUGAUAAGAUAAACCGUCUAGACAAGGUAGCAUCAUUUUUAAACCACUAAAAUAAUGCAUACUAUAUAUGACACAUCAAUCUCCCUCACAUUCUAGCUCAAAAUACCUCUCCAUUUUUCUACUUCAUCAUCACAUUGUAGCAAAUAAUCUUUCCAUCUCCAAAGCAUAAAUCAAAGCAUAACACGAGGAUGAAGUAGCAAACCUUCGCAGCACUUGUUGGCUGAGUCAAAUUCCCACAAAAAUGAGGGAAAAAACUUCGGGCAGCACCUCCCUUGCUUGGGCACCACCGGAGAGUAGGUGAAGCUCAGCUCUCUAUCAAUGUGCUGGACUGCUCGGGCUGGAGGAAGAAGAAAGUCUCUGUCUCGGGAUAUAGUGGGGGAUGAGUUUUAAUCCCGGUUAAAAACUCCAACCGAGACAAAAGGAAACACCUUUUGUCCCGGUUGGAAAGUUAGUCCCGGUUGGAUCCUCCAACCGGGAUAAAAGGGUCCCGCCACCGAUGCCCCCCCCCUAGCCGUUGCAACCGGGACUAAAGGGGGGCCUUUAGUCCCGGUUGCAAUUACCAACCGGGACUAAUGCUCCCCUCCAAAUUCCCGCCCCCCGGCGCACCCCCUUUUAUCCCGGGCCACUUUUAAACCGGGAUAAAAGGGGGUGGAUCGAAAGUCACUUCUCUACUAGUGUCUGUAUCCAUUUCAGGAGGAGUCGGAGCAUGAUGGCGUUCCACCGAAGGAGCUCAUAUAUACGAGUCAACAAAACUUUCCCCUUGUUUCAUCUCUCUCUAUAUAUAUUUGUAGUUGUAGCUGUUUGCUGUAAACAAGUCCAGUGGUGGGAAUAAGCGGGUGUUUUUUUUUGAUAAAGCAAUAAGCGGGUAGUUUAUUAGCUGCAAGCAAUGGUGCCGGGCUGCCGGUUAAAAGACUGUGGGGGGUUUUGCCCGGCCACCUAACAUUGCAAGCGGGGUCCUACAUUGAUGCACCCUCGUCUGAGCUCCCGGCGGUUGCCACAGAGAGCUCCUGCGGCUGGCCGCUGGGCCUUCGGUUCCACAACAACUCCGGCAACCUGUACAUCGCGGACGCAUACAUGGGGCUGAUGCGCGUCGGGCCGAACGGUGGGUCGACGGUGCUUGCAACUGAGGCCGGCGGUGCACCGCUACGCUUCACGAAUGGAGUGGAUGUUGACCAGGUCACCGGUGACGUCUACUUCACCGACAGUAGCACAACGUACACGCGGGCACAGCAUCAGAUGGUCACCGCAUCGGAAGACUCGACGGGGCGCAUCAUGAGAUACAACAGACGUACAAAUAAGGUCACCGUGCUCCAAUCCGGCGCACUACGGGAAACAGAAGCUUUGCCGAGUGCCCGAGGCACUCGGCAAAGGCCUAAAAACACUCGGCAAAGCUUUUGCCGAGUAUAACACUCGGCAAAGAGCACACGGCAAAUUUUGUGUCGGCAAAGACUAGUUUGCCGAGUGUCAAAACUCGAACACUCGGCAAACAUGUUGCCGACGGCCAAAAAACACUCGGCGAAAAGAUGUACUCGGCGAAAUGCGCACUGACGGCGUCGGGGUAACGACGGGUUUGCCGAGUGCCAGACGGGAGGCACUCAGCAAACACCGGGUCUUUGCCGAGUGCCAAGACUCGGCAAAGACCGGACCUUUGCCGAGUGUCAUCCACGGGGCACUCGGAAAAGCCGGCCCCCUUUGCCGUGUGCCGGGUCCCGGGCACUCGGCAAAGCCGGCGCCCUUUGCCGUGUGCCGGGUCCCGGGCACUCGGCAAAGCCGGCCCCCUUUGCCGAGUGCCUUGACCAUAGCACUCGGCAAACAAGCAUUCCUACACCUGGGAAAUGCCCCUUUGCCGAGUGUUAAGGCCAAAAUACUCGGCAAAGGCCCCUCUUUGCCGAGUGUUACACUCGGCAAAGUGACCAGAACCCCCCCUUUUCGACAUUUUGCCACGUAUAACGGACCCCUCUCAAUUCACAAUACACAUAUCACAGGCAUUUGUAAUAAACAACCACAUGGAUAAUUCACAACCACAGGCAUAAUUCAUAAACACCACAGGUAUAAUUCAACAUAAGCACGAAAUAAUCCAUAAAUCCAAGUUCUUGUCACAAUUUAGUUUCCACAUUGUUCACAACCAAGUCUACUUCCGUGGAGGCCAAGGAGACCACAAAGACAAAUCUUGAUCUUCAUUAUUCGAAGCCGCCGAUUGAUUCUGCACAUAGGAUAGGACAUUCUGAGGUAACAUCUAAAGUUGUCAAAUUUAAACUAUUGAAUCUUAAGCACAAUGUGUCAAGUGACUCACAGGAGUAGUCGUGGGUGGCUGAGGCGGAGGGAACAUCAUCGGCGGUGGCGGAGGCAAAGACUGUCCCAUGCUCGAAGCAAAGUUCUGCAUGUACUGGAACAUCUGCUCCAUCCUAAUCCGGUUUUCCUCCGUCAUCCUCCGCCGCAUUUCCUCCAUCUGCACCGCCAUCUCCUCUUGUUUCUUCCUUGAUUCUUCCACCUGGGCCUACAAUAUUUCAUUGCAAUGUUAUAAUGCAAAGCUAAAGUAUAACAACAAACGAACGAUGAAUGGAAAAGAAAGAACCUGUAGAGCCUCCAUCUGGAACUGUGCAGCGGUGGGUCGUGGGCGUACCGCCAGGCUCGAGUCCGUGCUCCAAGCUCGGAUCUGGGAGAGAGUGGGAGUAGAGGCCGUGUCGAUGACGCCGUCACCAAUCCAAUAUCGGCCAUGCUUCUUGCCUCCUCCCACCCUCAUCACGAUUUCUCCAUCAAUGUCCUCGGAGCUCGGGUCGAAGUCUGGCCCGUGAACCUCCCUAGCCAUUUUUGUAUACUCGCUGACGCGGCUGUGUAUGCUAGGGUGGCUGUACGCCUCGGACAGGUCGUCUGGGUUGAAAUCUAUAUCGGCCGUCGCCUUGCCCUUUUUGGAGAGGACCCAUGCAUUGAGCUGGGAGCAAAGUCGGCCAUCAUGUGACGCCGACUGCGGCAAAAUACAAAAUCAUUAAAAAUUACGUAGAUCAGAAGAUUACAAUAAAGAAUUGAAGUUGCGCACCCAUUUUUCUCUAUAUUCAUCAAGGCUUAGGCUGCCUUGAUGGUGUGGUGCAGUCGGCAUCUGCAAACGCCGCUGCCGGCAAGCAAGGUGGUUCUCCAACCACCCGGGCUCCAACCACACGUCGACCAUCCUCUCCCAGCACGGCAUAUGCGCACAACACCACCACGGAGGCACCUACAUCAUCAAGCGUGUGACAUAUGGAACAAGAAAAUAAACCUAAUUAAUCAGAAAUAGUAAGCAUCAACGUUCUUUACUUACCCUCAUGAAUUGGUCCUUAGUCAUGUUCAUUGUUCUUGCCUCCUCUUUUCUAACCUUCGUACGUUUGUAUUGAGCGUUGAAUUCUAUGAUGGCCUGGAUGCGCGCCUCAUAAUGCAUGUCCUUCACGAGCUUCUUGGCGGCUACAUCACAGACGGCCUUCGCCUUGGCCUCGAACCCCUCCUGGCAUCUAUAGAAGUCCUGCAUAUACACGCGUAUACAGUUAUUAUUUCAAGAAUGUCGAAAGUAGCUGAUGUAUUGAGCAAUUUAGUAUGAGGAGUACUUACCCACAGCUCGGCCUUGACCCGCUCCGCUAUGUUGGGGAAUCUUCUCUGUUGACGAUCAGGGACGUCGGGGGCGGCGACGUAGUGGUCCCACGUGUAGGCCGGCUGCAGCUAUCCGGCGUACACCACCAAGCCAGGGAAGUGAACCCUGCACAAAAGGCCAAGGAUCCCGUUGGCCUUACGGUUGUGGUCACCCCCGCUGAGCUUAAUCCAACUCCUGCACAAGUCAUUAAUAUGAAUUAUUAGUUUUUGUAACUUUCAACAUAAGAACAAUAUUAAGAAUAUUUAAAGUUACUUACUUGGUCCCAACCGGUUUAAUGAGCGGGCGUAAAUGCUCAGGUAUCAGCCACUUCGGGAGGGAUGAAGGACCUCGCAACCAUAUCUUGGACUGGGCAUCCCCUGCCUCCCCGUCCUCCUCCUACUCCUGCUCCUCCUCCUCCUCUGCCUCCUCGUCCCCAGAGGCGUGUGCGGAAGGUACCUCCUCCUCCUCCUCCUCCUCCACCUCAGGUUCAGGCGACGGGGGCCUCGCCGCUUUACCCUUCCCUCGAGGCCUCUGGACCACCUCCUCCUCCUCCUCCACCUCCUCCUCCUCCUCCUCCUCAACCCUACGUCGAGGCCUGCCUCGACGCCUCCCUCGACCGCUCCCUGAACGUGACCCUGACCCUGAACCAGUCCCUGCCGCGGCCAGUCUCUCGCAAAUCGACGUGAGCUUCCUCAUACCACCCACCAUUGCUUAAUGACCUGCAAUUAAAAAGAGUACACGAGUCAGCAUAGGCAAACAAAACAUAAUUGUCGAUGUUUGUCGAACGAAGAAUAUUUGCCACCUUUCGACAACCAAAUGAACUUCAAAGAUGCUUUACAUACUGGGCAUGGGAACUUCCCGUGAACACACCAUCCGGAGAAAAUCCCAUAUGCCGGCAAGUCAUGCAGUGAGUACUAGUACCAAACAUGCAUCUUGAAGUUUGUCUUUGUGGAUCGGUCAUAGGUCCAUACCCCUUCCUCCCAAGCACGGAGCAAAUCAUCAAUCAGAGGCUCCAUAUACACACUCAUAUUAUUCCCCGGAUGCUCUGGAAUUAUCAACGACAAGAACAUAUUAUGUCGUUGAAAUAGGACGCCGGGUGGGAGAUUCAGGGGGAUAACGAAAAUGGGCCAACAGGUGUACGGGGCGGCCGCCAUUCUAUAGGGAUUGAACCCAUCAGUUGCCAACGCAACGCAUACGUUACGGGCCUCUAGAGCUUUUGCAGGAUAAAUCGCAUCAAAGCUUCUCCAGGCUUCAGCAUCGAAUGGGUGUACCAGCUUCUCAGGAUUAUAGCGGCGGCCAUUUUUGUGCCAUGUCAUCUGUUUCGCGGAUUCUUCAGUCAUGAAAAGCCGUUGGAUCCUCGGUAUGAAAGGAAGAUACCGUAGAACCUUCACAGGAAUUGCGAGCUGCAUUUUCUGACCGUCACCAUAGUCAACCUCCAGAAAUCUAGACGAUUCACACUUCACACAGUAUUUUGCUUCCGCAUACUCUUCCUAAAUAAGAUGCAUCCCUUCGGGCAAGCAUGUAUAUGCUCGUAUGGCAUCUUAAGUGCACGAAGGAGUUUCUGUGCCUCAUACAUGCUCUUUGGCAAGAUGUGACCAACCGGGAGCAGGCUUCCAAAAACUGUCAUCAUAAUAUCAAACGCGUCUCGACUCAAACUAAACUGAGACUUCACAGCCAUUAGGCGUGCAAUGGCAUCUAGCUGAGAAACCUUGGUAUGGCCGUGAAGGGGUUGCUGUGCCGCAGACAACAUUUCGUAAUAAGCCUUAGCGGUAGCCUCUGGCUCCUCCUCCCUACGUGCCUCUUCGAAGUGUGCUUCAUGAUAGUCAUUUAACAUGUCUCCCACCCCGGCAUCAUCAUCAAAUUCCUCGAUGCGUUGUCUCAAGACCUCCUCUCUCCCACGGUCAGAUUCACCAUGGUAGAUCCACCUGGUGUAGUCUGACGUAAAUCCGUUCUUCACCAGAUAUUUGCCCAUGUCUAGCUUGGUUUGCCGACGCAUGUUUCCACAUUUGCUGCACGGACACCAAGUCGAUCGAGCUCCAUUGACACUUGCAAACGCCCGUUCCAAGAAAGCAUCCAUCUUGUCAAGCCAUUCAUUGGUCAACGUAUUCUGACUAGUGCGACCCGUGUACAUCCACUGACGAUCCUCCAUCCUCUACCAUUUAAAUAAGUAAUACAAAAUUCACAUUGCAUAUACACGUUCCUAUAUUGUCUACUAGGUAAAGAUAGGUCCUAAUCGCACCCGAGGAUGUAUAGGUGGGUUUAGUAUCCUUGAUCUACUCGGAGGGAUAUAAAAGGUGGGCAGGGCGGCCUGGGUGCUCGGGCCAGUCCGCUCCCUUUUACCAACCCAAUCGUUCUAGUAAAAGUUGAGGGGGGGAAAUCAAAGUGGUUUCCUACACNNNNNNNNNNNNNNNNNNNNNNNNNNNNNNNNNNNNNNNNNNNNNNNNNNNNNNNNNNNNNNNNNNNNNNNNNNNNNNNNNNNNNNNNNNNNNNNNNNNNAUGAAAAUGAAGGAGAUUGUGUAUCUAGAGAACAACAGGGAGGUGCUGCCGAAAUUUUAUCUCGGGUCGGAGUAGACCAUGGAUACUAAACUCACCUACACAUCCUCGGGCUGUCCAAAAAAUGUGGACAAUUCGAAACAGAUACGAUUAUAGAUAUGCAAAGAUCUGCAUAUUUCCAACCGUAUCUCUUUCGAACGGGAGACGCCUAACUAGGUUACGUGAUAUACGAACAUUAUAUGGAAAGAGAGGUGUAGCGUGCCUCACCUUGCUAUCCUGCAAAGUGACGAGUCGAGGACGGUCCUUGUAAGCCUCUCCUGCAACAAAAGAAACAAAGCAUUGUUUAAGUCAAAAUUUCGGCAGCAACUCCCCUGCACGGGGAGCUUUCCAAAACCUGCAACAUAAGAAAUGGCACGAUAGCUGACAACCACAAUCUCACCAAAGAGUUGGCACGAUGGCCACCAACCACAACCACAACCAACCACACCUCUAUUCUUUUCAACAUUUUCUAAUUUCUACUCUUCCUUCUUCUCGAAUUUUCUAAAUCCAUGCCAAUAAUUUCUAAAAUAAAUGCUACCACAUCCUACCACCUCUCUAAUAUUUUCAACAUUUAAUUUCUAAUUUCUAAUUUCAUGCAUUCUCUAAUAUUUUCAACAUUUUCAACUUACCGGAGGGGCGACGGCCACGAAUAGAGGAGUGGGGGCGGUCGGGGGACGGUGCGGCGGCCGGAUGGGGGCGGCCGGGGGCCGGUGCGGCGGCCGGACGAGGGCGGCCGCGGGGGGCCGGCGCGGGAGGCUGGCCGGGGCGCAGGGGAGGCCGGCCGGGGGCGCAGGGGAGGCCGAGGCCUUAUCCCGGCGCGGGCGGGCGGCGCGGGGCGGUCGGGCGGCGACGGCGCGGGGCGGCGGUGCAAUCGGGCGGGCGGGCGGUGGCGGCGGCGGCGCGGGCGCGGGGGGCCGGGCGGCUGCGGGCGCGGGCGUGUGCGUGCGUGGCUGUUGGCGUGCGUGUGGCCGGGCGUCAGGUGCGCGGUGCGCUAAGUGUGGAUAUGGCCACUUUGCCGAGUGCUUAUGAUCUAGCACUCGGCACUCGGCAAAGCCUUUGCCGAGUGCUAGAUCAUAAGCACUCGGCAAACAUUUUUUUUUUAUUUUUUUAUUCGGAUUUCACAGUGCGUCUGGCAGGUGGACCGCGGCGAUGUUUGCCGAGUGCUUGUCAUCUAGCACUCGGCAAAGGCUUUGCCGAGUGCUAGAUCAGGAGCACUCGGCAAACAUUUUUUUUUAAAUUUUUUUUUUGGAUUUCAAAGUGCGUCUGGCAGGUGGACCGCGGCGAUGUUUGCUGAGUGUCCCAAGUUUGACACUCGGCAAAUCGGCUCUUUGCUGAGUGCCAUCCCUUGACACUCGGCAAAUGAGUACUAUUAUUUCAUGUCAAACUAGUUUUAUUAAUUAAAAGAUUGUAAAGUUUGCAAAAACCUAGUCAAAUUCACUAAACAUUGCGUAUUUCAUUUUUUAAGUAAUAUUGUUCCAUCAUUUCAUGGAUUUAUAGCUCAUAUUAAAAUUAUAUCUAUUAAAUUCAUAUACGUGCAAUUAAUGAAUAAAAAUUACCAAACGGAUCUGAAAAAUUCCCAAAAUUUGACAUGAACCAAUCUAUGUUCUCUAUAGCCUAUAAAAAAAAUUGGACUCAAUGAGAAACACAUGUAUCGAUUCGUCUCAAAAUCUUACCGGAUCCUUUCAACUUCUACGAAUCCUCUCGGGAGAUGCUUCGAAUUCUAAACAUCAUAUGUCAAAACUUGUGCGAAACCUUGUCAAUUUUUUACCACAGCCUCUUCAUAUGAAAUCAUAGCAUCUUGCAAAAUCUCAUGAUUUUCAAACUUCGUUUGUAUUUUUGAGAAUUAAAUAAUCAUUUGGCCACACGUUCGUAGUCGUGUUUCCUUAGCAAAAUGUUCGAAAUUUCUUUUCAUUUUCUGGGUGAAACCUCAAUUUGGACUCACUAACAUGAAUAUGAUUUUUACACUCAUAUUAUUCCAUUAUUCCAACCACCUGUAGUUCAAAUUUGACUUGAAUCAAAAAAUUACUCUAAAUGAAAUUAAUUGAUUAAAUAUAGCAAACAGGUCAAAAAAUAGUCCACCUUCUACCAUGCAGUGCCAAAUGCCAUACAUGUGGAGUGUAAAAAGUUUGGAGGGUGGAGGAGGGAAAAAAAUUAUUUUUGCCGAGUGUGUCAAAAGACACUCGGCAAACCCUAUAGUAUGCCGAGUGUUCCCCCUAGCACUCGGCAUACUCACCACUUUGCCGAGUGUCCCAUCACGACACUCGGCAAACUAGUGGCUUUGCCGAGUGCCCCCCGUAGAGACUCGGCAAAGCCUAACGUCCGUCACGGAGCCGCGCCGGCGGCGGCACGGGGGGCACUCGUGGUCGUCAGUUUGCCGAGUGUUUUUCUUUGCCGAGUGCCUCGUGGGUGUUUGCCGAGUGUUUUUUUGGCGGCACUCGGCAAACCGGUCCUUCGCCGAGUGUAUUCUCUUUGCCGAGUGUUUUGGAUAUUGCACUCGGCAAAACGGUCCUUCGCCGAGUGCCCGAAAAAAUACACUCGGCGAAAUAAUUGCACUCGACGACUUUGAGGUUUCCCGUAGUGGCGUGACAUAUCCCAAUGGCAUUGCCAUCAGCGCUGACAGGAGCCAUCUUAUCGUCGCUCUCACGGGACCAUGCAAGCUAAUGAGGUACUGGAUCCGAGGGCCUAAGGCCGGUACAUCUGGGCUAUUUACCGACCUACCGGGAUACCCGGACAAUGUGAGGCCCGACGGGAAGGGUGGGUACUGGGUUGCGCUGCAUAGGGAGAAGUAUGAGCUCCCGUUUGGAAAGGACAGCCACUUGGUCGCUAUUAGGAUCGGCUCUGAAGGUGAGAAGUUGCAAGAAAUGAGGGGUCCCAAGGAUGUCCGUCCAACAGAGGUGGUCGAACGAGAGGACGGCAAAAUAUAUCUUGGGUCUGUAGAGUUGUCUUAUGUAAGCAUGGUCAAGAGUAGCUAGAUCUAGGAUAGAGUUUAGGUAUAUCAUAUAAUUUUGUUCAACUUCAAAUUUUGCAUGAACAUGGAUCAUUGCAUCGUGCAUCUACUCAUAUUUUAUAUUGAAUCUAUCAUGCAUGUUUUGGUGGAUCAUUUUGAUGUGGAGUAUGAGAGUACCUCAAGGUGGUGGAGCACCUGAAUUGUUCUCUUUCCUCCGCAGAUGGAGCAUGGAGCGUUGGUGAAAUGGUCAGAGAUGAGGGACUUAUUAAUGGAUCGUACGCCACGAUAAAUGGUCUCAUUUUCCUUUUGACACGGAAAUGGUCUCAUUUGAUCUUGUCAGCAAAGUAUGGAGAUGUUUAACCCACUCUCAAUGGAAGUUGCGCCCGCUUUGAAGGCAAACGCAAGCUUGAUGAUGGUUGGUGCCAUCGAUCUCGCGCGGAGAAAUUCGGUGACUUCCCUACCUGGUGCACCAUGGCGCGCCAGUUGUUGGUGUUUUAUACCGGCAACCCGCUUAGGGAGUACCCGAGGUGGUGUUUUGUGUGGGUGUCGCUGAGAAUCAAAGAGUCGAUGGUGACGCAGGAAACACGAUUUAGACAGGUUCGGACUGCUAGAUCGCGUAAUACCCUACGUCAUGUGUCCUGUGUGUGGAUUUUAUUGAUGAGUUGUGUUACAUUGUGCUUAGCCUGCUCGCCCUUAUAUAGUCGGGGGAGCUGGGUUAUAGGGUAGGAGUUCUAGUCGAACACGAUUACAGAGUCCUACUCUAAUUUGACAAAGUAGUUUCCUUGAGUAAUCCGACUAGUCUUUAGGAGUUCGUGGAGACUACGUUACCCUGCGACGUAGCCUCCAAGUCCUGAUCACGUCCGAGUACGCCCCUAUUUGGGCCGUACAAGGCCUACUCGUGGGUCCGAGGAUGUAUGCCCGACAGUCGAUGGGUUCAUUGCUUACCACUGAAAAAUAGUACCACUUAAAUCUUAGAAUAAAUUUAGAAAAAUACGAGUACCCAUACAAAAUUUGGACUCGAAACGAGUAGAGACAAAGUUCGUUGUAUGCUGAUAAAUUACGGCCCCAUUUCAAGUAAUUGCAUGGGUGCAUACAGGUAUGCCGUCUUCCAUUUGCACAUUUCCAUGAACCUGCAGUUUUCACAUAAAGAACUUUAAAUCUUUGUUUGGAUAACCUAACACUAGUAGAGAAGUGACUUUCGAUCCACCCCCUUUUAUCCCGGUUUAAAAGUGGCCCGGGACAAAAGGGGGUGCGGGGGGGUGCGGAAAUUUGGAGGGGAGCAUUAGUCCCGGUUGGUAAUUGCAACCGGGACUAAAGGCCCCCCUUUAGUCCCGGUUGCAACGGCUAGCUGGGGGGCGUCGGUGGCCGGACCCUUUUAUCCCGGUUGGAGGAUCCAACCGGGACUAACUUUCCAACCGGGACAAAAGGUGUUUCCUUUUGUCUCGGUUGGAGUUUUUAACCGGGAUAAAAACUCAUCCCCCACUAUAUCCCGAGACAGAGACUUUCUUCUUCCUCCAGCCCGAGCAGUCCAGCACAUUGAUAGAGAGCUGAGCUUCACCUACUCUCCGGUGGUGCCCAAGCAAGGGAGGUGCUGCCCGAAGUUUUUUCCCUCAUUUUCGUGGGAAUUUGACUCAGCCAACAAGUGCUGCGAAGGUUUGCUACUUCAUCCUCGUGUUAUGCUUUGAUUUAUGCUUUGGAGAUGGAAAGAUUAUUUGCUACAAUGUGAUGAUGAAGUAGAAAAAUGGAGAGGUAUUUUGAGCUAGAAUGUGAGGGAGAUUGAUGUGUCAUAUAUAGUAUGCAUUAUUUCAGUGGUUUAAAAAUGAUGCUACCUUGUCUAGAUGGUUUAUCUUAUCAAAUUCAAUAUGGUUUUUUAAAUCCAUAUACUUGUUAAACUUGCAUACCGUGUUCAUUUCUGAGAUGAUGUUCUCCGCCGAGUAGCAACGUAUGUCAAGAAGGAGGUUCGAUUCUACGAGAAAGAGUGGAUAUUCGACUAUAGCUUGCCGUGGCUGCCGCAGNNNNNNNNNNNNNNNNNNNNNNNNNNNNNNNNNNNNNNNNNNNNNNNNNNNNNNNNNNNNNNNNNNNNNNNNNNNNNNNNNNNNNNNNNNNNNNNNNNNNNNNNNNNNNNNNNNNNNNNNNNNNNNNNNNNNNNNNNNNNNNNNNNNNNNNNNNNNNNNNNNNNNNNNNNNNNNNNNNNNNNNNNNNNNNNNNNNNNNNNNNNNNNNNNNNNNNNNNNNNNNNNNNNNNNNNNNNNNNNNNNNNNNNNNNNNNNNNNNNNNNNNNNNNNNNNNNNNNNNNNNNNNNNNNNNNNNNNNNNNNNNNNNNNNNNNNNNNNNNNNNNNNNNNNNNNNNNNNNNNNNNNNNNNNNNNNNNNNNNNNNNNNNNNNNNNNNNNNNNNNNNNNNNNNNNNNNNNNNNNNNNNNNNNNNNNNNNNNNNNNNNNNNNNNNNNNNNNNNNNNNNNNNNNNNNNNNNNNNNNNNNNNNNNNNNNNNNNNNNNNNNNNNNNNNNNNNNNNNNNNNNNNNNNNNNNNNNNNNNNNNNNNNNNNNNNNNNNNNNNNNNNNNNNNNNNNNNNNNNNNNNNNNNNNNNNNNNNNNNNNNNNNNNNNNNNNNNNNNNNNNNNNNNNNNNNNNNNNNNNNNNNNNNNNNNNNNNNNNNNNNNNNNNNNNNNNNNNNNNNNNNNNNNNNNNNNNNNNNNNNNNNNNNNNNNNNNNNNNNNNNNNNNNNNNNNNNNNNNNNNNNNNNNNNNNNNNNNNNNNNNNNNNNNNNNNNNNNNNNNNNNNNNNNNNNNNNNNNNNNNNNNNNNNNNNNNNNNNNNNNNNNNNNNNNNNNNNNNNNNNNNNNNNNNNNNNNNNNNNNNNNNNNNNNNNNNNNNNNNNNNNNNNNNNNNNNNNNNNNNNNNNNNNNNNNNNNNNNNNNNNNNNNNNNNNNNNNNNNNNNNNNNNNNNNNNNNNNNNNNNNNNNNNNNNNNNNNNNNNNNNNNNNNNNNNNNNNNNNNNNNNNNNNNNNNNNNNNNNNNNNNNNNNNNNNNNNNNNNNNNNNNNNNNNNNNNNNNNNNNNNNNNNNNNNNNNNNNNNNNNNNNNNNNNNNNNNNNNNNNNNNNNNNNNNNNNNNNNNNNNNNNNNNNNNNNNNNNNNNNNNNNNNNNNNNNNNNNNNNNNNNNNNNNNNNNNNNNNNNNNNNNNNNNNNNNNNNNNNNNNNNNNNNNNNNNNNNNNNNNNNNNNNNNNNNNNNNNNNNNNNNNNNNNNNNNNNNNNNNNNNNNNNNNNNNNNNNNNNNNNNNNNNNNNNNNNNNNNNNNNNNNNNNNNNNNNNNNNNNNNNNNNNNNNNNNNNNNNNNNNNNNNNNNNNNNNNNNNNNNNNNNNNNNNNNNNNNNNNNNNNNNNNNNNNNNNNNNNNNNNNNNNNNNNNNNNNNNNNNNNNNNNNNNNNNNNNNNNNNNNNNNNNNNNNNNNNNNNNNNNNNNNNNNNNNNNNNNNNNNNNNNNNNNNNNNNNNNNNNNNNNNNNNNNNNNNNNNNNNNNNNNNNNNNNNNNNNNNNNNNNNNNNNNNNNNNNNNNNNNNNNNNNNNNNNNNNNNNNNNNNNNNNNNNNNNNNNNNNNNNNNNNNNNNNNNNNNNNNNNNNNNNNNNNNNNNNNNNNNNNNNNNNNNNNNNNNNNNNNNNNNNNNNNNNNNNNNNNNNNNNNNNNNNNNNNNNNNNNNNNNNNNNNNNNNNNNNNNNNNNNNNNNNNNNNNNNNNNNNNNNNNNNNNNNNNNNNNNNNNNNNNNNNNNNNNNNNNNNNNNNNNNNNNNNNNNNNNNNNNNNNNNNNNNNNNNNNNNNNNNNNNNNNNNNNNNNNNNNNNNNNNNNNNNNNNNNNNNNNNNNNNNNNNNNNNNNNNNNNNNNNNNNNNNNNNNNNNNNNNNNNNNNNNNNNNNNNNNNNNNNNNNNNNNNNNNNNNNNNNNNNNNNNNNNNNNNNNNNNNNNNNNNNNNNNNNNNNNNNNNNNNNNNNNNNNNNNNNNNNNNNNNNNNNNNNNNNNNNNNNNNNNNNNNNNNNNNNNNNNNNNNNNNNNNNNNNNNNNNNNNNNNNNNNNNNNNNNNNNNNNNNNNNNNNNNNNNNNNNNNNNNNNNNNNNNNNNNNNNNNNNNNNNNNNNNNNNNNNNNNNNNNNNNNNNNNNNNNNNNNNNNNNNNNNNNNNNNNNNNNNNNNNNNNNNNNNNNNNNNNNNNNNNNNNNNNNNNNNNNNNNNNNNNNNNNNNNNNNNNNNNNNNNNNNNNNNNNNNNNNNNNNNNNNNNNNNNNNNNNNNNNNNNNNNNNNNNNNNNNNNNNNNNNNNNNNNNNNNNNNNNNNNNNNNNNNNNNNNNNNNNNNNNNNNNNNNNNNNNNNNNNNNNNNNNNNNNNNNNNNNNNNNNNNNNNNNNNNNNNNNNNNNNNNNNNNNNNNNNNNNNNNNNNNNNNNNNNNNNNNNNNNNNNNNNNNNNNNNNNNNNNNNNNNNNNNNNNNNNNNNNNNNNNNNNNNNNNNNNNNNNNNNNNNNNNNNNNNNNNNNNNNNNNNNNNNNNNNNNNNNNNNNNNNNNNNNNNNNNNNNNNNNNNNNNNNNNNNNNNNNNNNNNNNNNNNNNNNNNNNNNNNNNNNNNNNNNNNNNNNNNNNNNNNNNNNNNNNNNNNNNNNNNNNNNNNNNNNNNNNNNNNNNNNNNNNNNNNNNNNNNNNNNNNNNNNNNNNNNNNNNNNNNNNNNNNNNNNNNNNNNNNNNNNNNNNNNNNNNNNNNNNNNNNNNNNNNNNNNNNNNNNNNNNNNNNNNNNNNNNNNNNNNNNNNNNNNNNNNNNNNNNNNNNNNNNNNNNNNNNNNNNNNNNNNNNNNNNNNNNNNNNNNNNNNNNNNNNNNNNNNNNNNNNNNNNNNNNNNNNNNNNNNNNNNNNNNNNNNNNNNNNNNNNNNNNNNNNNNNNNNNNNNNNNNUAGUCAAUCGGGGCAUCGUCCGGGACACGUGCCUAUCAGCAUCAGAGAAUGGAAGGGCAGAAGCGAUAAUCCGUACGCCCUUCCAGAGACAGAAAAGAAUAUGCUGUGGGAAGACGUGAAGAGGCAUUUCACAUUCCCCGAAGAUUAUAGCGAGAAGGAUGUCAAAGCCUGGACACUUAAGAAGAUGGCUACUCAAUUCCAGACAUUCAAGAAGAUGCUGGACACCCACUACAUCAAGAAGGGCAAAACUCCAGACUUCAAUGCGUGGCCCAAGUUGAGGGACCACUGGGAUGCAUUUGUUGAAUACAAGAGGAGUGAAGAAGGUGUGAAAAAGAUCACGACCAACGUUGCAAAUGCUAGUCAGAAGGGCUACCACCAUCAUUUGGGGCGAGGUGGGUAUGGCUCAGCAAUUCCCAAGUGGAGAAAGAUGGAACAAGAUCUGAUCGAACGGGGAAUCAUACCUGCAACUAUUGAAUGGCCCGAACGAUCAAAGAACUGGUACUACGCUCAUGGAGGAUCCCUAAGCCAAGAGGAUGGGACCCUGAUUUUCAAUGACAGAAUACGUGAGAAGGCCGAACAUCUCAUGAAGAACAUUGAAGAUUCCAAGGCUGGGAGGUUGAGGGUGGACCGAGAAAAUGAUGAGCUCACAUUGGCCCUCGGAAAUCCAGAGCACCCAGGACGUUGCCGGGGCUUCGGGGUGGUUCCGUGGAAGUUCGCUUUCCGAGGCGACAGCGCCUCUUACAGAAGCCGGAAGCGAAGAAAGGAACAGAUGGAGGAGAACUGGCGGCAGAUGCUAGAACAACGAAUGGUGGAUGAAAUCAAUCGGCGGGUGGCCGACGCAGUUGCGGAGUUGGCGCAAUCUGGAGCACUGCCGAAUCCUCACACCGCCAGCCCUUCUCAACGCCUCGGGAGCAGUUGUGCUUCUACAGGGGUCCCCGAUGCGCAGACGCCCAGGUUACCCGUGGAGGAGCAACGGUUCCCCGUGGAUGCCAUCACGCAACGGACCUCAUGUGAGCUGCAUGCACCGGUCGGCAACCUCACUAUUAAGGUAUACUUAUACAAAAUAUUUAUGCAAUCUUGUCAAUUGAUCCAGGCCUCGAGAUCGGAGUUCAACUUGUUUACUUCUGCUAUAUGUACAGGUAGCGUACGGGAGUGCGUUACCAACGCUGGCAGGGCAGAGCAGUCAUGGCAUGGACAUUCCAACUGGCUACGCCAGCGUCUGUGUCGAGCAAAUAGUAGAUGCCCAGUAUGAAGGUCUAGAGCUCGACUUCCCGGGAGGCGACGGGGAAAAGACAUUGGCAGAUGCGCUUCAUGGGAUCAUUCUAUGGAAGAAACGCUACAUCAUUAUUUCCCGCACGGAGCCAUCUCCUCAGACCUCAAGACCGCUCCCCGUAGAUCCCGAGCAGCGAUCUUCUCCUCAUACCUCGAGACCGGCAUCUCCUGCUCCAGGACCGUCGCUUCCAUCUAUAUCAAGGUCUCCAUCUCCACCACAUCCUGGUGCUGGGAGCGACGACGACAAUAACAACACCCCUCCCCGAUCACCGUCGCCGGCACCAAGAGCGGCCCCCUCGAAGGAACCUGCAGCACCACUCAAGAAGUCACGAGCACCGCCUCCCAAGCAAAGACAGCCUCGAAAGAAGAAAACAAAGGUCGACCCUGAAGUGGCUCGCAAGGAACGCUUUGAGGCAAUGUCUCAUGCGGAACAGUGGGCAGAAAUCCAACGAGAGGCCAGUGAGUGGUUUAAGAAACAAGCCGAAUUAAAAAAGGCAAGGGAGAUGGAGCCACCGCCAGUAAGUCGGCGGGAUUUAAACUUCUUUAUCAGGAUGGAGGAAGGAGCCAAGAAAAGGAUACCACUCUUGACAAACUAUGAACGGGCUCUAGUAAAGGCUGAUGAAAAGGAUAAAAGAAAAGGAAAAUCAUCCUCCAGCAGUUCAGUCCCCGACCUCAGCCAUUUGUCAAAGAAAGAUGCUCAACGGGUAAAAGCAAUGCCCUUGGAUCAACAAGCAAAUAUAUUGAAGUUCAUGGAAGAAACAGGUCUGGGACUUGAUGAAUGCAUAGGGCAAGUCGAGACGCCAACUGCACCGCCCCCUGAGCCGAGAUGGCCUUUUAAGCUAGGCAAGCCUCUAGUGAAGCCGGCAAUGGUACGGAAGCUGUCAACAAAGAUGUACGAAUUCCAUCAAUGGUACAUGACGGCAUCCGCCAAAUCGAGGGAGAUGAUCGGCAUGAAGGUAAAACCGAUAGAUUUUCACGGUGAAGGGGAGAAAGUGCUGUGGCUAAACUUCGAGGAUAUAUACGAAGUGUACCAUCAUGAUGCCCUGGACGUCUCUCUGAUCAGCGCUUGGAUUCUGUAAGUGUCCGUUUAUUAUCUCUACAUGUAAAUUUUGGCGUGCGUCACCGUACUAACUUCAUCUUCCAUUUCAUGUAGGAUGCUAAUUCAGACAUGCCGCCGAGAGGCGUACCUACAUGUAGGCUUCAUGGAUCCAUCUGUAGUUAACCAACGACAGAUACAAUUAGCGCCGGAAAAAACCUUUGCCGAACUAUACAAUUUCCUACACAAACAAACAUUCAAGGAUUUCAUACUACUUCCAUACAACUUCAAGUAAGUGUGUGUAUACCGUCUACUUUCGAUGUCUUUUUCCUUAUCUCUACAUGUUAGUUAGCUCUAAUAUGCAUGAACAUUUUACGCACGCAGCUUCCACUGGAUCCUUAUUAUAAUUGAGCCUGAAAGAAGCCACGUCACUGUCUUUGAUUCGUUACGGAAAGAUCCGGUGGACUACCAAGAAUUGCAAGACAUGCUGGGAUUGUAAUAAUUCUGGACCUUUAUCUCUAUGCAAAAAUUUAUUUCCUAAAUUUUAUCCCUGUUACACUAUGUCAUUCAUUAUUCUAAUCCGCAGCGUAUGGAAACAAUUCAUAAGGACACACAAAGGUCCAUUCAAAGAAGAUCUUACAUGGAACACAGACUUCCCGGUACGUAUGAAGUCUGCACAUUUAUUACAUUGUAUAACACGAAUAUUUCAUAACUUAUUUUUUUUCCGCACUGAAGUGCUUAAGACAGGAACCCGGGAAUAACCUAUGUGGCUACUACAUCUGUGAGCACAUGCACGGUUUUUUGGGACCCAAGGGACCGAAUAUGACGCCGCACAGCUUAAAAGUACGUAAAAUAAAUAUAUUACUAGUUAAUUAUUUUCUAGCUCCUUAUAUGUAUUUGUUCAUGUAACAUUCACAAAUUUCCAAAUUAUAGAUGUUAAAUAUUCAACAAGGACUCUUGAAGGAAGAAAGAGUAGCGGCAAUAUGUGAAGGUCUCAUUGGAUUCAUAAUGGACGAGGUGGUAAAUCCAAGAGGAGAAUUUUAUUACGAUGGACGACAAUUAGACACUCCUCUCAGCAACACCACGACGGGCGGAAGAUCGUAGAUAGGAAGAUACUUUGAUUUAUUUGUAUAUAUGAUCGAUUUGUACUAAUUAAGCUAGUUGAAUUGUGUAUAUGAAUUGUGUAUAAGGAUUGUGUAUAUAUAUAGUAGUUGUAUAAUUACAAAUCCCAUUCGUUUAAAUACUAGUUGAUUUAAUUCAUUCUAAAAAAAUCUCAACUACAAGGUUAACAAAUUAAAAGGGCCGCGGUACUACUAUACGUAUACGUGAUGCAUGCAUGAAAAAUUCAGACGUCACCAGUGCCAUGCAAGCGCAAUUUAGUCCCGGUUGGAAUUGAGCCGGGACUAAAGGGGACCCCUUUAGUCCCGGUUGGGAAAUCCAACCGGGACUAAAGGGGGUCCUUUACUCCCGGUUAAAAUACCCGGGACUAAAGACCCCCCCCUUUUGUCCCGGUUGGUUUAUCCCGGAUGGAUAUCCGAGAGAUAUGACCCUUACCAACCGGGACUAAUGCUCAGUUUUCUACCAGUGUAACAGAAUCUGGUACUUGGAGUUUCCCAAAAAUUUGUAGUUGUAGCUGUUUGCUGGAAUAAGCGGGGUUUUUUCUUGAUAAAGCAAUAAGCCGGUAGUUUAUUAGCUGCAAGCAAUGGUGCCGGGCUGCCGGUUACGACUGAUGAGGGAGGUUUUGCCCGGCCCCAACGUUGCAAGUGGGAUCCUACACUGAUCCUAGAGCUAGGAGUAACAAAAUGUACUAGGCAUGUGACAAGACAAGCCAGAGCCUGCACCAACUUCAACUGAUCGAGAUGCCGUUCAAAAAAAAUAAAACUUCAACUGACAUGGGAAGUUACUUUAAUAUGGUUGCGUUUGUGCCGAUUAUCUUGCUUUGAAUGGUCUAGAUCUGCGUCGAGUCAACAAAACUUACCCCUUGUUUCAUCUCUCUCUCUAUGCAACGCAGCGGGUAUAGAUAGCAGGUCUCAUUCCUGCCCGGGCCUUAUAGACGAUAAAGUUAGCAUCAACUAGCUCCAUCCCAGCAAGUGUGUUCCAGGAAUCCAGGUCAGUGCUGUGUUAGAACCAUCAGCCAGCCCUUUGUCAUGUAUAUACUUUUGAUUCAUUUGUUAACCGUCGUUCUAUAUCUGUAUACAGUAAUCAUUUCUUUGAUGCGUGUGUCUAUCGAACAGAAAUUUGUUUUAAACCGAAUCUAGACACUUGAUUUGCUAAUCCUUGUUCUGUGAGUUCAAAUUAUCCUAGUGCAUCCCAGAGGCAAAGGCCCCGAAGACAGGUUUUUGUUUUUCAGAGAAACAUACAAAUUACCUUAAGUAUAAGCAUGUUUCAGAUAUUAGAUGGUCUAGAUUCAUCCAUUCAUGGGUCAAAUCCCGAUCUUGAGAAGAUCUCGUGCCGGCUUGUUGCAUACAUAGUAUGCAUUUGGAUUAACACGGUGGUUGAGCUAUUGGGACAUAAAAGGUAGGAGGGAAAGGGGACAGAGCAGCAGCACCACCAACGCAUCAUGGUUCAUGGACCAAGAGCCGUGCCGUGCUCUGGCUGUGCGGCUGCAGGCGACCGCGCGCAAGCAGGGGAGGGGAGGUCAUGCCUGCAAAUCGCACGACGCGGCGCUGCUACUGCUAGAGCGAACAUAGUAAAUACAAGAGGAGCCAUCUUCUCGUUGCUCGCUCCUAGGAGAAUCUGUUUUCCCAGGAGUAUACCACUAACGCUGUAAUAAACUGAUCCUCCUUGCAAUGUAUUUCGUUUGUUAAAAAUGUAUAUGUCAAACAGUCUCCAUUGAAUUGUAGCUGUCUCAUCCCUCAGAAUUUUUGGAUUGUAGAAAUGGAAGUCCAAAAAGAAGUUGACGCCCUGCGGAAGAUAUUGACUGAUACAAGUGGGGAGCCAAUCAAACUAUCAUAUGCAACUAUAGAUUACCUUGUAGGAGGUUUCUCUGAUGAAGACUGUGUGAUUGGUCGUGGUGGAUUUGGGGUGGUCUACAUGGUACGAUUUGCUCUUAAGUAACCCAUUUAUAUAUACUAUCAGUUUUUCAUAUAGUUGCCCAUGGAGAGACACGCUCAAGCCAAUGAUAAACAGAGUAAUAUGGUAAGCUGAACUGCAGGGAACUCUUUGGUAUGCUGAUUCUCCAAUGAAGGUUGCUAUCAAGAAGCUUAAUUCGACAUCGCCUAGUUUUGACGAUGAACAAUUUGUUAAGGAGGUUCGAUGCUUGAAAAUGGCAAAGCACAAAAAUAUAGUUCAAUUUCUAGGUUAUUGCGCAGAUACAGCUAACGAAAUAAUGGAGCUCCCUGAAGGAAAACAUGUUUUGGUAGAAUCACUACGGCAACGGUUUCUCUGCUUCAAGUAUGCACCUAAUGGAAGCCUUGAUGACCAUUUUAUUAACGAAGGUAUAAAGGUUGCAAACUUUUGUUUUGUUUUGCUUUUUGGUUUGCGCUUGGAUCAUUGAACAAGAAGUGCUUUUUUUUAGAUUGAACAAAAAGUGCUGGUUCAUCUCGGUCAUCAUACAUAGAAAAUGUACGCGUCAGUUGGGGUGUUUGUUUCCUAGGUGUUUGAUUCCUAAGGGCUAAACUUUAGCCCUUGUCGCAUGGAUACUAAUUAGAAGUAUUAAAUAUAGGCUAAUUAUAAAAGUAAUUGCACAUAUGGAUGCUAAUUCGCGAGAUGAAUUUAUUAAGCCUAAUUAAUUUAUGAUUUGACAAUGUGGUGAUACAGUAACCAUUUGCUAAUGAUGGAUUGAUUAGGCUUAAUAGAUUCAUCUCACGAAUUAGUCCAGGACUUCUGCAAUUAGUUUUAUAAUUAGCUCAUAUUUAGUCCUCCUAAUUAGCAUCCGAACAUUCGAUGUGACAAGGACUAAACUUUAGCUUAAGGAUCUAAACACGCCCUAAGGCGAAUUAACUUGUCAUUAAAUUAGUCACAAAUGCAUAUGUCGGCGCCUUUGCACUUGUUUUACCAGUCCUGCUCCUGCUUGUGAACAACUUUCAUCAAUGGUAAAAACUAAAAGAUCAAAUAUCAACAUAUAUAAUGCACCAAUUCCAUCUCCUCGCCCUCGAAAUCACUCCAUUUCCCCUGCCGCAUCUCCACUGAUACAGUACUUGGUCAUCCUUGCCACUUGGUUCCUCUCCUCCCUCUUCAUCGCCGGUGCCCAUGUUUUUUUUUCCUAAUCAUCUGUGCACUGUUAUGUGUUCUUUUAUAAGUCAAUUCCCUUAGUGCCAUCAAAAUUUAUAUGACCCUUACUGCAGUGCCAUAUAAUUUUAUGAAUUCCUUCAGUGCUAUUGAUUUUAAGAUUAUCCUCUCACUGCUGUUCUGUCCAUAUUUCUAUCCAUACGGUGUUAGGUGUGGGCUGAAAAGAAAAUUUUUACCUCGCCCGAGUGAGGUCCCACCUGUCGGUGCUCCUUUAAAUCCACAUAGAGAUCGAGCGGUUGGCCCUGCUUGCUCCAGCCGCCAUCGGAUUGGUCUGAGGUGGCUGGACGAGUGGAGGAGAGGAGAAGAGAGGUUACCGGUAGGAGAGAUUGAGAGGAUCGGAGCACUGACAGGUGGGAUCAUAACUUAAGAGGGGUAAAACUAUUUUUUUCCAACCACAUGGAUAGUAUAUAUAAUUAUAGCGACCAUUUAUAUACACAAUUACUUUUGUUAGAGAAUAACUUCCCACAGAGGCAAAAGCAAGAGGAGCUCUAUCAAACUAGCAUUUUCCCCAUGUAUUUUGUUUUGUUCUUCCAAGUCACGCCCACUCCAGCUACAGUAACUUUUUUUUGCAUCACUCUCUUGUGUUAUAUUCUGCUAUUGAGUCUCGCUUUGUGAAUACUUAGAACUGCUUUGUGAUGGUCCCAUUCUUCGCACGCCCAAUACUGACAAAACCGUUUUAAUUCUUUUUUUGAUUUCAAAUCUCCUCUUCCGUCGUUCAGUUGUACAUUUGAAUUCAAAUUAAUGUUCACUUAGGACUGCUAUUGUGUAUGGUUUGCUAGUAAAACAUUUAAGUUAUCAAAUUAUCUAGUAUUGUUUAUGUUUGAUAUGGGUAAAUUUAAGUAGAAAUGUAUUUAAAAUUACCUUUUAUGUCAAGGCUCAUCUUCACUAUCGAUGUCAUUUUAAUUCUCUUCUGUUCACUUUUAUAGAGAAUUUUCAUGCGAUGGAUUGGACUACACGCUAUCGAAUAAUUAAAGGCAUCUGUCAGGGUUUGCAAUAUCUUCACGAAAACCGUAUUAAUCAUUUGGAUCUUAAACCUGAAAAUGUGCUGCUGGACAUUGACAUGGAGCCUAAAAUUACAGACUUUGGUCUGUCAAGGUGCUUUGAUGAAAAACAGAGUAGAAUUCAAACUAAGAACAUUUGUGGAACAUUGUAAGCACUACCUGUUCAGAAUUCAAUGCAUUUGUCUUGAAAACAAAUCUUAAAAACAUGCAAUGUGCCAAGAUGCUUCAACCUACCAUAUUGCCUGCAGGGGAUAUAUUGCACCAGAAAUUAUAAAUUGUGGAGACGUAUCGUACAAGUCAGAUAUAUACAGUCUGGGUGUCAUAAUAUCAAAACUAUCAACUGGAUGUAGCAUGCCUGGCGCUAACUAUGUAAGGAUAAUAGACAUAAUCAUGUCUUCCCAUUUUAUGUGCCAAAUAUUACAAUUCUCAUGCUUCCUUUACGCAGAUGAAUAUUCUUAAAAUUGUCUUUCUAUUACUAAUAUUGUUAGCAAAAUAUGUUAAACUUGCAUCCUUCCUGUUGUUUUGCAAUAUACUGUGUCUCCAUCCCAAAAAGGAUUGCACUUCUGGUUUUGUUCUAAGUCCAUUUAACCAAGUUUAUAAAAAACAAUCAACACUUAUGAUACCAAAUUUUCAUUCAUCAUGAAAUAUAUUUCAUAAUAUUUGGUGUUACAAAUGUUGAUAUUCUUCUCCAUAGACUUGGUCCACCUAAAGGUGCAAUCUUUUUCGAACAGAGGUAGUAUAAUACUACUAUAUUCAUUAUUAUGAUCUUUAUCUUCACAGUGGAAUAAAUCACUAGAUGUAGACUACCUGUAAAUAUGCUUGCGGUCAUCUUUAUUACUGUGUGCUUUGUCUUUGCAGUCAAGUAUAUCACAUGAACACUGGCAACAUAUGAUAAAACGUGUUGACGAAUUAGCUAAAAGUUGUGGGGAUGAUGACCAACAUAAAAGACCUAAUAUUAACGAGUUACUUUGUAAGCUGGAUGAGAUAGAAUCCGAGAUUGAAAUGGUGAUUCGAGUGAAUGGAACUUCAAUAGACCAGGUACGACCAUUUUUCUUCCCUCAUGGACCUUGCAUAGGGACCUCCCUAGGUGGUGCAUAUUUCAGGCAAUGAGAUUAUUGAUUGUUUUAAUGAUUGCUUUAAUCUUGAUAGUUUUACUGAUUGCUGUGCAAUGAGAUUCGGGUUGCCAGACGUAUCUGGAUAUUCAUAUAUACUCCAUCCGUUCUAAAUUGUAGGUUAUUUUUGUUUUUCUAGGUUCAUAGAUAUUAUUAUGCAUCUAGAUAUAGUGUAUGUCUAGAUGUAUAAUAAUAUCUAUGAAACUUAAAAAGCCAAAACGACCUAUAAUUUGGAACGGAGGGAGUACGUAAUACCCCCGCCAAAUAUACAAUUGGCCCGUGGUAGAAUUAGGAAAGAUUCUACCCGCGUGUGAUGGGCAACUCGUCUCGACAUAACGACCUCAGCACCCUCGCCAUGUGUAACGAUCAGAGUGGUUGAGUUUAUUUUUUUAUUCCCUUGCCUCGAAGUGUUUGGAGGUCAAUUGAUGCCUAUGACAACUAGCAGUUGACAUCCACAAUGUGUAAAGUUCGGCCAUGGUUCGAUAUUGAAUUGCAUUGGAGCUGCUAUUACUGGCUGUGGUUCAAAACAGUGACAAAAACAAAAUGCCAUGCGCGGACCCAAGCAGUAUAUUGGCCGGGUCAGAUGUGAGGUUAUAAAUGGCUUUUUGAUUUGGAACUUUAUACAUUUUUCUGUCAAACCUGAACUCUUUUUUAAUCCAUUUUAACCACAUUAUUGUUGAGAAUUAGUCCAACAUAAUAAGAUCAUGAGUACAUAUUGUGAUUUUUCAAAAAUAAACAUUUUUAGUCUACUAUAAUUCAACAUUUCCAAGUGACGUGAACCCACUACCUGCCCAAGGAAUAACCCGCAUUUCAUCUUUUAGAGAUACUCAUGCAUCCACGUAACUACGUGCAUACAACGAUAAAUAUUGUUAUUUUUUAUGUUAUAGACUUUUUAACUAACGCAUGGCCUGUAGAAUUACCACACCAUAAUUUUAGUGUUAAGGUUUAUUUUCCCGAUCAUAUUUUUGUGACUCUAGGAACAAUAUAUUUUACGGUUGUGGAGAUAUUAAAUUUUACCAUAAAAAUUGUUUCCUCAGCAAAGCAUUUUGUUUUUGUAGUUCAGUCAAGGCUGAUAAUUCAGGAUGUACACAUUUUUUGCAGGACCCCCAGAUAAUAAACCCAAUAAGGGAGCCUCUUCAUGUCCACCCCCGCAAACUCGUCUGGCCCUUGGCGGCAAACAAUACCAUGCCUUUCUCACUACAUCUGACCAACAAGAGCACAGAUGAUCAUUUUGCUUUUAUGUUUCUGGAUUUCGGCGGGGUUGCAUCCUCCUGCUCCAUCCUAGGUAACAAAGGAGUCAUUCCACCCCAAUCAACGUGGGGAAUCGUCCUACACUUGCAACUACAAGCGGGGGAGCCGGCAGUAUCGGAGAAGCAGGGUAAGGAAAUGGUCAUCGUGCGGAGCACCGUUGUGGAAAAGGGCUUCCAUAGUAACGAUAUCACUGUGGACAUGUUCAAGAGGCACCUUAGUGUGCACGAUAUCGAGUUGGAAGUUAUUUUUGUGGAACCACCCCAAUCACAACCCCUCCAACUAUAUGAGUUUGAUCAUAAGCUGCAGUUGGAUGCAAACGAGGGAACAAGCCAUGGAACCACACAGGUGAGUCUCUCUUUUUAAUGCCUUUUGAGAACAGCGCUCUUGGAGUCGUGCUCCUAUGUAUUAAGGUUCAUCAGGCAUCAGCAUCUAGUGCCGCCACCAUAGCUUGCCUGACUAGCAAACUAGGUAUGUAUGUGUUGAAGGUGGUGCCGGCUGCCCUAUGGAACGGCGGGGGGCGAGUGCAUGAGGCAAAAAGGCCAAAAAUAUAAUUGAUGGCAUACUCAGAAAAUUUGUCAAAUAACAUUUUAGUUCCUCAAAUAUCCCUUCGGAUCUAUGGUUCCAAUUAAUUUAUACUAGUGACCACUAUCAAAGUUUGAAAGAAGCCUAACAACGCUUGCCGCGCGUUGUACUAAGUGCCCACUAAGGUACUAAAAAAAGCUCUAUCUUGGAUGAUGUUGCAAUUUCUUCAAAAAAAAGCAACUUUAUUUAAGCUGCAAAAUAUGAAAAAUCAUGUCGGAUUCUCAUAAAAUAUUUUAGGAAAAAAUUACGCAUAAAUUUCCUGGAUUCGUGUUUUGUACAUUAAAAUGUUGGCAGCUUUGAAAUUGAUUUUUCUUUUUGUUUUCAGAUCGGCACUUUUUGCAUAUGAAAACCUUUGAGCUUCUAAUAUGCACCCUAUAUUCUUAUACCAUCUCUAUUCUUACGUAUAUGACAUUUAGGACAAGUAAAUUAGAACUCCAAAACGUCGUAUAUUUAAGAACGGAACAAGCACAAAGUUUGUCUCACUAACCCAUUCAACAAAAAGGAACAAGUUUAUAUAUCCAAAUAAAACAAGUGGCAUCUAUCAAUGAGUUUAUUCAAUCAAAGGUUGCGCAGCGUUUUUGUAAUUUUUCACUGGUUCUUUUAAAGAAACUAUAUAUCCAGGCGGGUCGAGUGGCCAGAAUUAAACCAUAUUAUUGCAUUAUUCUCUCACAGAUAUAUGUUAAAUAACAAUAUUGCGUGCUCCUAUUUCAGACAUGCCCUGAUGAGUCCAUUAUGACUGAGCUGUUAGACAUCUACCCGUUCGAGGUCGGAUACCCGCCCAAACCAGAGAAGUACUGUACGCGCACAAUACACCUAACCAAUACGACGGAGGAUACAGUUGAGUUUUGGAUGGUGCCUUCUGCCAAUGCCAGGUACUACGGAUAUGAGGGUGGCUAUCAGGCUGGCUUUGUGCCGCCACAAUCCACAUAUGCUGUCCGUUGGGUCUUGUGGAACGAAGUAUCUGAGCCGACAAUUACGGAGUCAUUUCAAAUCCUGAUGGUAACUAGAGCCGACAUGAGCCAUCUCUCAUCAGGAGUUAUUCGCUAUCCAGGGGACUUUCAUGAACAAGUGUUCAACGCAGCCAGAGACAAGGGAGGCAAGGCGCACCGAGCCUGCUUAUUUGUUGACAACAAUAGUGCCCCGGACAAGAAUUAUCAUAGAUAUGAAC
rnacentral:lncRNA from 1 species